rnacentral:lncRNA from 1 species
AAUUGUUAGGAAGAUGAUAAUAACAGCUUGUUGGUGUAUACAAGUGCCACCUAACGACCGUCCUUCAAUGAGCAAAGUCUUGGAGAUGCUUGAAACUAAUGUUGAGCUCCUUCAAAUGCCCCCCAAACCUUUUCAACUUCCUUUUGAAGUAUCAAUUGAGGAUCGUGCUGAUGAGAAUCCAAGUGAGGAUCCAACUUCAUCACUUCUUUCUUCGAAUGAAAUUAGCUUAAAUAUAACGUAAGUUAUGAAACUUUUCAUUUUAUUAUGUUAUUUUUGUACUUUGAUAAUAAGAAAAUAUCAUGUCCCUUUAAAACCUAGAAUUUUGUAUUGUAAUUUCCAAACUUGUUUCUGUACUUUGAGCUCUGUUUCUAUGGGUUUUCUUCUUUCGUACCCUUUUUGUAUUUUUUUUUCAUAAUAUCUUUCAUUUGGCUCAUUUGACCUCUGUUUGUUAUUGCCUUUGUUGAGCUUAACCUUCCCCCUCUUUGAAAAGACGGCUUGGAAGAAUUAAAAAUGGUAAUGGAAGCAAGAACUCAAUAAGAAACAAAAUAGGGGCCCUCAAGAAGGUCAUCCGAGAGUUUGGUUUAUCUCGAUUUAAGUUUAACUGUACGUAGAAAUGGAAUGUGAUAAAUUAUUCUGCAAGCAAGAAUUAAUAAAGAAUAAAAAGCAUCGCUUAAUAUAAGGGUAAGUUUGUUAGGAAAAUAUUACAUAGGAUAAAGAAGAAAGAGAUUAAACAUGCAGUUGCAAAUUUUCUUCACUGACCCAAGAAGGAAUGCUCCCUGAAAAAUCAUUGUAUGGCACAUCUCUGACAUCGCAUUAUCAGUCAUGUCAUAACAAGUCUUAAGUUUAUUCGGCAAGAGACUUUAAUGGCAUAAAGAUACUGAUAUGGGCAACAUCAGCUGUACAAUUACAAAAGUUUUCACUGGCAGCCUAAUUCCUUUUUAAAACCUAAACAAAGACUAAGGGUUUAUCAGUAGCUAAUUUCUAUUUGAGUGUUCAAAGUUCAGCAUAUUCAUCAAACUUUCAAAUUAUUUAAAAAAACAGAUUUAACCCUCCUCCAUAUACGGUUCACAAGGAGAACAACCAAAAAAACUAUUAAACCGGAGCAUCAACGCAAAAUAUAGCUCCCAACCAUGAUGGAGCCCUGCUGAAAGUCCCACUUCCGGAACAUCCAAUCAUAAGAAUCUGUCCCUCAUUCAGACUGUUAUGACAUUUAUUGCUAUGAUAUGUAAUACUAUUCACAAUUCUUAGCAUCAAUUCAUAAUUCUUAACAUCAAAUAUGGAUAAAAUUUUUUUUUAAAAAAAGCUUGCUGUUUUGGUAAAUUUGAUCAGCUUUGCUGGAAUUGGGUAGUUUAGUUAAAUGAAUCACUUUAUUUAAAUUAAUCAUAGGAUUAGAGUCUAUCCACUUUAUUAAAUCAUAUUAUGAAUUAUAAUUAAAACCAAAUAAGUUUAAUCCAUUAUUUCAUAAAAAAGAAAAAUAAAUUAAAUAAUGCAAAUAUACACUUUAUUAUUUGAAAAAAUAUAACAUUUUAUACAAUUAUAACUGAGAUUCUAAAUAUCCUUGACAACAUCAUAGGACUGUAUUACUUUGAUAUCUACGAGACGCUAUUAAUGGACUUUGAAAUGUCAUGGCAAUUCUAUGACAUGAGCUGCACUGUCCUCCACAUAUAUUCAUUUCAUAAGAUGAAAGAAUUUUUCAAGCAUUGGAUCAAUACUAUUUUAUUUCGCUGAGUUUUCUUGGGUUUGUUAAAGUUACGAUUGGAAAAAGUAUAAUUAAUUAAAAUCUACAUUUCACUCAAAUUUUUUGAUUAAAUUAAAACAUUUUGAAUCCAUUUGUCAUUAAUGUAAUUAUUUUGAUUCAAUCCAUAUUUUAAUUAAAAUUUUUUAUACUAAUACCAAACAUUAAAACCAUAUUGUACAUAGUUAGGAUCUUCAUUUUACUCCAUUUUUGUUUAAAUUAAAACAUUUUGAAUUUAUCUUUCAUUGUAAUUAAUUUUGAUUAUGGAGGAAUUAAUAUUGGGUGAUCAUUUUGGACCACCUUAUUUUAAUUUUGGGUCUAUUUGGCUGGCAACUGGCAAGGAAUGAAAAUAACUUAUCUGAAAAUUGUCUCACUUCUCUGCAAGUGAUUUGAUUUAAUUCAAGUUAUAGCCCAAGAAGUCGCUUGCUCUUUUCUCCAACAUUAAUGAUAUUUCUUUGGAUCCACUCUCUAAAAUUGACAGGAUCAAUGGUUUUUCUAAUCCAAUAAAUUUGUACUUUUUGUAUCUCAUUUUAUUUUCUUCGAAAAAUAGGAAGAAAUUUCCUAAAGAUAUUUUUCAAGAGCUUGACUAAUUGGUUAAACUGUUUUCCACAUUGGCUUUAAUUUUUCGACAGUGACUUGCUCUCAUUUACUUAAUCCAAACGAACAAAAAGAAAGAAAAAUGUUUUCUUUCUUGACCCACUGCUGGUCCUCGGAAAACAAGAAGAAAAUUCCUAAAGAUAUUUUCCAAGAGUUUGACUAGAUUUUUCAAAUGAUGACUUACUCUCAUUUACUUAAUCCAAAAAAAUAAAAAAUGUUACUGUGGUUCUAUAAUUCCGCGACAUCCUUGACUUAAAGCUUGUUUAGCCUCCGUCGCUUCUUCUUCCGCACCCAAAUUUGCAUCAUGCCAAAACCAAAAGCAGAAUUUCCAUUAUUUGCCCUCAUUGCCCUUCCUCUUAUUCUAUUCCCUGGCCCUGCAACAUAUAUUAUAUCUCUCGUUAAAAAUAUUUAUACUAAUGCAUUUUAAAGGAUUUUUCUUCAAAAAGAAGAGUAAUUUUAUCAAGAAUUGUUGGGGAUAUCUAUCUUGAUUACUUUUGUUACAUAUAAAUUGCAAAAGAGACAUUUAUCUGUAAAUAAUACAAUUGAAGAUUUUUUUUUUUAAAUUUGAGUAUUUGGUUCAUUAGUUGAUGCAUAAUUUUCCUUCUUAAAGAGUAAAGUUUGAAUCUUCCUUCUCCAAUCCCAAAAACAAAAAAAAUAUUUAAUAUCUAUUAAGUAUUCUUGAUAUGAAGUAAAAGGAUUGAUAGUCGGUGUAUUGCCUUCAAGAUGGACAAGAAGAGGCAAUAGUUGAUUGUAGAGAAGCUCGAGAGUUUGGGAGCAACUUAUGAUGAUUUCACCAACUCCUUGCCUUCUAAUGAAUGCCACUAUUCUGUCUUUGAUUAUAAUUUCACUACAAAUGAGAAUUGUCAAAAAAGUAAGAUUUUCUUCUUUGCAUGGUAUAUGAAAGCGAAAAAGAAAAACCCAACGCCUUGUUUUUCUUCGUUCAAUUUUGAAAGAUUGUUACAAUUAAAACGGCUGCAAUGUUGUUUGUGGUAUAGGUCACUUGACACAUGAAGGGUGAGGACUAAGAUGCUUUAUGCGAGCUCCAAGGACAAGUUCAAGAGACAGUUGGAUAGCAUUCAAGUUAAGUUGCAAGCGAUAUAUCCAACUAAGAUGAGCUUGGACAUCGUCAAAGGACAAGCCCACUAAUUCCAUAUAACUACUUCCAUUCAAGGCAUUUUCCUUCUCAAUCUAUAGUCUUUAUUUGGGAGAGUUAUUCCCCUGUUUUUAAUUUUCUUUGUAUCUCAAAUAAUCCUCAGUCUAACUGAUAAUAUAUAACGGUAGGAGAACUGCCCCUGUUUUUCUAGUUUUCAUCAUGAUUACAUCUGUAUAUCUCCUAAAUUAUCAUCGUGGAUGAUUUUAUAUUUUAUUCUAGAAGUUAAUAUUACUCAUAGUCUUUUUAUUUUUGUUAAAAUAAGUAAACAUCGUUAAUUUUGAAAGUAAUAUAUGACUGUUAGGGAAUCCGCCUUCUAUUUAAUUAAUUGGGACAAAUUUUUUAUAUGAUAUGUUGAAUCAUGGGCAAUGGUAAUUAAAUUUUAAUUUGGUACCAAUGACCAUGAAAAUGAAACAAAAAGAGAGGUUUCUAUUGCUUCUUAGCUUUGAGUUUCUUCCAAUAUUCAGUUUGCCACUCCUCCACUUGCCUGGUUAUUUUCUCAUUUUUGUUGAGAGAAACUUGAAGAGCUUGAGGUUCAUAAGGGAGAGGCAACGCUCAUGGAAUUAUCUUUCCUAAGUAAAAGCAAUAUAUAAAAAACGAAAAAAAAAGAAAUAAUGCGAGAAAAAAAAGAAUUUCUUUUGGGGGAUCUAAUUGCUAGAUGGGAGCCAAUUUGUCACGAUCCAGACCCAAAUCUGGGGUCGUGACCGACGUACGAGUUCAGCAAGCGAGGCUCACAAGGUCUGAGGAAGCCUCCAAACACAAUUAUGCAGAAGUACAAAUGAUCGUAUAUAACCAUAGAUCAAACCAAAAAUGCACAACAGCUUUACUUAUAUAACAGAAGUUCUAAUCUUUUACAGCAAAAAUGCACGCUGACACUUGUUUCAACACCUCGUUGUGCUUAAUCAAAAAUAGAAAUGCAACCACGCAACAUAUACAGAAGUUGCCAUAACUUGGCUAACAUGGUGGGUCCAAUAGUUGAACAGAAUCAAAUGUUAACAGCGUACUUACAAAACCGGAACAUGUUAUAAGUUUAGAACCAUAACAAGAAUGCGAAAACAGACUCUAACUCAACGGAGUGGACUGCUAGAUGAACAUGCCUACCAGAUACUAAUUUUCAAUCUACGAAGCGGGCGUUAAUUACGCACUUCCCACAUGGAAAUCCCCAGUUGUUAAUUGUUUUCACAAAUAAAGGGGGUGAAUCUCUUACUAAUUUAGUGAGUGAGAGUAGAAGGAAAUCAAGCCAAAAACGAAAGAAUAUUUUUUUUUUAAUAAAAUAGAUAGUUCAAAAGUAUGCCAGAUAAUGCAUUCGUAAUGCAAGCAGAGCUAUGUACAGGACAUCUCCAAAUAGGCAAACUUCAUAUAUCUAUGGGAGUCAUCCCACUAUCUCAUAUCACAUAAUCAUAGGUUCUGCUAUCACCAAUAUUUCUCCUCCGAUCAUAUAAUUCAUGGUACAAUAUACACCAAAUAAUUAGUAUUCAACUUUCAGCUUACUAGCCUUUCAUAUCACAAGUCAUCCCCUUAGGGUGCAUGUUGCGAUUUGAUAGGUUUUAGCAAUAAACAAAUAAAGGUAGGAAGAGCAGAGAAUGAAGGAUCUGAAAAAAUAAUUGGUGAGCUCAAAAACAGAGGCUCUCACACACUUUCAUCUAUUCAUUUUCACCUUUAUAUACUGACUAAUUAACAAGAAAUAACCAACAAAUUAACAACCGUAGAGAAUCUCGAAGAAAGAGAAUGAAAUCUGUUAGCUGUGCACUGAAAUCCAUGUAUUGGUUUCAAUGCCAGGCAACAGCUACAAAUGGGAAAGAAAACACUUGGCUUAACAACCAGCAAACAUCAAAAACGACACUUACAAGCUGUGUUUAACACAGUAAAACAAGAAACGACAUAUGCUAAAGUCGUAUUACAAAAACAGAAAGUAAAUAUAAAUGAAACGACACAAGGCUUGGCGUAUUGGCUGCUGAAGUGAGAAAAUGACACUGUACUACUCAUCCCUCUUCUUCCUCUUCCUUCUUCAGCCUCUGACUUUUCCCACCAAGUCUGCUCCUUGAAUUUCCAGAAUUGUGAUCAUCUUCCAACAGACCCCCUUGAUCACAAAUCUGGUAAACACCCAAACAAGACCUCAAGAAUUCAAAUCUGUCUCUACACAAACCUUUAGUCAGAAUAUUAGCAAAUUGUUGAUCAGUUGGAUAGUAAUGAAUAUCAAUUUCAUUGUCUUUUACUGCCUCUCUAAGAGCAUGAUAGUUAACCCUUAUGUGCUUGGUUCGACCAUGCUGAACAGGGUUCUUUGCAAUAGCUAUGGCUGAUUUGUUGUCAACUUUAAGCACUGUGCCCUUAGUUUGAGGAAAUUCCAAGUCAACUAAUAUCUUCUUGAGCCACUAGAUAUGAUUUGUAGCAGCUGAAAUAGCAAUUCACUCAGCCUCAGCUGAGGAUUGAGCUACCACUUCCUACUUUUUUGAAUUUCAGGAAAACAUACCACUACCAAAUGAAAAACAAAAUCCCCUAGUGCUCUUUGAAUCAUCAAGUGACCCUGCCCAGUCACUAUCUGUAUAUCCUUGAAGUUCACCACUGUCAAACUUACUGUACUUGAUUCCAUAGUUCACCGUACCUUUGACAUAUCUCAACACCCUCUUAGCUGCUUUGAAAUGUGUUUCAGAUGGUGACUGCAUGAACCUCGAUAGCAAGCUAGUUGAAAACAUAAUGUUAGGCCUUGUAGUUGCUAGAUACAGUAGUGACCCUAUUAUACUUCUAUAGACUAGACCAUUAGCCUUAUCUGCUCCAUCAUUCUUAAUCAGUUUAUCCCCCACAGCUAAUGGUGUAUAAACUGGUUUACAAGACUCCAUCUUAAACUUCCUCAACAAAUCUCUGGCAUACUUAGCCUGGUGAAUCAUGAUCAGCUCAUUAGUUUGAAAAAUUUCCAUACCAAGGAAGUAUCUCAUGAACCCUAGAUCAGUCAUUUUAAAUUUAGUCAUAAUUUGAGCUUUGAAUUUCUCUAGGUAUACUGCAUCGGGCCUUGUUAACAAAAGAUCAUCCACAUAAACAGCUACUAUAAACAUCACUGAGUCAUUAGACUUCUUCACAUAAAGAGUAGGUUCUGUCAUGCUUUUGAUUAAGCCUUGAGCUCUAAGAUAGUUAUCCAACCUUUCAUACCAGGCUCUAGGUGCUUGUUUUAAACCAUAUAAAGCUUUAAUACACUUACAGACUUUUCCUUCAGCUCCUUGCUUCACAUAGCCUUCAGGCUGCUUUAUAUAAAUAUCUUCAGUUAAGAUUCCAUUAAGAAAAACAGAUUUCACAUCCAGGUGAUUGAUAUUCCAUCCUUCUCUUGCAGCUAGAGUAGCUAGCAAUCUUAUAGUGUCAUGGUGAGCCACAGAAGCAAAAGUUUCAAAGUAGUCUGUUCCAUAAGUCUGUGCAUAACCCUUUGCCACCAAUCUGGCUUUAAAUUUGUUUACAGAACCAUCAAGAUUGAGUUUGGUUCUGUAAAUCCAUUUAACUCCAAUAACUAGAUGAUCAUUAGGUCUGUUAGCUAGACACCAAGUUCCAUUCUUCUCGAUCAUAUUCAACUCAACAUUCAUUGCUUCCCUCCAGUUUGCAUCUGCACUUGCCUCCUUAUAGCUACCAGGAUCUGCAAUUGCUACAUUGCAUUUGUUGUAUAUGUCCUGAAGGGUUUUGGUCCAUCUAACAGCCAAAGACUCAUCCUUAAUAUCUUCCUCAUCAUCAGACUCACCUUGCACUGGAUCAGUAGACAGAUUCAAGUUACCAGGACCUUCAAUUAUAGCUUUGUCCCAAUUCCAAGUUGAAUUUUCAUAACACUUUAUAUCUCUACUGAACAUCACUUUCUUACUCACCACAUUGUACAAUUUAUAUCCUUGAUGACAUUACUGUACCCAAUUAGAAUAGUAACAACACUCUUCUCAUCCAGCUUGGAUGUUCUCUCAUCUGGCACUUUAGCAUAGCAUAUACAACCAAAUACCUUUAAGUGUGAUACUGAGGGCUUUCUAUCAAACCAACAUUCAAAAGGAGUCUUCUGAUGCAAAGUUCUAGUCUGACUUCUAUUCAAAAUGUAAUUAAUUAUGUUAACAGCUUCUGCCCAAAACAUCUUAGGCAAAUUCUUCUAAAACAGUAGACAUCUGGCCAUUUCCAUGAGAGUUCUAUUCUUCCUCUCAGUAAUUCCAUUAUGUUGAGGAGAAUAUGUAACUAUCAAUUGAUGCAUAACCCCUAGCUUGGACAGAAAACCUUCAAAUUCAGCUGAGGUAAAUUUUGUACCAUUAUCACUUCUUAGAGUUUUAAUGGUUGACUCAACUUGAUUUUCAAUAGUGUUUCUGAACCUCACAAAGUUGCUAAGGGCUUCUGAUUUGAUUUUAAGGAAAUAGAUCUAGCAAAACCUAGUCUAAUCAUCAAUGAACAGAAGAUAAUACUUACUGCCCCCAAGUGAACUAGUCUUCAUAGGACUUUCAAUGUCUGUAUGAACCAGCUGAAGCUUCCCAAUUGCUUUCCACUUUUUCUCCUUUAGAAAAGGCAAUCUGCACUGCUUACCAUACCGAUAGAUGCUACAAACCAUACCAGGUCUUGUAAUUUCAGGCAAGCCUUCAACCAGCUCUUUAGUUGCCAUGUCUUACAGGGAUUUGUAGUUAAUGUGCCCUAACCUUCUGUGCCACAGCUCAGAGUCAGGCACUACACUGAGGAAGGCCCUUUGAUCUGUAAGUUUCCAGUCAAUGGGAUAACAUUUAUUUCUCAUCUCCACUAUUAACAUUUCCCUACCCUUAGGAUCAAAGAUAGUGCAUAAUUUAUCUUUGAACAAGAGUGUAUAGUGAUUUUCAGUUAGCUGCCCUACACUCAACAAAUUUUGACUUGCAUCAAGAACAAAAUAAACAUUAGGAAUAUACCUGUUGCCAUCCUGAGUCUCCACAACAACUAUUCCUAUGCCUAAGAUCUUCAUGAAUGAACCAUCACCAAUCUCAACUCUAGCUCUGUAGCUUCUGUUGCUAGUAGUGAACUGUUCUAUAUCUCUUGUCAGAUGGUUAGAGCAAGCAUUGUCUAUUAGGCACACAUUCUUCUUUGCUGAUCUCCCUGUUUCCUGAACCAUGAAAAGUACUUCAUCUGAGCUUUCAUUCUUCUCAGCAAUUGUAGCUUUUUCAUCCCCACGAGUCUCUUUGUUUUUACAUACUCUUUCCACAUGGCCAAGCUGAUUAUAGGACCUACAUUUUACAUUAAGCUUGUACCAGCAAUACUUAGGUGAAUGAGUAGUCUUCUUACAAUGAGAACAUGGAGGAUACUUAGUCUUCUAUUUUCCAAUCUUCUCCUUCACUGUUUUCUUCCCUUUUUCCUUCUUUUCAGAUUCAUUCUUCUUCGAGCUAUUACCUCCAAUCUUCAAAUCUUUUGUUUUGGCAACCAAGGCACUAUUGAGAGCAUUUUUCUGCCUGAAUGCUUUUCUUUGUUCAAGAGCUUCUAAGGCAUUCACAAACUCUUUCAGAGUAAUCUUUUCCAUAUCCUUAGAAUCCUCUAAUGAGGAAACUUUGGAUUCAUACUUUUUUGGAAGGUUGACAAUCAUCUUUUGAACUAACCUGUCCUCAGUUAUAACUUUGCCUAAUAAUCUCAACUGAUUCACCAAUGCCAUCAUUUUAUCAAAAAACUCCCUAAUUGAUUCGUCCUCCUCUAUUGUCAGCAUUUCAAAUUGUCUAAACAGAUUCAAUGUUUGAAUCUGUCUAGUCCUAUCACUUCCAAAAAAUUCAUCUCUCAAGUGCUCCUAUACAUCCUUAGGAUUGUCUAAAUGCAUAAUCCUAGUGAAAACUUCAUCAGACACAACAGAAUGUAAAGAUGAUAAAGCUUUAUACCUCCUUGCCUUGUCUUCUUCAAACUGUCGAAUCUGAGCUAAGGUGGGAUUGGUAUGCCUCUAAGCCGGGUCCUCUCCAGUCUCCACAACCUCCUAGAUACUCAAUGCCUUGAGGUACGCUUUCAUCUUCAUUGACCAGAUUGCAUAGUUCUCACCAUUGAACACUGGUAAAGAAGCAACAUUAAAUCCUGAUGAAGCCAUUAUUAAACCUUGCAGAAAAGAACAAAUAAUUACUUCAACUAACAGAGGAAGAAGAUAACAUCACAAUCCCUUAAGAUCACUAAUACAGCUCUGAUACCAUGUUGCGAUUUGAUAGGUUUUAGCAAUAAACAAAUAAAGGUAAAAAGAGCAGAGAAUGAAGGAUCUAAAAAAAUAAUUAGUGAGCUCAAAAACAGAGGCUCUCACACACUUUCAUCUAUUCAUUUGCACCUUUAUAUACUGACUAAUUAACAAGAAAUAACCAACAAAUUAACAACCGUAGAGAAUCUCAAAGAAGGAGAAUGAAAUCGGUUGGCUGUGCACUGAAAUCCAUGUAUUGGUUGCAGUGCCAAGCAACGGCUACAAACGAGAAAGAAAACACUUGGCUUAACAACCAGCAGACAUAAAAAACGACACUCACAAGUUGUGUUUAACACAGUAAAACAAGAAACGACAUAUGCUAAAGUCGUAUUACAAAAACAAAAAGUAAACAUAAAUGAAAUGACACAAGGCUUGGUGUAUUGGCUGCUAAAGUGAGAAAACGACACCGUACUACUUAUCCCUCUUCUUCCUCUUCCUUCUUCAACCUCUAACUCUUCCUACCAAGUUUGCUCCUUGAAUUUCUAGAAUUGUGAUCAUCUUCCAACAGACCCCCUUGAUUACAAAAAACUUUCCAUCAUAGCAGAGAAUAUAUUGACAUUAUGUUCAUGUAGAAUUAUAUUCUUUCUGCUUCUUGAAAUAGAGAUAUAAACUUCAACAUAACUAAAAAGAAAAUUCUCAUACAUCUAGGUAGGUAUAAGAUUACAUUUACAAGUGCGAUAAGUCAUUUUUCGUACCAAACAAUGCUUGAUCAAGGCUGUUGUUUGAGAGAUAUUCAUAAACAAGGAGUCUUUCAUCUCCCUCAAUGCAGCACCCAUACAGCCUCACAAGAUUGCGAUAUUGAACAGCAGUUAUAGUUGCAAUUUCUACUGCAAAUUGAUCUCUCCCUUGGUGGGAUACUUCAAACAAUUUUUUUAUAGCAACAGCUCUCCCAUCUCCAAGAAUCCCCUGUACAUCGAGUACAUCUUUUAUUGAUAAAAAUGAAGUAUAAUAAAGAUGUAACAGUACUUUUAGUUCAUUAAUUAGUUAUCUUCCAUUAUUAAGUGCUGCACCUGACUGGGGAGAAAAAUAGUUCUUGUAGUUCACUACUCGUACUGGUUUGUGGUGAAUGUUUGGUUGAGUUAGAGGCUGCACGAUCAAACUGGACUACACCUAGUGAUUCGCAACUAUUCUUUCCCAAUUACACUAACUUUUAUGAUUUCUUUAUUAAAGAGGUGAUUAAAAGAAAUCUCGUAUAAGUUAAAUCUGGGUUAUUAUAAGCAACAUAAAUGUAAUAAAGGAUCAUUGCACUUAUUGCCAAAUGGUUUUAGAUUCUAUGUCUAUCCUAAAAUUUAAUAUAAUUUGAGAAUAAGUACCUUUGUAAUAGACGUGUUAUCAAAUUAGUUUUGAGUUUUUUGGUGAUUUGACAAGUAGGCGCUGUGAGCACUGUAUAUUUAGUGUAAAGAUAAGGAGAUUGAGGGUCUCAUUUCACCUAUAGCAAAAGAAAAGGAGCAGUGUGACAAGAUUACAAAAUGGGAUAUCUAGUUCUGAAAGUUGAAUACAUCGUUUUCUCCUGGUUGGUCUUUAGUUAGAACGAUGGCUCACCUUUUUUUUUAUUUUUUAAAGGCAAUGACUCACCUUAUAAACAUGUCCAAACCCUCCCUGUCCUAGCUUAUUUGAUGGACUGAAAUCUUCAGUGGCAAUUUUUAGUUCAGCAUAAGCAAAUGCUUGUGGCGUAGCGUCCAUAUCGAUUAGUUCUUUAUGUUUGACGGUAUUUAGCAUCUUUCCCCUCUUCUGGUGAAUAUAAACAAUUGCCAAAACUGAUAGACAAGUUAUAGUAACGUCAAGAAUAGUACUCAGAAUUAUCAGCCUUGUCUUCACACGUUUUGGAGGCUUGAGCUUGUUAAUUGUGGGAACAAAAUCUGCAACGAAUUAAAAAUCUACCUAUCAACAAAUAUACUCCACAUAAUUAAUGGAGUCCUUAACUUUCAACCAUAUAAUUGCACUGAAUCAUGAAAUACUUGGAGUAGCACUAAUUGCUGAUACAGUAGGUCCAUAUGUACCUUGAGCAGGCAUGCAACAAGUCCCCUUUCCAGCCUAAAACAGAUGAAUUUCGAGGUAGUUUUUUGAUACCUUGGCCAUGAAUUGUUUUGGAACUGCUUGGAAUAAGGCCUUAUUGGCUUCCUUUCGGAUGUCAAAACCCUUUACUCAAGCUCUCCCUGCAGAUAAAUUGAAAACAUGUAUAGUAACUUAUAACCUUAAAGCUUCACAUGAUUAAAUAAGUAGAUGAAUUGUGCUAGCUUUAGGAUGAAAAUAAGCACCUGAAUAUAGAUGUCAAAAACUCGCCUCCCUACAUUUAGACCAAAACACUUUCCAUAUACUGUCAUUCAAACAAAAUUUAGUUCCUGUUUCAUUUUUAGAUACUCCUGAUUAUGCUCUUGAUAUUAUGGAUUCAAUUGUUAAGAUAAUUUUUGAUUCAAAGGAUUUUGGUUUGUGUUCUUUAACUCAAGGAUUAUAUUGAUUGUGUUUGGCUCCUACUAAUAUUUAUGCCACCUUAUAUAAUGUCGAAAGAGUUGCCAAAAGGUCCUACGUAAAGGAAACAUCUUCCAUGCUAUGACAUAAAAGGUUUGGGCACAUCUCCAAAGAAACAGUGGAAAAGAUGAUAAAGCAUAACAUCUUUCCUACUCUUAUUUUUAAAGACUUGGAGACAUCUUUUGAUUGUUAUAGGGACAAGAUGACAAAAAUAAAAGGAAAAAGGUCACAUAGAAGUUUCAAUCUCUUCGAACUUAUUCAUACUGACAUAAGUGAACCAUAUACUCCUACCAUUUACAAUCAUAGAUAUUUUGUAACCUUCAUUGAUGAUUUUUCUCGUAAUGGUUAUAUGUUCCUAAUUAAAAAAAAAUUAGAAGCUCUUGAUAAAUUUGAAAAUUUUAAGACUAAAGUUGAAACAAUUGGGAAAUAUCAUUAAGGUUGUCAAAUUUAAUAGAGGUGGUCCAUAUUAUGAUAGACAUGACACAAUUAGACAACAAAAAGGUCCAUUUUCAAAUAUUUAGAGAGUUAUGGAAUAGUGCCCCAUUAUACUAUGCUUGGUAGUCAUGAAUAAAAUGAUGUGGUUGAAAGACGAAAUUGCACUUUAAAGGAUAUGAUGAGGAGUAUGAUGAGUGGAGCUGAUUUACUUGAAUUCUUACGGGGAGAAACAAUUAAAACAACAUUGUACAUCUUAAAUAGAGUUUGCACCAAGUUGGUGCAUAAAACCCCUUAUGAAUUAUGGACAAGACAAAAUCCUAGUCUUAAUCAUUUACAUGUGUCUUUAUGAUCCUAAUGAGACUAAGAUACAAUAUCGAUCCGCUCAUUGUUAUUUUAUUGGGUACCCAAAUUGGUCCAUGGAUUAUAGAUUUUAUUGCUCAAAUAGAAAUGGUAAAAUUAUUAAGGCAAAAAUAACUAAAUUUAUAGAAUUAGAUGUGGCUGAUACUAGUUGCUAUAAAGUUAAAGAUGUAAAAGAACAUAUUGAGAUAGUAAGAAUUCCUAUAUCUAUUCAGAAAGAUAUUGUUGUGCAUACAGAAGUUGGGGAACAAGAACAAGUACAACUAAUUCUUAAUGUAGUCCUUCAAAAUCAAAAUAUUGUAGAUGAACCACAAAGAAGAUCCACUAGGAUAAGGAAGCUUGCUCUUUCUUUUGACAUAUAGGAAUUCUAUCUUGGAAAGGGUGAUUAUGAUAUUGGUCAUGUAGUUGAUCUAGUAACUUUUUCAAAAACUAUUUCUAGUCCUUAAUUAGAUUUGUGGCAGGAUGCAAUGUGCAAUGAGAUACAAUCUAUGUCAUAUAAUAAUGUAUGGGAACUUGUUGAGCUACCAUUGCAAACCCAUAGGUUGUAAAAUGGGUAUACAAGACCAAGAAAGAUUCCAAAGGAAAGAUUGAGAGGUUUAAAGCUAGAUUGGUUGUCAAAGGUUUUACACAGAGAGAAAAAAUUGAUUAUAAUGAAACAUUUUGUUCUAUAUCGUUUAAAAAUGUUUUUAAGAUUAUCAUGGCACUAGUGUCUCAUUAUGAUUUAAAGCUACACCAGAUGGAUGUUAGGACUACCUUUCUAAAUGGAAAUCUUGUUGAAAAGUGUCUAUAUGUUUUAGCUUGAGGGAUUUAAGGAAGAUGGCAAAAAUCAUUUUUUGUGAAGACUUCAAAAGUCUAUUUAUAAGCUUAAACAAGCUUCUCGCCAAUGGUAUCUUAAAUUUGAUGAAGACAUCACCUCCUUUGGUUUUGUUGAGAGCAAGGUAGACAAAUGUAUAUAUCACAAGAUCAGUGAGAGUAAGUUUGUCUUUCUUAUUUUGUAUGUUGAUGAUAUCUUACAUGCAAGUAGUGAUUUAAGGAUGCUAAAAGAGACUAAGAAAUUAUUGUCUAGCCAAUUUGACAUGAAAGAUAUUGGGGAAGCAUCUUAUGUUCUUGGAAUUGCAAUCUAUAGGGAUCGAUUUUGUCACUUAUUGGGACUCACUCAGAGUGCAUACAUUGAUCGAGUGUUAAAUGGAUUUUCCAAGCUUGAUUGUAAAAAUGGAGAUGUGUCAGUUGUUAAAGGUGAUAAAUUAAACUUGGCACAAUGUCUAAAAAACGAUGUUGAGAGGGAGUCAAAUGAAAGCAAUACUAUAUGCUUGUGCAGUAGGAAGUUUAAUGUAUGCCUAAGUGUGCACAAGGUCAAACAUUACCUUUACAAUGGGUCUUUUAGGAAGAUACUUGUCUAAUUCGAUUAAAGAUCAUUGUGAAGCUGUAAAGAAGGUGAUGAGAUACUUGAAGAAAACCAAGGACUAUAUGCUAAUUCAUUAAAAUGUUGAAUACCUUAAGCUAGUGGGUUAUAUGGAUUCAGACUUUACCAGUUGUUCAGAUGAUAAGAAAUCCAAAUCAGCAUACAUCUUUAUGUUAACAACUGGUGCAAUAUCUUGGAAAAGUGUAAAACAAACACUUAUGACCUCAUCCACUAUGCAAUGGUGCAGCUAUAGAAGAAGUUUGGUUGAGAAAUCUUAUUAAAGAAUUAUUUGUGGCUAACUCUAUUGCUAGAACCAUACAAUUGUACUAUGAUAAUGCUGCAGCAAUUAUGUUUACUAAUAAUAAUAGGAAUAUCACAAUGGCUAAGCAUAUAGAGAUAAAGUAUUUGAAAGUUAAAGAACUUGUGAAAAAUGGUGACAUUGUAGUAGAACAUAUUGGAACUAAUGAUAUGAUUGUUAAUCCUCUGACCCAAGUGCUACGCACUAUCACCUUUAAGAAAUAUGUUUUUAACAUGGGUGUUUUAGACUCUUUUGAUGUGCUUGGUUAGUGGGAGGAUUUGACAUUGUUCUAUUUUAAGCUUUUGCCAUGUGUGUAAAGAAAUAUUCCAACCCUUGACCAUUAAUCUCAUGCUCCUAUCCUAAAUGCCCUACAAUUAUUGAAAUGUAGAAAGAAAAUUAAAUAAGAUAAAAUAAUAAAGAUAAACAAACCAAGUAAAUAAAACAAAUGUUAUUUUUUAUUUUUAAAAUUAAGGGAAAUAAAGUUGGAUAUUGAAUCAUAAUUAAUUAAGGCUUGAGAUAACACAUAAUUAAUUACUAGCUUGUCUCUCGAAGUCCUAAGUGGAGUCUCCAAGCUAUUGUAAUGUGCGGGUCUUGGAACCCUGAUCGCUAGAUGUGGAAAAACUGGGAGUCGCCACCGAUCUUUUUUAUCUAGGUGCUAUUGGCCACUUACUAAAUUUGUUCCAUUCAAUGAAGUCUUAAACUGGUUUUAGGUUCAUCUAAGAAACAAUAGUUUGGUCUGUGAAUUUUUAAAGUUCGGUUCGGGAGUACGAUUACACAUGAGGAAGGAUUAACACUUCCGUAACGCCCAUUCCACGAAUAGUACCAUCUAAUCCUAUGUUAUCCUAUAGAAGCCUUAAUUUUUAAAAUUAUUUCAUUGUGUUUUCUUAAUCAUUAUUUGUUUAUUCUAGUAAAUCAUGUUACAACCUAUUGUUGUGUCGUGCACCUGAUGCAAUCAUAAAAUGCAUGUCAUAAACAUUGGUAAAAUGUCAAAUGAAAACCUAUUAUUGAGAUUAUUCCCCGAAUCUGCCUAUCAAAUUGACAGGACUCAAGGAUAAUCUCUCACCUAGGGAAUCACUCGAGAAAGCUUACCUUCACAAGUUUAUCAGGUAAAUCCCAUCAUCAGAGUAAUCAUUCGUAUUUAAAAAUAAUAUUUUUGUGGAUGCAAACCAUAAUACAAGCGAAAGCUUUUUAUUUAAGACAUUCUCUGGGCCCUCCCAUCGUACUAGUGGGACUCAAAGGUGUCCUUUCACCUUGAGAAUUUACCGAAAGAACUCACCUUUACAAGCUCCCUCGAAAAGUUUUAUUAUCGAAGCCUUGACUCGUACACAAAAUACGUCUACAUGCCAUGACAUUUAGCGAUGCAGUGAUGAUGUGUAAUAUACCUGUAAAUUGCAAUAUUUAUUUCUUAACCUUCCAACAACUCUUUUGUUAUUUCUUUCAAACUUCAUUUUUCAUUAUUCAUCUUUGUGUGCAUACACAUCAUAAACAUUUUUUAUUUAUUAUUUUUUAUCUAACUAUAUUUUUUAUUUUUUAUUAUAUCUUUUUUAUAUUUAAGUAUUCACCUAUAGAGAUUUCCUUUUACUUAAAUACUAUUUUUUAAACCGAAUAUUUUACUUCAUAAUUACUAUUGUUUAUGUGUAUUUUUUGUAACUCAAUUCCUUUCCUAUUCUUUUAUUAACCUAACCUAUCUCCUUUUUGUCUAACUAUCUUUUUAGCUUUUCAUAAAUCUAUUCUUCGUAACUAGAUUAUUUUCUUUUUAUAUUUUAAUUGUAUUCGUUAUUAUUAUGGGUUUAUCAUCUCUGAAAAUUUUAUUUUUAUUUAUUUACCAUCAUGAAUAUCAUCAUUUUUCAUUAUUAUAUGUAUUUGUAAAACUAUAUAUAUUUUAUGUAUUUCCCCUCGGUAUAUAUUAUUAUUAUUAUUAUUAUUAUUAUUGUUUUCAUUACUUCAUUAUUUCUUUUUGUAUAUACAUUUUGUUUGGUUAAUAACCAGGUAAAUGUCUUUUUCCAUAUAUUUAGAAUUGUAAACAUCGGGACUCGAAACCCUCCCAUCAUACUGAUGGGGUUUUAAUCGAAAUCUUUAAUCUAGAAAAACUCAUUCGGGAUGGCAACUUCUCACAUACCAAACGAAUAUUCCAUCAUUGGUCCCAUCUAAGUACGUAAUAAGAUUAUGCUCACUAUUAGUGCUAUGUAUAUUUUCGUUACCUAAAAUAUUCUACUUUCCUAACCAUUAAUAUUACCUACGUCUUAAAUAAUUAUGGAUAUUAUUUACUUUCCAUAUGUGCAUUAUUCUAUUUAUUAUUAUUAUUUAUUUAUUUUACCUAACUAAAUCUACAUAUAAGAUUUUUACUACUAACAUUUACUCAUUCUUUUUUUAUAUGUAUAUUUUUAUCUAUCUAAGUCUAUAAAAUUGUUUACUGGAUAUUUUAUUUAUUUAUUUAUUUCUUUUAGUCAAAUAUUUAUAAAUUAUUUUUCUACCUAUAGUUUUCUGUUUUUUUUAUAUAUAUAUUUUUAUGUUCUUACCCUAAACUAAAUAUAUAUAUACACACACAUAUGUUCUCAAUUACUAUUAUCAUUCGUAUUAUUACUAAUAUUAUUUUAACCACUAACUUCAAAUAAAACUAAAAACAAACCUUUUAAAUAAUAAAGCCUAAUUUAAAUUAAACUAACAAGUUAAAUGGCCUAACAAACAUAAAAAACAAUGUAAGCCAACUCAAUGAAAUAACCCAAAUAACCAAGUCAAAAAAAAAUCCAUACCAAGUUUGGACUGUUAAAGCCCAAAGUCCAAUGAACCCAAUAGCUCCCCCUAGGUACCUCUAAAACGAGUCCGUUUUACCUCUCCACCCUUAGGUAAAAAAAGUUUUUCACCUCUUCCUUUCAUUUUCCUCUCUUAUUGUCUCUCCCUACUUGGCGGCACCCCUUCCUGUCUCUCUAGUCGAAAACCACGGCCCCUCUCUUCACUCUCUCACCACCGUUCGCUCUCCCCUUUCUUUCACCGCCGUUCACCUUCUCCGAGACUCUUCCUACCCAAGAAAAAAUCAUUUUUUUCUUUCCUUCCCGAAACCUAAUGGUGCUUCUCUUCCUAAAACGAUUUCCCCAAAAGCUUCAAAACCCACUUACCCCACCACGCGCUGCCUCCCAUUUGCUUUUUGAUUUUUAGUAUUGUUUUUUAUUUUUUUGGUGGUUGUGGUAUCUCACCAGUUGGUAGAGGUUAGGGUAUUUUUUCUUUUACAGGGCUUUAGGUUUUUAGCAAAGACUUCUAGGGUUUUCGAAAUAGAAAAUUUUUAGGGUUUUUCAUAUAUUUUUUGAAAGCUAGCUUCUCUCGUUUUUUUUUUUUUUUUAAAUCCGGCCCCUCCUUUUAUAAACGGGGGAUGGAUUUUCAAAAUCCUUCCUCCCUGUUUGCUGCCAAUGGUAGCGUCUCAGGGCUUACGUGCUGCCAAUGGUAGCGUCUCAGGGCUUACGUGCUGCCAAUGGCAGUGGCCAAACCCUUGACUUUUUGAAAUCGACUUUUUCUUGCCACAAUUUGAGGGAAGGGGAAAAGUGGCGUAAAUCGUCAAAAGGAAGGAAGCUUAGCCAAAGUUGACAUGCUUUGGGCCAUUUUUUCUUUUCACAAUGUGAAGGAAAGGGGAAAAGUGGGGUAAAUCGGCUUAACCAAAAUUGAUAUGCUUUGGGAGAAAGAGGCGCUGAUUCAAUCUUGGGAAAGGAGAAGGUAGACUCCGAUGGCAGUCCAGCCUUGGCUGGCUACCACAGCAGCUGCCUCGACUGCCAUGCCAAGCAUGGCAGCAAAUCAUGAUUUUUCUUCUUCAUUUAUUUAUGAAAUUAAGUAAAAAUGGGUGUCUACACUUAGUGGAAAAGAAGCUUGGAAAUCCACGUCAGGCGGGGAGGGAACAGCAGAAUAUAACAACGUCGGUGGGAAUAGUUCUGCUGGGUUUGAGUCAAGCUGAACUCAGAUGGAAGGGCUUAACAUGUAUGGCAAUGGUGUCGAUAAUGGCUUGGUGAUAAGGAAGAGAGUGAUGGUUGUAGUGGAUCAAAGCUCACAUUGUAAGCAUGCAAUGAUGUGGGCACUUACUCAUGUAGCUAACAAGUGUGAUUUGCUUACUUUACUGCAUGUUAUUUCUCCUAGCCAAAAGAGUCUUCAUCUUGUUCUCCUUACCUUGCUAACUCUCUUGGGUCACUCUGCAAGGGUUGUAAACCCGAGGUUGAAGUGGAAGCACUGGUUAUCCAAGGGCUUAAGCUGGCGACAGUGACGAGCCAAGUGACGAAGCUAGAGAUUUCCGUGUUGGUACUGGGUCAGAAAAGGCCAUCUCCGUUCUUAAACUGGUGGGUCCUUUGGUCCUCACCCUUUCCCACAAGUACACAUUUUCCAUCAUUCAUUCAGAUCUCAGAACCUAUCUCACCCUUUAUUAUCUUGCGAACUGUUUCGUGGUUGCUUUUGCAGUCUCUGCGGGACCAGCAGCUCUGAGGAAGUUGUGGAGCAAUGAAUCAAGGGUGCAGAUUGUUUAACCAUAGGGGCUAGGAAGCAGAGCUAAGGCGUCUGUGGAUACCUUAUUAACACUAGGUGGCAGAAGAAUUUCUGGCUCUUGGCUUAGUUCUAGUUAAUUUUUAUGGACUGUUAUUAACUAAAUAUAUAAAUAUAUAUGAUUCCUAGUUAGAUAACCCAGGAUAGCAUAUAAAAUCACUCUAAUAACAGUAUUAGCUUCUGAUCUAGGCUUCACCUUAUGUAUAACUACUACUGACUAGAUUUUCCUUUGUACCCUUCAUCAUUGCUAUAAAAAAAAAUGAGCAACCCCUGCCUAUGGCUUGCUCUAAUGAAAUUGAGGUCGUUGCGCUUCCCAGAAAAAAAAUAUUUUUGUAAUUUUUUAUUCAGAAUAUACUAAUAAUUUUUUAAAAUAUUUUAAUCUUUCAUUGAAAAUAUAUUAAUUAAUCUUUUUAUUAUUAAAUUUUUUUUCUUUAUCUUUAUAAAUUAUGAUUGCACAUGUCAUUUAGCUUUGAAUAGUUGUUACAUUUAUUAUCCUCUUUUUUAGUUAUUGUUUGAGUUCUCCGGUUUUAUUGAUUACCAUAUAUACAUCACGUUGCAAACUUGACUACGUACAGACAAAAUAGUGAUGAACAUAUCAACCCACUGCUGCCAGUUGAGUUUUUUGUUCAAAACUGUGCCGCAUUAUGUUCUUUAGAUUGUUAUCUACAAAUAGCUACAACAAUAUGCAACUUUGUAAUUAUAGAACUCUAAAAGUGAACCAAUCAUAGUUAUUUUGAUUUGUUCAUAUGUAGCAUAUGACAUCAUACAUGUUAUCCCAAAAAAUGACAAAGUAUAUUUUUAAAUUUCUAUUGUAGAUAAUUAGUUUGCACUGUUUUUAGGGCAACAGUAUUAUAAUCAAUAGUUAACAAAAGAAAUUUUUGCUUGUUCUCUCAUCAUAUCUGUAUAUCAUAAUUGUAAUAUUGCACUCUUGAAUACAUGCGAAUUGGAAAACUCUGAUACAAAGAUUGUAAUCCUGUUGAACUGUAAAUGGAUACAAUUUAUUUCUUUAUGUUUCACGUUAUAAAUUGUAUGAUUUUGUGCUACUACCGACAUGUAUCAAAUAUUUAAUAAUAAAAAUACUUAAAAUUUAUUCAAUCAAAUUGUAAUCCUUACACUAAUUUGCUAUAGUUAGUAAAUAAUUAUAAAAUUAUAUCCAUGAAGACAUAUUGAUACAAACUUUUUUGUAAAAAAUUUGUGAUAAAAUAUUCACAAAAUUUUACAACCCGCUGCAGAGCGAAGGAUGUGAUCUGUAAUUUUAAUAUUAAAAAGAAAUUCAAAAAGGUUAGUUAAGAUUUUCAAGUCAAGCAGCCGAGGGGUCAACAAGGCGUAAAGUAGCAGCCUGAUGAGCCUAAAUCUCAGCUCCCGACGUGUAUGCUGGGCUGGGAUCAUGUGCCUUGCUCAACGGGGUCCUAACUCCUAAUUAUUCGUGACGAAAAAGUUCAGAAAAUCUUGUCCAAGAUCUUCACUAAUUCAUUAAAUUAUUUUCUGGGUUUUAGUUUUUUUAUAAAUAUGAUAAAAAAAUUUGUACGUAUCAUUCUUUUCAUUUCACCUCUUAUUUUUUGUUCAUUUUUCUAAUUUCAUUAAAAUUUCCACUUUAUUCCCAUCGUCCAUUAAAAAAACAAAUCUAUAGACGUGACAAAUAAUAAUAUAAAAAAAGUCAAAACAUAUAUUUAAAAUAUGAGUUUUUAUAGUUAGAGUUUAAAAAAUAAAGGUUGCAUAAAAGGGGUAAUAUAAUAAAUGUUAAUAUCUUCUUAGAAAAUCAAGAAAUUUCGCAAAUUUCACUUUAAGAGUUGAAAUUUGAAAUGAAAAUUUGAACCCACCAAAAUCUGUCAUCCAAAUUCCAAGAAUUUUGAUAAUUUCAGUUUUUAUUUUAUCAAAAAAUUAAUUUGACUUUAAAAUUUUAAAACUCUCUUUACAACAAAAAAUCUUUCCUUGAAAUCCUUCAACCAUAAUAAUAGCUUUUUGGUGUAUACAAAUGAAGCCUACUGAUCGUCCUUCAAUGAACAAAGUUUUGAAGAUGUUCGAAACUGAUGUUGAACUCCUCGAAAUGCCUCCCAGACCUUUUCAACUUCCUUCGAAAGCACCAACUUCAUGUUAAAUGUAGUGUAAACUACUGAACGUGUAUUUCAUCAUGUCACCUACAUAAAUUUGUAAUUUUAUGCCUAGCGAUUCAUAAUUUAUCAUACAAUCUUUAUGUAAGAUACUUGUGGGAAACAAUAUCUGCAAAAAAACUUUAUGAUAAAAGAAAUCUUAUUGGUCAAUUUUCCAUUCAGUGAGCGGUAUAAUUAAGUUUAUGCCCCAGUCAAGGUUAAACUUCUAAAGCCCUGGAGGCUUGAAGGUUGUUUGCCGCUCAAGAAACGUCUCCUUUCAAGAAAUUGCAACUUAGAUGCAUGUGGAUAAAAUCUAUGUUUUUAUUGUUGUUUUUCUCAAUUUUUUCCCUUCCCCAAAAUGUGAAUCUAUUCAUCAUUUGUUUUUUUCAUCUUUGUUCUUUAUUUGGGGAGAUCAUCAGCUCCUUGUGUCUGGUGGAGUAAUUAAUAAUGGGUGAUCAUUGUGGCUGGCAAGUGGCAAGGAAUGAAAAUAACUUCUCUGCAAGUGAUUUGUGAUUUAAUUCGAGCUGGACUGAAAUGGUGGAUUAUAGCCAAAGAAAGUGCUUGCAGCUUUCUCCAAAAAAGUCUUCCUAAAAAUUAAUGAUAUUCCUGUGGAUCCACCCUCUAAGUUCUACAGGUCAAUGGUUUUCAGGUCCAUGGAUUGUCAAAAUAAUAUUCUAGAUUAAAUUAUAUAAAAUUCUUUUGCAAAUAAAAUGUAUAUAUAUAAUAUAAAUUUAUUAUUAAAAUAAAAAGUAAGGCAAACUAUUUUCGAAUUCAGUCUGAUAUUUACAUCAUUGAUUAAUAAAUUUUAACAUUUGAAUUAUUUUGGUGCUAUUAUAGAGAGGUCCUACUUAUAUCCACUGCUGGUUUUCGGAAAAUGAAAAGGAAAUUCCUAAAGAUAUUUUUUCCAAGAGCUUGACUUUGGUUUUUCAAACGGUGACUUGCUCCCAUUUAUUUAAAUCCAAAAAAAAAAAAAAAAGAAAAAUGUUUCAGUGGUCCUAUGUUUCCUUGACUUAAAAGCAUGUUUAGCCUCCUUCGCUUCUUCUUCCGUUAUUUGUAGCGUGUCAAAACCAAAAGUACAAGUUCCACUAGUUAAGUCGAGUUAUAGUCAAAGAAAAUGGCUCGGUGCUUUCUCCAACAUUAAUGAUAUUUCUUUGGAUCCACUCUCUGAAAUUGACAGGAUCAAUGGUUUUCUGGUCUAAUAAAUUUGUAUCUUAUUUUUUAUUUUCUUCGGAAAAUGAGAAGAAAAUUCCCCAAGAUAUUUUCCAAGAACUUGACUAAUUGGUUGAACUGUUUUCCACAUUGUCUUUGAUUUUGUUUGGAGCCAGUCUUGCCAUAAGUUAAUAUCUUCACCGUGGGAUUAUACUUGCUUUCAUCGGAAUGGUUGUUGGAAUAUUGAAGACAAAAACGACCCAAUGCUUCUAUAUAUCCUUGGCUUAAGAGUUAAAACUUGUUAUAGCCUCAUUCUCGCUCUACCACAUCCAAAUUUUACAAUGUCGAAACCAAAAACAGAACUGCCAUUGCUUAGCCUCAUGACCCUUGCUUUAUUGCUAUUCCCUGGUGCUUGCCUCGCUACAAGUGAAAAUAAGGACUGCGGCGGCUCUUCUUUGUGCGGCAACCUUACCAUCAGUCACCCUUUCCGAUUAAAAAGUCAACCUAAGUGUAACGACACUGAUCAUAGGGUUGAAUUGGAGUGUGAGAAUGAUAAUCGCACCAUUUGGGUCAUGAAAAAUGGAAAAUUCUACGUCCAGGAAAUCUUUUAUUCUAAUUUGACGAUCCGAUUGGUCGAUGGGAGCCUGGAUGCAGAUAAUUGCUCACUGCCUUGUACUUCCUUUGUUUUUCAUUAUGAUUUUCCGUGUGAGGGAGUUUGGUUUUCUAGUACAAUUCCGAACACAAUGUAUCUUGUCAAUUGCUCAAGACCAAUGAAUUCUUCUCUUUACGUUGAUGCCUCUCUCUGCACCAACAGCUCUCCCCAUCCACCUUCCUACUUUUACUUUUUAGAUCAACAAACACCAAGCCGCGAUUUCAACCCGUUUUGCACAGUCAUAAACGAGCAGAUUCCAAUUAUGAUUGAGAAUAUCACAGGUCUGUCUAGUUUUGAUAUCUACGAAAAGCUAUUAAUUGGCUCUGAUUUGUCAUUGGAAGAACAUCAUUGUUACCAGGAGGACAAACCUUCAAUAUCUCAAAAAUUUCAUACGAUGUAAGAAUUCUCAAGCAUUUAAAUUCUAUUUUCUUUUUUUUUUCUAGAAAUAAAAAUUAAAUCUUUCAUUCUGUAAUGAAAGGAGAUACAAAAAAAUGCCAAAGUCAGUCUCCCAAGGCCCUAAGAGACCUACUUUGGCAUUCCCUAAAAAAUUUACAAGUAUUACCUAUGAAAUUAGUUAUUCUCUAUCACCAUGCUAGGCAGCCUACAGAUGACACUUGGUUGCCUGCGAAAUUCAGCAUUGACACAAAAAAAAAAAAAAAAAAAAACAAACCAACAAAAAUGCANCAAGUUCUAUUUUUUAUGCCUCGGGGUCAUUACAUCUAAGCACUGAUCCUAAACAAAAUAACCUCAUCGGUUUGGCAGCUUAAUACAUCUUCAAAUUCAUGGUCGGAGUGACAUGACCUGCUAGUAGGAACACCGUCCAGUUUGCAGUGGUUCCUGCGUCUCUUCUUUAUCUGGGUUCGCUUCGCAGUUUCAUGUUUUAUCCACCCAUUAUGCUUUCAGUCUCAUCAUGUGCACCAGCCUAUCACUUCCUCAACUACCUAUAUAACCCAAAUUUCACAAAAUGGGUGCUGCAACCUCAUGGCAAACAGAUGUAGCAGCCCAUCUUUCUCCCUACCCUCUCCCCUUCCUAUUUCUCCCUUCCUUACAAUGUAGAGAUCUCUCCUCCAACCUCUUCCGAUGCCUCCAUCAACCUCCUGUCCUCUCCCUCAUUCGUUCCUUGCCACCCUGCUCUUUCUCCCUCCUCAUUCCCCUUUCUCUCUCCUGUGAGACAACAGCUCCCUCCCAAAACCUCCAUUCACCUCCCCCCGUCUCCCUCGUUCCCUCCAGAGAUCCUUCUCCUCCUUCCCUCCAUCCACAGUUCACUCAUUCUUUACCCUUAAAACCCCGCCUCCCCUUCGUUUUAACCCCUUUUGUUGAUCUGUGAUCCCAACAAAAUUACCCAACCAUAAUUCCAACACACACAAGCACAAGUUGGAUCUAAGCAAACAAAAAGUUGCUAAUCUGUUUGUAUUUUUUUUUUCUGUUGACCAGAUUCAUUUGCUCUCAAACUAUCCUUGCUGCCAAAAUACCAUACGGUACUUCAACUACCUUUUGUAAUUCUUUGUUUGAGCCACGCUGGACUAAUCCUCUUGCCUCCAAACUCUUAUUCUCCUCUCCAAUCACCUCCCAUAUUUACUUCCCUCCCCCCCUAAUUCACGCACAUAUGCCACCCAAGAGGGAAGCAGAGCUCCUAUCUUCCCCACUACCGCCACAUCAAGGCAUUCAAGUUAAAUUCUAUUUAGUAGAUUGGGUUUGGUUGGGACUUAAAAUUCUAAUUUGGAAAAUUGUGGUCAAAUAAUUAUCUUGAAUGAAAAGUUUCCUUUUUUUCCCUACAACUGUUUUUCCCAUUUCCUUGUGGUCAAAUAAUCAUUAAUAUUUCCAAUUAUUUUAAUCUGAUGCAUUUGAAUAUUUCAGGUUGGCAGAUUUGCUGUAUGGCUUGAGAAACUAUAUAGAUAGCUUUGUCCAUUUCCUUUUUCAAGGCCCCCAUGUAUCCUACAAUAGUUACAAUCCACCAAAAAGUAUGCUUUCCUAAGUGCAUUAAUAUUUUUCUUCUUGAAUUUGCCUUAAUUUGUGUUCCUUUGUUGAAAUUAGUAAUUGCAUAAUUUUGUUUUUUCUUGGUUUUUUUUUUUUUUGCAGGAACGUAUAUUAUAUGUCUUGAAGCUACAGGUACUUAAUAAGUUUUAGCUUUGCAUUUGCAUAUACAUAAACGUUGAGCAAUAUCAAUGUACUCAAAUUUAAGAAAAGAAUAUUAAAACAGCCUAUUAGAUCAUGCAAGCUUAUAUUUAGUUUUAUGGUAAAACUCAAAUUAGCACAGCACUUAAAGGAUUUUGGAGGGUUCUAGAAUAAAAUUCUAGAUUUUCUUUCAUUAUACAAGUACAGAUACAAAUACGUAGGAAAAGAAACACAUGAUAUAUAAUAAUACGAUCAACUAAAUUACUUAUUUGAAAUAAAUUGAAAAAAUUUUCUAUAAUAAUCUCGGUAGUCAAGGCAUAUAUGGAUAGGUUAGUUUGUAGGAAUUAUUAUUGCUUUCUCCAACAUUAAUGAUAUUUCUGUGAAUCCACUCUCUAAAAUUGACAGGAUCAAUGGUUUUCAGGUCCAAUAAAUUUGUACUUAAUCUAUCUCAUUUUAUUGUCCUUGUUUGACUUUCAGGGAGUUUAAUUUUUUAUUUUUUAUUUUAUAGUAAAAAUGUUUUUUAUAAAAUUAAUAUUCCAUAAUUUUUAAUAUCAAAAAAUAGAAAUUCAUGAAAAAUAAUUUUGAAAUGAAAAAUGGUAUGAUAUUAGGUGUUAAAAAAUGGAAGACAAGACAAGGCAACUACAUUACUGCAGGUUGUGACUAUAACUACCUUAAAUGUAGUAAAACUGUGCAAUGUUUCAUAAAAUAUUCUUUCUUAUAGAUGAAAAAAAUUAAUAGUAAAUAAAAAAAAAGCUGUGGACUUGAAUAAUAUGACCAAUUAAACUAAGUACUUAUUAAUUGAACAUAUGAAUGGUAAAAAUUAGUAGUAAAUUUUUUUUGUAAUGUAUAUGGUGAUUUUAGUAAUUAAGAAAUUACCGAAUGCACUACUGAGUAGAAUUUGUCUUUCAAGCUAUACUAUUUAAUUUCUUAUAUGAUAUUCAAACUAUACUAUUUAAUUCAUACUGUGACAAGUACAUGCUACACUUCUAAUUAUUUGAUAAUAGAUUUUGUGAGAAUCACGAACUUGUUUUUUUUUUGUCCUUUUGAAAGUAAGCAUCCUACUCUUUCAUCAUGUUAUAAAGUUUGUUAGGGGGAAAGAUAUGAUCACUUUUCUUUUGAAAAUACUGUCAUUUAAAUAUAUUAAUGAGUUCCAAUGUACUUUUGUUGAAAAGGAGGAGUUAUCUUAUUAUGAACUUUGUCGAGAAUAUGUUGCUUGAUUGCACUUGUUACAUACAAAUGGCGAAGAAGACAUUUAUCUAUGGAUGACACGAUUGAAGAGUUUCUUCAAAGUCAAAAUAAUUUAAUGCCGAUAAGAUAUUCUUAUCGUGAAAUAAAAAAAAUGAUUAGAAAUUUUCGAGAUAAAUUAGGUGAAGGUGGUUAUGGUUCAGUGUUUAAAGGAAAGCUUCGUAGCGGCCAUCUUGUAGCAAUAAAGUUAUUGGGCAAGUCAAAAGCCAAUGGGCAAGAUUUUAUUAACGAAGUUGCUACAAUUGGGAGAAUUCAUCAUGUUAAUGUGGCAAAACUCAUUGGAUUUUGUGUGGAGGGAUCAAAACAAGCUCUUGUAUAUGACUUUAUGUCAAAUGGAUCUCUAGAUAGGAUCAUAUUUGCAAAAGAGAAUAAAAUCACCUUAAGUUGGCAAAAAAUGUUUGAUAUUGCUCUUGGGGUGGCUCGAGGAGUUGAAUAUUUACAUCAAGGAUGUGACAUGCAAAUUCUACAUUUUGAUAUCAAGCCACACAAUAUUCUUCUAGAUGAGAACUUUGUCCCAAAAGUUUCAGAUUUUGGUCUUGCGAAACUUUAUUCAAUAGAUGAUAGCAUCGUAUCUCUCACUGCAGCACGGGGUACGAUAGGAUACAUUGCUCCUGAAUUGGUCUACAAAAACAUUGGAGGCAUCUCAAAUAAGGCUGAUGUUUAUAGUUUUGGAAUGCUAUUAAUGGAAAUGGUGGGAAAAAGGAAGAAUUUGAAUGCGUUUGCUGAUCACUUGAGUCAAAUAUACUUUCCUUCAUGGAUUUAUGGCCAAUUUCAUCAAGGAGAGGACAUUGAGUUGGGAGAGGUUACAGAUGGUGAAAAGAUAAUUGUGAGGAAGAUGAUAAUAACAGCUUGUUGGUGUAUACAACUGCCACCCAACGACCGUCCCUCAAUGAGCAAAGUCUUGGAGAUGCUUGAAACUGAUGUUGAGCUCCUUCAAAUGCCCCCCAAACCUUUUCAACUUCCUUUUGAAGUAUCAAUUGAGGGUCAUGCUGAUGAGAAUCCAAGUGAGGAUCUAACUUCAUCACUUCUUUCUUCAAAUGAAAUUAGCUUAAAUAUAGCUUAAGUUAUGAAACUUUUCAUUUUAUUACGUUAUCUUUGUACUUUGAUCAUAAGAAAAUAUCAUGUCCCUUUAAAACCUAGAAUUUUGUAUUGUAAUUUCCAAACUUGUUUCUGUACUUUGAGCUGUGUUUCUAUGGGUUUUCUUCUUUCGUACCCUUUUUGUACUUUUUUUCAUAAUAUCUUUCAUUUGGCUCAUUUGACCUCUGUUUGUUAUUGCCUUUGUUCAGCUUAACCUUCCCCCUCUUUGAAAAGACGGCUUGGAAGAAUUAAAAAUGGUAAUGGAAGCAAGAACUCAAUAAGAAACUGUUAGGAUAGUCUUGAAUUGUUAUUUAAUUAGGAUUGUUUAAUUCUAAUUAAAUUAGUAUACCUUACAAAAUAGUCUUUAAAUCUAGUUAGAUUAGAAUAACAAUUCCUAAUUCUAUUAGGAUAAGAUUCCUAAUUAUAUUAGGAUAAGGUUAUUGUAUUUGAUACUAUAAAAGGACUCUAUGGGUUAAAGAAUAACAAUCACCUAGAUUUAGAGAGAGUGAUUUAGGUGUACGGGGGAUAAGGGUUAUGAGUUUGAGACUGUUUCUUGUAAUCUCCUGAUUUUUCUCUUAGUGGAUUUUUCUCUGUUACUGUGCCCGUGGACGUAGGUCAUCAAAAGACCGAACCACGUAAAUUCUUGUGUUUCUCUGUGUGGGUGGGCUUGAUUUCUUUCUUUCUUUAUUCUAUUGAUUGGGUUAGAUCUUGGGCAAUUCUUUAGAGAUAAUUCCGCAAUUUCCCAACAAACUGGUAUCAGAGCUUCAAGGUCUUUGGUCAAUCUGAAUCUCGCUAUGACAACUUCGUAGACCAAGUAUGAGAUUGAAAAGCUUAAUGGAAGAAACGAUUUCAGCCUGUGGCGUGUUAAGAUGCGCGCAUUGCUAGUGCAAUAAGGACUGUUGAAGGCACUGAAGGGAAAAGAACAUCUUCCCUCGAAUUAAUCUGAUGGUGAGAAAGAUGACCUUAUGGAAAAAGCACAUAGUGCUAUUCUCCUUGCUUUGUCUCAUGAGGUGCUAAGAGAAGUCACAGAUGAAGAAUCUGCUGCUGCAGUGUGUUUUAAACUCGAAAGUAUUUAUAUGACCAAGUCCCUGACGAAUCGGCUUUAUAUGAAGCAACGAUUGUUAACUCUCAAGAUGUAUGAAGGUACAUCCGUUAAUACCCACAUUGAUGAAAGAUAUAGAGUUAUUCUUGAUUUAAAGAAUAUCGAUGUUAAAAUUGAGGAUGAGGACNNNNNNNNNNNNNNNNNNNNNNNNNNNNNNNNNNNNNNNNNNNNNNNNNNNNNNNNNNNNNNNNNNNNNNNNNNNNNNNNNNNNNNNNNNNNNNNNNNNNNNNNNNNNNNNNNNNNNNNNNNNNNNNNNNNNNNNNNNNNNNNNNNNNNNNNNNNNNNNNNNNNNNNNNNNNNNNNNNNNNNNNNNNNNNNNNNNNNNNNNNNNNNNNNNNNNNNNNNNNNNNNNNNNNNNNNNNNNNNNNNNNNNNNNNNNNNNNNNNNNNNNNNNNNNNNNNNNNNNNNNNNNNNNNNNNNNNNNNNNNNNNNNNNNNNNNNNNNNNNNNNNNNNNNNNNNNNNNNNNNNNNNNNNNNNNNNNNNNNNNNNNNNNNNNNNNNNNNNNNNNNNNNNNNNNNNNNNNNNNNNNNNNNNNNNNNNNNNNNNNNNNNNNNNNNNNNNNNNNNNNNNNNNNNNNNNNNNNNNNNNNNNNNNNNNNNNNNNNNNNNNNNNNNNNNNNNNNNNNNNNNNNNNNNNNNNNNNNNNNNNNNNNNNNNNNNNNNNNNNNNNNNNNNNNNNNNNNNNNNNNNNNNNNNNNNNNNNNNNNNNNNNNNNNNNNNNNNNNNNNNNNNNNNNNNNNNNNNNNNNNNNNNNNNNNNNNNNNNNNNNNNNNNNNNNNNNNNNNNNNNNNNNNNNNNNNNNNNNNNNNNNNNNNNNNNNNNNNNNNNNNNNNNNNNNNNNNNNNNNNNNNNNNNNNNNNNNNNNNNNNNNNNNNNNNNNNNNNNNNNNNNNNNNNNNNNNNNNNNNNNNNNNNNNNNNNNNNNNNNNNNNNNNNNNNNNNNNNNNNNNNNNNNNNNNNNNNNNNNNNNNNNNNNNNNNNNNNNNNNNNNNNNNNNNNNNNNNNNNNNNNNNNNNNNNNNNNNNNNNNNNNNNNNNNNNNNNNNNNNNNNNNNNNNNNNNNNNNNNNNNNNNNNNNNNNNNNNNNNNNNNNNNNNNNNNNNNNNNNNNNNNNNNNNNNNNNNNNNNNNNNNNNNNNNNNNNNNNNNNNNNNNNNNNNNNNNNNNNNNNNNNNNNNNNNNNNNNNNNNNNNNNNNNNNNNNNNNNNNNNNNNNNNNNNNNNNNNNNNNNNNNNNNNNNNNNNNNNNNNNNNNNNNNNNNNNNNNNNNNNNNNNNNNNNNNNNNNNNNNNNNNNNNNNNNNNNNNNNNNNNNNNNNNNNNNNNNNNNNNNNNNNNNNNNNNNNNNNNNNNNNNNNNNNNNNNNNNNNNNNNNNNNNNNNNNNNNNNNNNNNNNNNNNNNNNNNNNNNNNNNNNNNNNNNNNNNNNNNNNNNNNNNNNNNNNNNNNNNNNNNNNNNNNNNNNNNNNNNNNNNNNNNNNNNNNNNNNNNNNNNNNNNNNNNNNNNNNNNNNNNNNNNNNNNNNNNNNNNNNNNNNNNNNNNNNNNNNNNNNNNNNNNNNNNNNNNNNNNNNNNNNNNNNNNNNNNNNNNNNNNNNNNNNNNNNNNNNNNNNNNNNNNNNNNNNNNNNNNNNNNNNNNNNNNNNNNNNNNNNNNNNNNNNNNNNNNNNNNNNNNNNNNNNNNNNNNNNNNNNNNNNNNNNNNNNNNNNNNNNNNNNNNNNNNNNNNNNNNNNNNNNNNNNNNNNNNNNNNNNNNNNNNNNNNNNNNNNNNNNNNNNNNNNNNNNNNNNNNNNNNNNNNNNNNNNNNNNNNNNNNNNNNNNNNNNNNNNNNNNNNNNNNNNNNNNNNNNNNNNNNNNNNNNNNNNNNNNNNNNNNNNNNNNNNNNNNNNNNNNNNNNNNNNNNNNNNNNNNNNNNNNNNNNNNNNNNNNNNNNNNNNNNNNNNNNNNNNNNNNNNNNNNNNNNNNNNNNNNNNNNNNNNNNNNNNNNNNNNNNNNNNNNNNNNNNNNNNNNNNNNNNNNNNNNNNNNNNNNNNNNNNNNNNNNNNNNNNNNNNNNNNNNNNNNNNNNNNNNNNNNNNNNNNNNNNNNNNNNNNNNNNNNNNNNNNNNNNNNNNNNNNNNNNNNNNNNNNNNNNNNNNNNNNNNNNNNNNNNNNNNNNNNNNNNNNNNNNNNNNNNNNNNNNNNNNNNNNNNNNNNNNNNNNNNNNNNNNNNNNNNNNNNNNNNNNNNNNNNNNNNNNNNNNNNNNNNNNNNNNNNNNNNNNNNNNNNNNNNNNNNNNNNNNNNNNNNNNNNNNNNNNNNNNNNNNNNNNNNNNNNNNNNNNNNNNNNNNNNNNNNNNNNNNNNNNNNNNNNNNNNNNNNNNNNNNNNNNNNNNNNNNNNNNNNNNNNNNNNNNNNNNNNNNNNNNNNNNNNNNNNNNNNNNNNNNNNNNNNNNNNNNNNNNNNNNNNNNNNNNNNNNNNNNNNNNNNNNNNNNNNNNNNNNNNNNNNNNNNNNNNNNNNNNNNNNNNNNNNNNNNNNNNNNNNNNNNNNNNNNNNNNNNNNNNNNNNNNNNNNNNNNNNNNNNNNNNNNNNNNNNNNNNNNNNNNNNNNNNNNNNNAAGAUUUUGUUAGGAUAGUCUUGAAUUGGGAUUUAAUUAGGAUUGUUUAAUUCCAAUUAAAUUAGUAUACUUACAAAAUAGUCUUUAAAUCUAGUUAGAUUAGAAUAACAAUUCCUAAUUCUAUUAGGAUAAGAUUCCUAAUUAUAUUCGGAUAAAGGUUAUUGUAUUUGAUACUAUAAAAGGACCCUAUGGGUUAAAGAAUAACAAUCACCUAGAUUUAGAGAGAGUGAUUUAGGUGUACGUGGGAUAAGGGUUAUGAGUUUGAGACUGUUUCUUGUAAUCUCCUGAUUUUUCUCUUAGUAGAUUUUUCUCUGUUGCUGUGCCGUGGACGUAGGUCAUCAAAAGACCGAACGACGUAAAUUCUUGUGUUUUUGUGGGUGUGCUUGAUUUCUUCUUUCUUUAUUCUAUUGAAUUGGGUUAGAUCUUGGGCAAUUCUUUAGAGAUAAUUCCGCAAUUUCCCAACAGAAACAAAAUAGGGGCCCUCAAGAAGGUCAUCCGAGAGUUUGGUUUAUCUCGAUUUAAGUUUAACUAUACGUAGAAAUGGAAUGUGAUAAAUUAUUGUGCAAGCAAGAAUUAAGAAAGAAUAAAAAGCAUCGCUUAAUAUAAGGCUAAGAAAGUUUGUUAGGAAAAUAUUACAUAGGAUGCAGAAGAAAGAGAUUAAACAUGCAGUUGUAAAUUUUCUUCACUGACCCAAGAAGGAAAGCUCCCUGAAAAAUCAUUGAAUGACACAUCUCUGAAAUCGCAUUAUCAGUAAUGUCAUGACAAGUCUUAAGUUUAUAUGGGCAAGAUCAACUGUACAAUUACAAAAGUUUUCACUGGCAGCCUAAUUCCUUUUCAAAACCUAAACAAAAGCUAAGGGUCGAUCAGUAGCUAAUUUCUAUUUGAGUGUUCAAAGUUCAGCAUAUUUAUCAAACUUUCAACUUAUUCAAAAAAACAGAUUCACAAGAAGAACAACCAAAAAAACUAUUGAACCGGAGCAUCAACGCAAAAAUAGCUCCCAACCAUGAUGGAGCCCUGCUGAAAGUCCCAUUUCCGGAACAUCCAAUCCUGCCAAAACACAGCGAGGCCACUCAUAAGAAUCUGUCCCUCGUUCAGACUGUUAUGACAUUUAUUGCUAUGAUAUGUAAUACUAUUCACAAUUCUUGGCAUCAAUUCAUAAUUCUUAACGUCAAAUGUGGAUAAUUUUUUUUUUUUAGAAAAAAAGCUUGGUGUUUUGGUAAAAUUGAUCAGCUUUGCUGGAAUUGGGUAGUUUAGUGAAAUUAAUCAUAGGAUUUAGAUUCUAUUUACUUUAUUAAAUCAUAUUAUGAAUUAUAAUUAAAACCAAAUAAGUUUAAUCCAUUUUUUAUAAAAAAGAAAAACAAAUUAAAUAAUGUAAAUAUACACUUUAUUAUUUGAAAAAUUCUAACAUUUUAUACAAUUAUAACUGAGAUUCUAAAUAUCUUUGACAAUAUCAUAGGACUGUAUUACUUUGAUAUCUACGAAACGCUAUCAAUGGACUUCGAAAUGUCAUGGCAAUUCUAUGAUAUGAGCUGCGCUGUCCUCCACAUAUAUCCAUUUCAUAAGAUGAAAGAAUUUUGCAAGCAUUUGAUCAAUUCUAUUUCUUUCUCUGGGUUUUCUUGGUUUUGUUAAAGUUACGAUUGGAAAAGUAAAAUUAAUUAAAAUCCACAUUUUACUCAAAUUUUUUGCUUAAAUUAAAACAUUUUGAAUUCAUUUGUCAUUAAUGUAAUUAUUUUGAUUCAAACCAUAUUUUAAUUAAAACUUGUUACACUAAUACAAAACAUCAAAACCAUAUUGUAAAUAAUUAGGAUCUUCAUUUUAGUCCAUUUUUUGUUUAAAUUAAAACAUUUUGAUUUCAUCUUUCAUUGUAAUUAAGUUUGACUCAAAACUAUAUUUUAUUAAUCAAGGCAGCUGAUGUAUUGCAUUUAUUUUAAUAUGAUAUACUGAAUAUUCAGGGUUGGCAGGAUUGCGAUAUGGCUUGAGAAACUAUAUAAACAGCUUUGUCCAUUUUCAAUGGAUUUCCAACGAAAUAGAUUUUUUUUUUUCUACGGAAAAUUUUGUUGAAAAUCUAUUGAAAAAUUUUAAAAAUUUUCACUUCUACCAAAUUUUUUGACAGAAUUUCCUACAGAUUCUCAUCGAAAUUUUAUAACGGAUAAAAUUCAGUUGGUAAUCCAUCAAAAAUAUUAGGUGCCAAAAGAAAUUCAUUCCCGCCAAUUUUACAACGGACCUGUUUGUUGAAAAAAGGUUUUACAACAGAAUAUUUAAUAGGAAAAUUCCAUUGGUAUUAAUAUUUGUUUUUUAUUUUUUUAUUCAGAAUUAACUAAUAACUUUUUUAAAUAUUUAAUCUUUCAUAGAAAAUAUAUUAAUUAAAAUUUUCAUUAUGAAAUUUUUUUUCUUUAUCUUUAUAAAUUAUGGUUGUAUAUGUAUAUUAGUCUUUAACUUGACUAAAACAAGCAUGCAUGCAUGCAUGUUAUCUAUGUACAUAUCGAGUUUUAUAAUAUUAAAAAUUUAAAUAUGCUUUUCAAAGUUUAGUUAAACCAGCGGGAGGAGAAGUCGUACUUUUACUUUUAUCUUAAUCGAAUUUGUAGAAUCAUAGUUUAAUGGAAAAACAAUUGUUUUUUGGUAGGUACACAACUAGUGUGUGUAUAUAUAUAUAUAUAUAUAUAUAUAUAUGGUGCAAUAGGCAAAUUCAUCAGCUGGAAUGGCUGUGAAUGAUGAGUGCAAGCAGAAGUUCUUGGAACUAAAAACAAAAGAGGAAUCAUCGAUAUAUUGUCUUGAAGAUUGAUGAGAAGACGCAAUAGGUGAUUGUAGAGAAGCUCGGGAGUUUGGGAGCAACUUAUGAUGAUUUCACCAACUUCUUGUUUUCUAAUGAAUGCCACUAUUCUGUCUUUGAUUAUAAUUUCACUAUGAAUGAGAAUUGUCUGAAAAGUAAGAUUUUCUUCUUUGCAUGGUAUAUGAAAGCGAAAAAGAAAAACCCAACACCUUGUUUCUCUUUGCUCAAUUUUUGAAGGAUCGUUACAAUUAAAACGGCUGCAAUGUUGUUUGUGGUUUAGGUCACCUGACACAUCAAGGGUGAGGACUAAGAUGCUUUAUGCAAGCUCCGAGGACAAGUUCAAGAGCAGACCCUUUGGGAUUUCAAAGGUAUUGUUGGCUUAAAUUUCAAGAGCUUGGCAUAUUCGUUCAACAAAUGAAACAUAUAAUCAUAUAUGUUUCGCAUUGUCAGAAACUCUUCAAUUAGUUUGCUUUCUUCCUUCCCAAUAGCCUGUGCCUGAAAGAGUAAAGCGUAUUGUCUUAUGAGAUAAAAAGGCUGUGAAUGACAUAUAAAGAAGCAGACAAGUUUCAAACAAAAAAAAAUUUGAGAUGCAAUCCAAUCCAAUCCAUAUUCCAUUUGCUAAGAAUAUAUGUAUAUAUACACCUUGUGAGGGUGAUUAUUGCCCCAUUCAAUUGCAAACUUUAGAUCUCUGCAUUCGCUUGUGUUUGCGGAUGGGCCAGUUGUGCUGCAUUGGCACCAUGCGUCUCAAGAAGAGAUCAUAGUAUCGGGGCGUUAUCAUCAAGGUCAUGCUAUUGCAUGCUAGUAUGUAUUUCUCACUGACAGACCUUGUCACUCCUUCUACAUAAAUUUUAUAUCUUUGUACAGAUGGUACCAUACCAAAAUUCAAAAUCUUUGUUAGUAUCAAAGAAAAAGAGUAAUGAGUAUUUUAAAAUUGAAAUUUAUGAUAACAGAAAUGAAGAAAUAACCUUCAAUAAGAAUGAUAUAAGAAAGGUUCCAUAUAUACCCACUACUAAAAAAUUGAGUUUUAAUCACACUUCUUUAGGUGAUAUAUUUUUUUGUAUGGUAAAAUUUUAAAAAGUGUAGCUAUUUAAACUUUUCGUUUCACUUUUUUCACAUUUAGUAGUAAUAUAAAAAAGUGCAACCUUUGCUAGUGUGUGCAAUUCCUAUCGUUAUAUUUUAUUUAUAAUGCAUCUAAAAAUUUAUAUAGUGAGGUUAGAUCUACAAAAAUGUUCUAAAAAACAUAAAAAAGUGUUAUUACAAAUAUUUUUAGUAGCACAUUUUAAAAAUGUGCUGUCUUAGGUUAAAUUUGUUGUAGUGACUAUGGGUGCAUUGAUCUUCCAAUUUGGAAUGCUUGAACCCUUCUUCAUUUGCCUUGGUCCAAUUCUGAAUAUUUUUUUUUAAAGAACAAAUUGUUAAUUAUGUAUGGAUUUUGUAAUUUUCUAACUUGGGCAUUAUCUAAUUUUCUCAUGACUUCAAUCAAUAUAUAGAAGCCCAUCCAAGACUCAAAGUGGCAAAAGAAACACAAUCUUAAAUAGUUACCUGGGUAUAAAGGCAAACAUUCCAAUCAUAUUUAUCUGAGAGGUUACAUUUCUGAAGGUAUUUCCUUUCUGAAGAAGUAUAUGGGUUACCCUCCCAAUAGGCGUAAGGUUUCCUAUCUUCGCAAUUGAUCCUCUUGUUGCCAUUUUUUAUUGCACUCAGCAUCUGCCCCCACGGCAUUAUAUUAACCUUAGCCUUGCCAGAGCAAAACAAAGUAAACAAGACUAGCUAGUUAAUUGCAAUUAAAAUUUGGUAGUUUUUUUUUUACUUUUUUUUUCACAAUGCCAAUGUGUUGUGGUAAUAUGUACAAGAAUUUAUCAUCCCUAGAAGGUCCAAUUAGGGAACACAAUGUCGAGUGCUUCCUCCUCACCACAGUAAUGAAACAACGGCGGUGGUGAUGUAGCAUUAGGUCCUGGGUAAUCCGUUUUCUUGAUCCUUUUCUUGUCUCCAGUAAGGACAAAAAGGUCCAAGUUUGGUAGCUUUCCAGGGUAAAAUCUUAGAAGCUGCAAAGUGCCCUAUAGCGUAAAUAAAUCCUUGGUUUCAUAAGGCUCGCCAAACAUUUUCAUGCAAACCUCACCCUUGACAAUUACAAGUCUAAGCUCUGCACUCGAUUUCCCUCUUUCAAUCAUCUCUUCUAUAAUUCCUGAACUUUUCCAAUGCUGUAAAUCAUGGUGGAUCCACUGGAAGUAGUUUGGACAAGUUUCAAUUGACAAUUCAUCAGGCUAAAAUACCGAUGGGUAAUUAUCAGGGCAUUUCUAUUGCAAUCCUGAAUUAGAGCAAUUUAGAGCAUAUUGAAUUCUUGGCUAGAGCUUUGUAGUGCUACUUCAUGAGCAAGAAAUCAUCAGGCGAAAUAGAUUGCCUUGUAUAACAAGCUGAGAAAAAAGUAGAUAAAAAAAAAGUUAAGCAGUUGCAGUAAUCUUCUAGUAACAGAACUUGAUAUAUGGAAAUCUAAUGCCUUUGAUGUAUAUAUACCAGUACCGCUUUCAUUCUCUUAGGGUUUAUUGUCUAAACAAUAAGAUAAUAGUGCCAGCAUGGACUCUCAAUUGAGUCAGUCUCUGGAUGCAUUAUACAAAGAAUGUCUAGGGGUAUCCAUAUUUUCCCUUUCUUGUUUGCUAGACAUAUUAGCAGUUGCCCUUUGCAAAUUUGAUUAAAAAAAAUCCGUGCACCUAUGGUGCAUUCAAUUCACAUGCUGAUGGAGAGAAUUCAUUUCAAAGUGACAAUUAAGGAUCUAAAUGGUGUUUUUGUAUUCUAAACAUAGUUUAAUAAUAUCUAAAUACCAGUAUUGCUGGUAUUAGUUACAUCUAAAUAACAGUAUUAGUUUAUGAUACACAAAAAAAAAAACAGUAUUAGUUAUAUCUGAUAAUUUGUUUUAAUAAUAAAUACACACAUUUUUCAUUUUAUUCACUCUUAGAUACAUUUACUCAUCUCAACAUUCUCAAAUUUUACCUAAUAAAAAAAAUUAGCAAAAGUUGAUGGAUAGUGAGGGAAAAUAGCGGUGGAGGAAGCAGAAUUUAGGAGAACCUUACCACAUACAUAAAAUGAACCAAGGUAGCACUAAGGAGGAAGAGGAAGAGGAAGAUGAAUAUGCAAGUAGCUGUGAAAACUAGUCUCUUGACCCGUCCAAGACCAACCUUGGAAAAGCAACCACAGACUUGAAAAAAUCUUCCCAUGGAAAUAUGCGGAUGACAAGGUCAAAGGCUCAAUGCUUGAAGAUUUAAGAUUACUCUUGGUAGUGCUAAGAUUCACAACUUUGAUUCAAAAGCCAACGUUUGGGUGGCCCAAUAUAUAAACAAAAAACAUGAGGCAAAAUAAAGAAUGUAGGAUAUGGAUUUGAAGAUAAUAUGGAAAUCAGACCAUGUGUGGUAUGUGGGCUUUCCUUGAGCCAAUUGCCUUUGAUGUUUAAUUUAUAUAUGGUAAGAUGCAGGAAAUGCGUUCGCAGUUGUAGUCAUAUACCAUAAAUAUGCUGUCAAAAUUUUAGAAGAUGAGAUAUUAACUAAAUUAUAUUUGGAAUUAUGUACACAGUUUCGUUUGGAGAGAGAUUUUUUAAGUUUUUGACUUGGCUGCUUUUCCUAAAUUAUUAAUUUUAAUUUAUUGUUUAGAACUAUUCUAUUGAUCUAUUGGUAGAUUAAAAUACAAAGACUAAUCAAAUGCAGGGAAUCUAGUACAAGGAUGAUAUAUGGCAAUUUUUUAUUGGGUUUGAGACAAAUAAUUCAGUGCCAUAUCCAAAAACAAUAAUAAUUUUAACUAAAAAAGAUCAUGGAAUUAAUUGUUUUUGAAAAAUAAAAUAUUUUAACAGCUAACUUAUUAAUACACACUUGAACUUUAAAAAAAAAAUACAACAACUAAGUUAUGUUGUUCAUAAGAUACCUUCCAUGCUAAUGAAUGUCGCUAUGCUGUCUUCGAUUAUAAUUUCACUACGAAUGAGAAUUAUUGGAAAAGCAACAUUUUCAUAUUUGCAUGGUAUAUGAAAAAGAAAAACCAACACCUUAUUUCUCUUUGUUCCUUUUUUGAAGGAUUGUGUGUCAACAGAACUUUUCUCGAUAAGAUGUGGUCUUAGACAGGGGUGUCAAUUGUCAUCGUUUCUUUUUUAAUAUUGUAGCGGAAGCUUUUAACUACAUUAUGGAGAAAGGGGAGGCUAUGAGAUUACGUCAAGGGAUUCCCACUGGCACCAACGGACUAUGGAUCUAUCAAUUGUUGGUCGCUGAUAAUAUCAUGAUUUUCUAAAAACAAUAGUUGGAGAGCCUCUUCUACAUUUUUUUUGAAAAGUGAGAUUUUAUUAGCUCCAAGUACCAUCAUGCCAUUAGAAGUCUCUAGCUUAUUUAGCUAGAUUUUGGGCUGAGGUAGCAAGCACAAUAGUUUAUCUACAUAAUAUUCUUCCUCCACGAACCAUGAAAAUCUCAACUCCCUAUGAGCAUUGGUUUGGAAAAAAAACCUUCUGUGAAUCAAUUAAAAGUAUUUGGUUGCAUUUGUUACCAACACAUACCGAAAGGGCAUAAAGAUAAAUUGCAAUCAAAGGCAUUAAAAGGCAUUUUUAUUGGGUAUAGUCAACAGUUGAAAGCUUAUAGAAUUUAUCAGCUUGACUCAAGCAAGGUUGCUAUUAGUGAAAAUGUGGAAUUUGCUAAGAAUGAUGAGUGGAAUUGGGAACAACAAUAGAUAGUGAGCAUUACACCUCUAAUGUAUCGCAUUGAAAGUCAGAAUAUUGAUGAUGAUAAACUUGAUGCAAAUCAAACCACAAAUGAAGCUCUUAUAAAAGAGACAAUUUAUUCAAGAUAUUUAUGACAAAUGUUAUGUUGCCUUGUCGGAACCUACCUCAUUUGAUGAAGCUUCGAAGCAUGUUGAAUGGAAUGCUACCAUGAGAGAAGAAAUUAAGAUGAUUGAGUAGAAUAACAUUUGGUCCUUGGUAGACAGACCUCGGCACCACCAAGUGAUUGGUGUGAAGUGGAUUUUUAAAAGAAAAUUCAAUGCAGAUGGCUCAUUGAAUAGAUGCAAGGUGAGACUAGUAGCCAAGGGAUAUGCACAAUUAACUGGUGUCAAUUAUCAGGAGACUUUUACUCUUGUAGCAAGGCUUGACACAAUCAGGUCAUUGAUUGCUCUCUCAGCAGCAAAGAAUUGGAGAAUUUAUCAUUUGGAUGUCAAGUCUGCAUUUCUAAAUGGUAAACUUGCAGAAGAAAUCUAUGUGAAACAACCAAUAGGAUUUAAGAUUGAAUCUAGAAGAGAUAAGGUUUAUAAGCUCCACAAGGCAUUAUAUGGCUUAAAACAAAAACCACGUACUUGGUAUAGUUGUUAAGAGUGGUUCCUGCCUUAGCUUUGAAGUCGUUCACAACAUCAAUAGUGGAGCUUUGCUUAUUGUUAAGUGGCUACUUUACUGUUAGUGUUAGAAGUUGGUUGUGAUGCUUGGCCACGUUUCAUGUACUAGGUGGUUAUCCCAUACUAGGUACCAGACUUAGAAUGCACCCAUCGUAGCACUAACUUUCUUGAUUUUCUUUGUUAACUAAACUAGAUUAUUUUCCUUGACUUUUUGUUUGGUAGUUGCAGUUUUUAAGUAAUCUAUUGUAAGACAAGUGUGUAAGGUUAUUUUGAUCAUCUUCUCUAGUGUCUAGUAAUUGGUUUUCGAUAUCUCUGGUUUUUCUCCUUAAAACUUUCUUUACUUCCUUUGUGAGUUCUUUCAUAAUCAUCAACCAAAUAUGUUUCCUAACGUAGUAUCAAAGUAGUAAGAAGGAUCUUAAGGGACCUAAUUUUUUUUUCUUCAAGUGUGAAAGCCAAUAUCAUCUUAGUAUUCUCUUUUGCUUACAUCUCAUUGUGUUUCAAUGGCUUUGGCAAGUUACAAUGCCUCCGCUCCAUUUGUUUUUUCUGGAGAUAAUUACCUUAUAUGGGCUAUUAAGAUGAAGGCUUAUCUCCGAGCCUUUGAUUUGUGGGAGGUUGUAGAAGUUGGGGGAGAACCCCCGUUUAUGAGGCAUGCCAAUCCUACCAUCACUCAAAUAAAGUAGCACAGUAAAGAGGUGGCUAAGCGUUAUAAGGCUAUCUCUUCUAUUCACUGCAUCGUGACUAACUCAAUCUUCACAAAAAUUAUGGCUUGUGAAUCUCCAAAAGAAGCUUGGGACAAGCUUGAAGAGGAAUUUCAUGGUAGUGAUAAAACAGGACAAAUUCAAGUACUCAAUUUACUGAGGGAGUGUGAGGUAUUAAAGAUGAGAGAAGAUGAGACAAUAAAAGACUGUUUAAAGUAUUGAAGAUUGUCAAUCAACUGAGGUUGUUGGGUGAGGAGCUCUUUGACAGAAGGAUUGUGCAUAAAUUUCUGGUUAGCUUACCAAAAAAAUUUGAAGCAAAAAUCUCCUCCUUGGAAGACUCAAAGGAUAUGUCUAAACUUUUGGUGAUUGAACUGGUAAAAGCAUUACAAGCGCAAGAACGAAGGAAAGCCAUUUGUCAAUAGGAGAGUGUUGAGAGUGCUCUUACAACAAGGAUAAACUUUCUCAGAUUUGUUUAGCAACUAUAGUGCUAAGAAACAUAACACCAGGCGAGAUACAGAAAAAAAGAAUGGUGAUGGCAAGCUAAACAAAUAAGGAAAUAAAUUUCCUCUAUGUUAGCACUGUAAAAAAAGGAACCAUACUCCUACAUAUUGUUGGUACAAGCUUAACAUUAAGUGUAGGUCUUGUAACUAAUUAGAUCAUCUCAAAAAGGUAUGUAAAGCCAAGCAUGGUCACACAGAUGAAAAGGCAGCAAUUGCAAAAUAGGUAGAUGCAACAGAAGAACAACUCUUUACGGCUCAGAUUGCUGAUGAUAAGGAAAGGAACACAUGGCUUAUAGAUAGUGGGCACUCCAAUCACAUGACAGGGAAUGACCAACCCUUUACCAAGUUUAACAGAAACUUCAAGGCAAGAGUUAUAAUUGGGAAUGGCCUUUAUUUAAAGAUUAUGGGAAUAGGAAGAGUAGUUGUGGAAACAAUGAACUACAUUAAAUACAUCUCAAAGGUCCAUUAUGUGCUUGAAGUGACACAAAAUCAUUUAAGUGUGGGUCAACUAGUUGAAAAUCAUUAUGCUUUUUUGUUUAAAGAACAAUUUUGUUCAAUUUUUGAUCCAUCUGGCAAUGAGUUAAUGACAGUCAAAAUGAGAAAUCAAAAGCUUUUCUAUUGACUAAAUGAAAAUUGAGCAUACUGCCUGUGUUAGUAAAAAAAUUGAUGCUAAAUUGUGGCAAAAAAUGUUAGGACAUGUAAACUUUAAAUCUUUGAGUUACAUGAUUAAUUCUAACACUAUUGAAGGACUUCUUGGUAUGUCCAUUCCUAAGUAAACUUGCAGCCCUUUUAUGCAUGGCAAACAAAGUCGUAUGCCAUUUCCCUUUUCAAGUUCCCGGAGAGCAAAUGACAAAUUACAACUAGUCCAUUCUAAUGUUGGUGGUCCAGUUAGUACUGCUUCACUGACUGGUAGCAUCUAUUAUGCCAUUUUUAUUGAUGACUUUUUUCAAUAUUGUUCGAUUUAUUUUCUAAAAAAUAAAUCAGAGGUAUUUGAAAAGUUUAAGGGCUUUAAGGCGUUGGUGGAGAAUGAGUCUAAAAAUCGUUUGGAAGUUUUUAGAACUGAUAAUGGUUCAGAGUUCUAUUCAAAUACUUUCAAGAGUUACCUUGUGGAAAAGGGAAUUAAGCAUCAGUUAACAAUCAUAUACACUCCUCAACAAAAUGGCAUUUGUGAGAGAAAAAAUAGGACCAUAUUAGAGAUGACAUGCUGUUUAGUACAUGAGAAAGGAUUGCCCAAGUUGUUUUGGGCAAAGGCUGCAAGUAACACAAUAAUUUUGCUUAAUAUCGUGCCUUCAAGCAGUCUAAAAAAUUGGAAUGCCCAUGAAAUCUGGUUUUGAGAAAAACCCUUUGUGACUUACUUGAGAAUUUUCAGGUGCAUUUGUUAUGUGAAAAUUCCUCAUAAGAAGAGAACCAAAUUAGAUUACAAGACAAAGAUUUGUAUUCACCUUGGUCAUAGCAGUGUCUCCAAAGGAUAUCGGGUUUACAUUGUUCAAAGCAAGAAAAUAUUUGUCAAUAGAGAUGUUUGGUUCGAUGAGAAAAGCAUAUGGCAUUGGGAAAAGAAUGCUGUUGGAAUUUCAGAGAAUUUGAACUUCCUUGAUGAUGUAGUUUUGAAUGAACAGAAUCAUGAAGAAGAUAUUAAAGAUAAGAGUUUAGCAGUCAAAAGAACAAGAACAUUACAAGACAUAUAUAUUAAAUGCAAUAUUGUUAUAGUUGUGCCCUCCAAUUUCGAAGAAACAUCAAUAGAAAACAAUUAGAGACAAGCCACGGAGACUGAAAUAGAAAUGAUCAGAAAAAAUCACACUUGGGUCCCUGUUGAUCGACCAUCAGAUUAAAAUAUCAUUGGAGUAAAAUGGAUAUUUAAAACAAAGUUGAAUGAUGAUGGAGCAAUCAAUAAAUACAAAGCCAAGUUAGUUGUUAAAGGGUAUUCCCAAGUUUAUGGGGUGGAUUACUGGGAAACAUUUGUUCUAGUGGUCAGACACGAUCCAAUAAGAUUACUCAUUGCUAUAGCAGCAAGAGUAGGGUGGAAAAUCUGGCAUAUGGAUGUCAGGUCAGCUUUUUCGAAUGGCACAUUAUCUAAAGACAUCUUGAUUAAGCAAUCGGAAGGCUUUGUAGAACUUGGCAAUGAAGGAAAAGUUUGCAAGCUUGUAAAGGCAUUAUAUGGGCUCAAAUAUGCUCCCCGAAAAUGGUAUGAUAGAAUUAGCACAUAUUUAAAGUCUUAAGGCUUUAUCAAAAGUGCUAACAAGCCUACAUUAUAUGUAAGUGCUUCAUCUAUUUUUGAUAAGCUCAUUAUUUCUCUUUAUGUGGAUGACCUGUUGAUCACUGGUCCUAGUGGGUCGGUUUUUGAUGAUUUCAAAAGAAGCAUGAAAUAAGAAUUUGAGAUGUUAGACUUGGGGGAAACUUAUAGAAGUUUAAUUGGUUCUUUACUAUACUUAACAGCCUCAUGGCCUGAUUUAAUGUUCACAACAAGCUUAUUAUCUAGAUACAUGCAAGCUCCAUUAGAGAUUCAUUUUUUAGCUAUGAAAAUAGUUCUGUGAUAUAUCAAGGGAACCAUGGACUAUGGAUUGAAGUUUGAAAAACAAGAAAGCAAGGAGCUAAUGGGAUAUUGUGAUAGCAAUUAAGCUGAAUGCUUGAAUGAUUCCAAGAGUACAAGUGGAUUUUGUUUUUCAUUCGACAAUGCUGUUUUUUCUUGGAAUUCUUGAAAGCAGAAAGUGGUUGCCCAAUCAUCAGUAGAGGCCGAAUAUAUCUCUGUUGCUUUUUUGGCUUAAAAAAAUGCUUGGAGACUUGGGUUUCGUACAAACAGAGGGCACUACUCUGUUAAUUGAUAACAGGUCAGCCAUUUCAAUUGCCAAAAAUCCUAUGCAGCAUGGUCGCACUAAACAUAUCAGAGAUAAAUAUUGAGUUGGUCUACAAAAAUAUUAGAGGCAUCUCAUACAAAGCUUAUGUUUAUAGUUUUGGUAUGUUGUUGAUGGAAAUGGUGGGAAGGAGGAAAAAUUUGAAUGCAUUCGUUGAACAAUCAAGUCAGAUAUACUUUCCAUCAUGGAUUUAUGACCGAUUUGAUCAAGGAGAGGACAUAGAGUUGGGAGAUCUUGCAGAUGUGGAAAAGAUAAUCGUGAGGAAGAUGUCAAUAAUAGCUUUUAGGUGUAUACAAAUGAAGCCUAAUGAUCGUCUUUCAAUGAACAAAGUCUUGGAGAUGCUCGAAACUGAUAUUGAGCUCCUCAAAAUGCCUCCCAGACCUUUUCAACUUCCUUCUGAAGCAUCAACUUCAUGUUAAAUGUAGUGUAAACUGGUGAACAUGUGUUUCAUUAUGUCACCUAUGUCGUUUUGUAAUUUUAUGCCUAGCGACUCAUAAUUAAUCGUACAAGUUUUAUGUAAGAUACUUGUGAGAAACAGUAUAUGUAUAAAAUCUUUCAGAUAAAAGAAAUUCGAUUGGUCUAUUUCCAUUUAGUGAGCGGUUAAACCAUUUUGUUUUAAAGCCCUCGAAGAUUGUUUUUCGCUCAAGAAAGGUCUCCAUUCAAGAAAUUGCAACCUAGAUGCAUGUGGAUAAAAUUUAUGUUUUUAUGGUUGUUUUUCUCAAUUUUUUUCCCUUAAAGUGUGAAUCUAUUCAUCAUUUUUUUUUCAUCAUUGUUCUUUAUCUAUUUUUUUUCACCUUUGUUCUUUAUCUAAGGACAUCAUCAGCUCCUUGUAUUUAGUGGAGUAAUUAAUAUUGGGUGAUCAUUUUGGCCCACCUUAUUUUAAUAUUAAGGUGUUUAGUUGGUUGGCAAGUGGCAAGGAAUGAAAAUAACUUCUCUACAAGGGAUUUGUGAUUUAACUCGAGCUAGAUUGAAAUGGUGGAUUUUAGCCAAAAAAAAUUGCUUGCUAGUUUCUCCAAAAUAGUCUUCCUCAAAAUUAAUGAUAUUCCUUUGGGUGUACCCUCUAAGUUUGAUAGGUCAACGGUUUUCUGGUCCAAUUUGGACUCCUUGUAUCUCAUUUUAUUGUUCUUUUUGAUUUUCAAGGAGUUUAAUUUUUAUAUUAUUUUAUAUAAAAAAUACUUUUUUAUAAAAUUUUAAUGAAAACUUUCAUUUGAUUGCCAUCAUUCAUUUAAAAAAAGAUCUUAGAAAUGUUUUAAAAGUAUUCUUUUUCAUGAAAAUGUGGCAUCUUUUUCAGGUAUGAUAGUUAUAGCUAUCUAAAAAAAAAACAUCAAUCACAAAAUUCUAUCACGAACUUUUUUCAAAAUUUGAAAUUUCAAAUUUCAAAUUGAACCUCUCAUUGUAAUGGUUUUUUGUUUGAAAAUUUUAUUUUAGUUAUUAAAAUGACCAAAUCUAAUACAAAUUUGAACUUUACAAUAUUUUAGAAUGGAAUUUUCUUUUUAAAUGAGAAUACAUUUAAAAGUACAAAUCAUAAUACCAAUUAAAUAACUCUGAAACAUAUAUGAACUAAUUAAACCAUCGACAUUUAUGCUAGUCAUACUAACUCUUUUGUUUUAUCUUAGUGUAACACGUGCAAUUAUCAAAAUAAUAUUCUAGAUUAAAUUAUAUAAAAUUCUUUUGCAAAUAAAAUGUAUAUAAUAUAUAUAAAUUUAUUAUUAAAAUAAAAAGUAAGACAAACUAUUUCCAAAUUCAUUUUGAUAUUUACAUCAUUGAUUAAUAAGUUUUAACAUUUGAAUUACUUUGGUGCUAUUAUUGAGAGUCCUACUUAUACCCACUAUUGGUUUUCGGAAAAUGAGAAGAAAAUUCCUAAAGAUAUUUUCCCAGAGCUUGACUUUGAUUUUUACUUAAUCCAAAAAAUUUGUACUUUUGUAUCUCAUUUUUUAUUUUCUUCAGAAAAUAAAAGAAAAUUCCUAAAGAUAUUUUCCAAGAGCUUCACUAAUGGGUUAAACUAUUUGCUUAAAACAUCUUGCAUCUGAUUAGUCAUAUUGUAAGUAGCUACACUAAAUCUAGGAACUUAGGCAACUUGAUCAAGUCAAGAGCAUGUUGUGGCGACUUUGUAUACACAAUAGAAAAUGGAGAUUUUCCUAUGGCACUAUGAACAGUACUAUUAUAAGCAAACUCUGUUUAUGCCAAUGCAAAGUCCCAUUACUUCAGACUAUCUCUGCAAAUACUGCGAAUCAUAUUACCAAGGGUUCUGUUCACUGAAUUAGUUUGGCCACCAGUUUGUGGAUAAGCUAUGCUGCUGUAAUUCAAGAAUGAAUCAAACAUCUUCCAUAAAGUCCUCCAAAAAUGGCCAAGAAACGUGUCGUCUUGAUCUGAAGUGAUGGUUUUAGGUACACCAUGCAGACAAACAACCUCCUUGAAAAACAAUUUGCAAUUUGGCUAUUCCGCUUGAAUCUAAAGUCUUCUUGUAAGGGAUAAAGUGCACCAUUUUUGAAAACCUAUCAACGACAACAAAAACAGAAUCUAUGGACUUUUUUGUUUGAGGUAGUCCAAGCACAAAAUCCAUAGAUAAAUCUUUCCAAAUAUUUUUUGGAACAGGUGAAGGCAUGUACAAACCAGUAUUUUGGGACUAUCGCUUUGUGGUAUGGCAUAUGUAACAUCAUUGCACAAAUCUUGUUACAUCCCUUCUCAAAUGUGACCAAUAAUAUCUUUCUCCAAUAGCAGUGAUCGUCUUGUCACGACCUAAAUGAAUAGCAAGACCUCCACCAUGCAAGUCUCUAAUCAACUUUUCUCUCAAUGAACAUUUAGGAAUGCAAAGCUGGUUACCCCACAUUAGAAAACCAUCAUGAAUGUAAAAAUCCUCAACAAGUUAAUGUGUGAUACACUUUUUCCAGGUAUCAUGAAAAUCCUCAUCUGUAGGAUACAAUUCCCUGACUGUAUCGAAGCCCAUAACUUCUUGUCUCAUUGUCACCGACACAUUUGCACAUUUACUCAAUGCAUCUGUUAUUUUAUUAUGAACUCCAACCUUGUGCCUCAGCUUAGCAUGUAUUUCUUUAUUGAUCUGUUUCUGACAAUUCAAGUACUUCAGUGCUUCAUGAUCUGAGAAUAGAACAAAUUCUCACUUGACCAAGUAAUGCUCCUAAUUCUUUAAAGCACACUCAACAAAAUAAAAUUCUUUAUCAUACGUGGUCCACUUACGCCUUGCAUCAUUGAGCCUUUCACUGAAAUAAGCUACUGGUUUUUUCUUUUGUGAAAGAAAAACUCUUAUCCCCACACCACCAGGGUCACAUUCAACUUCAAAUAAUGCAUCAAAAUCUGGCAAUACUAAAACAGGAACGGUAGAUAGCUUCCCUUUUAGCACGGCAGAACUAUCUUCUGCUUUUUCACUCUAUUGCAACUUCCCUUUAUUCAAGCACUCUGUAAUAGGCGCUGCAAUACUACUAAAAUUUUUGAUAAAACACCUGUAGAAUGUUGCCAACCCAUGAAAACUUCUGACUUUCGUUACUGUUUUUUUGGUAGGCCUUUUUCUAAUAGAUCGAAUAUUCUUUUCAUCCACCUGAAUUCCAUCUGCACUAACUACAUAGCUCAGGAAUAAUAGCUUAUUUGUCAUAAAGUUGCACUUCUUCAAGUUCACAUACAACUUAUUUUCCUGUAAGACUAUUAGUACUUUGCACAAAUGCAAAAGAUGUUCAUCUUUUGAUCAACUAUAAAUUAGGUUAUCAUCAAAAUAAACCACAACAAAUUUUUCAAUAAAAGGUUUCAAUACCUGAUUCAUCAAUUGCAUAAAGGUACUAGGCACGUUGGUUAACCCGAAUGGCAUCACAAGUAACUCAUACAAUCAUUCCUUCAUUUUAAAAGCUGUUUUCCAUUGAUCCUCAAGUCUAAUUCGAAUCUGGUAGUAUCCAAUACGAAGAUCAAUCUUUGUGAACACCUUAGCUCCAUGUAACCUAUCAAGGAUGUCAUCUAGCUUCGGAAUUGGAAACUUGUAUCCAACAGUAAUCUUGUUGAUGGCUCGGCGACUACACACAUCCUUCAACUCCCAUCUUUCUUUGGGGUUAGUAAGGCAGGAACUACACAUGGACUCAUGCUCUCCUAGAUAUGUCAUUUGCACAAUAAUUCCUCCAUUUUCUCUUUGAGAAUCUUGCUCUUCUUUGGGCUCAUCCUGUAAUGAGGCAACUUUGGCAAACUAGCACCAAGAAUCAAGUCAAUAUGGUGCUGAAUUUCAUUAAUUUAUACAAAAUUCUAUCACGUAACUUUUUUCAAAAUUUCAAAUUUCAAAUUUCAAAUUGAACCUCUCAUUAUAAUGUUUUUUUGUUUGAAAAUUUUAUUUUAGUUAUUAAAAUGACCAAAUCUAAUACAAAUAUGAGCUUUACAAUAUUUUAGAAUGGACAUUUCUCUUUAAAUGAGAAUACAUUUAAAACUACAAAUCAUAAUACCGAUUAAAUAACUCUGAAACAUAUAUAAACUAAUUAACCCACCAUACAUGUUAGAAAAAAUUUCGACUUAUAUGCCAGCGACUUACUCUUUUGUUUUAUCUUUGUGUAAUAUGUGCAAUUAUCAAAAUAAUAUUCUAGAUAAAAUUAUAUAAAAUUCUUUUGCAAAUAAAAUGUUUAUAAUAUAUAUAAAUUUAUUAUUAAAAUAAAAAGUAAGGCCAACGAUUUUCGAAUUCAUUCUAAUAUUUACAUCAUUGACUAAUAAAUUUUAACAUUUGAAUUAUUUUAAUGCUACAUUUUAACAUUUGGCUUAUUGGUUGAUGUAUGAUCCAUUAGCUAAAGAGCAAAGUUCGAAUCCCUUUCUCCUAAUUAAAAAAAUAUAUAUAUUUUGGUGCUAUUAUUGAAAGGUCCUAUACCCACUACUGGUUUUCGAAAAAUAAGAAGAAAGUUCCUAAAGAUAUUUUUCCAGAGCUUGACUAAAUGGUUAAACUGUUUUCCACAUUGACUUAUGAUUUUUCAAACAAUGAUCGCUCUCAUUUACUUAAUCCAAAAGAAGCAAAAAAAAGAAAAAAUCUUUGUUAGGAGCCAGUUUUGCCAUAAGUUAAUAUCUUCACCAGAGGAUUAUUACUUUAUAAUACUAUUUCAAUGGGAUUGUUUCUCUCUUUGUUUGGAAGGUUGGUUGCUCUGAAAUUUUGGAUCUUGUUCUGACUUUUUGACAAAAAAAAAAGACUUUAAUGGAUUACCAUUUUUAGGUUCAUAAAUGCUCUUAAUAAUCUUACUCUUUUUCAUUUAAUAUUUUUUCAUAUUUGACAUAAAAUGUCAUUAAAUAUUGAACAUCAUUAUAUAAAUUUUUUUUAAAAUAACACACAUUAAAUUAAAGGGAGAGGCUAUUGGCACUCCCCAUUAUCUAUUUACACUCCCCACUAACAACUAAACACUGUAAUUUCUUAAAUUAGCUUCACUUAAAUAACUUCUUUUUGUUAAAGUUAAACUUUAAUUAAAUAUAUUAACAUUUUGUUGACUUCAUAUGUUUUUUAUUAUAACAAAACAUACCUCAUUCAUUAAUAUCUAACUUCACUAUUUAAGUGUGUCGGAUUUAAUUUUGUACCCUUAACAAAGCUAUUAAUUAAAAGCAAGUCAAGAAGCUUGUUGAAUUAAAAGAACAAGUUAAUCGGUUGAAAAAGGAAAGAACAAGUAAUGAACAAAGACAGAACAUUAGUAACUGAUUAUCAAAGAACCUUAAUCAAUUAAGGAAUGGCUGUGUGACAAGUUGAAGCAAAACAGAAAAAUAUUAAUCGGUUAAAAGGUUUGGUUAAUCGGUUAAAGCACAAGGUCUUAAUAUCUUCAAGCGUCAAAAACAAGUUUAAAAAUAUUAUUGAUCAUUGAAGGGAGCCAAAAUGGAGAAGUUUAAAAUUCAAAAAACUUCUAGUUGAUUAAAGGUGAUUUUAAUUGGUUGUGGUUGAAAAAAGUGAAGCUUCAAUCAGUCAAGGGAAGUGCUGACCAAUUAGAGGAAGACUGUUGUGUAGAGAAGUGAAAACAGAAAGUUUGUAAUCAGUUAGAGCCUGCCAUAAUCAGUUAGAGAAAGUCUGUUGAAGAAGAUAAGUCUGAAGACAGAAAACUCUUAAUCGGUUAGAGCCUCUUGUAAUUGAUCAGAGUAGAGAAAACAGCAACAGGAUAGUGCAAGACAGAAAGUCUAUAAUCGGUUAGAACUAUCUGUAAUCGAUUAGCUGAAGUCUGUCUCUCUUUUUGAAUUUAAAUGCUAGAGGAUAAAAUAAUGGCUAAAAGUGUAUUAGAGUUGUUCCCAACAUCUAAAAAUUAUCUCCAACAGAAAAAUCUGACUCCCCAAGUAUAAAAGGAAGUUCCCACGGUCAAAGAAAAAAGAGUUUUUGGAAGAUUUGAAGAAAAAAGAUCUACUUUGAGCAAAAAGUCAAAUAUUCUUCACCAAAAACACUUGUUUUUCAUUCCAAUUCUAUAAAAAGUGCUUGAGUUGAUUGUAAUCUAUCCAGACUUGUAAAGGCACUUAGUUGUACUUCUUUUUCUUCUCUUUCUUGGGAAAUUAGAGUGUGGAAGCACUCUAAAGAUCGAGAAGCUUGAGAUAAAGUAACCAAGAGGAGGGGUGAAUUGGUUGUUUAAAGCAAAAACUUGAUUUUUCUUGAAAAACAGAGGUAAAGAUGAAGACUUUGAAAGUACAACUUAGAAACCAAAGUAUGAGAACUUAUAAAAUGAAGAACAAAGCAAGUAAAAAGUAUAAAGUAGAAGAAAAAUACUCAAUCAAGAUUUUUAUAGAGGUUCGACUUUUGAAGCCUACAUCCUCUCCCUUGAUAUCAAAAAGAGUUUGAAUCCACCAUCAACUACCUUUUUCAACUAGGUUCAAGCAUAACCUUUACAAGUAACUACCUUUUAAGGAUCAAGAAUAACCUUUCAACAAGUCAUUGCCUUUUUAAAAUCAAGCACAGUCUAUACAAAUCAUUGCCUCUUUAAGAUCAAGCAUAACUUCUCUACCUUUUGCUAUGGAGGUAUAACCUUACAACGGUAGAUUACAAAGCUUUGAACCUCUAACAAGGUUGAUGAGUUGAGUUUAGUACAAGAGAAUGAAAAUGAAUCGAGGAAUGUUAUGCUUUGAGAGUUUUGUUGUAGAGAGAGAAAGGAAUGAACUUUGAGAAAUUUUUGCUUCUUUUUCUUCUUUGAGUAAUUUUCUUGCUCUUUUUUCUUUCUAGUUGUUCUUUUCACUUGAAAAGGUCAUUCACAAAGGUAUUUAUAGGUCUUUUAAAUUUUUUCCCAUUAAAGAGAAGUUUUGUUCAUUUUUUAAUAGUAAGGGCCACUUGACUUGCGUCAGUUAACCUUCAAGAAUCAAUUGAUGGACAUGUGAGAAGUCGAUUCUUUUGUAACUUGAGACUUUUUGCUUUUUGAGAAUUGAUCUUCCUAUUCUUAAGAUAUCAAUUCUUCUCCCUUUGAUUUGAGUACGAUGCUUUCUAUUUGGCGAGAAUCGAUUAGUGUGUUUGCAAGUAGUCAAAUUUUCUUGUCUCACUUCAAGUCUUGAGCAUUUUGUUUUAUGAUAAUCGAUAACUAUCUUCUCUAAAAGUCAAUUCUUUUUAUCUGGUGAGUGUCAAAUUGAAAUGUCAAAUUCAAUUUUUUUCCAUUCCUUUCUUGUCCUAUUCUCCAUUUUUACUUCUUCAACAAGUUUCUGCUCUUUCCUCUUUGUAGGUUGAUCAUGGGAUACCUGAGAAGUCAAUUCUUCUUUUCUAGUGUCUUCUCAUCAUGUUUCUACCUUAUCAUGAAUUGACUUUUACUUCUUGAGACAUCUCUUCUUCCCCUUCCUGUAGCUUUAUGUUUCAUCAAUAAUUUUAACGUGACUUAACAAAAACAGUCAAUUAUGGCAUGAGUUGCCAUGGAGAUUGAUUAUCGCAAUGUUGUCAAGUGGCUUACCGAUCCUAAUGAGAUGUCAUGGAGAUUGCGAGCAAUGGUUAUUCAAAUCUGAUCCCUACUUGCAAAAGUUGAUAGAUGGAGUAGUACUCACAUAGCACGUUCUGCCAACCAAUGGCUGACACGUUGGCUAAGGAGGGAGUGCUUAGACCUUAUGACUUUUUCUGGAUGAUCGGUGAAGCCUCAAGCCAGUUUGCUCUCUCUCUCUUCCCUUAAAUGCUGCUGGUUGAUUUCAUAAAUCUGUAAUGCUGUCCCUCUUGCUUAAAGGCACCCUGUGAUUUGUGAACCUGGUCAAUAUUUUGAUCUUUGAUAGCUGUAUCUGCCCUGAUUCUGGAUAUACUUCUGUAUAGCUUUUGUCCCUGUUUUUUGGCUUAGUGGGAUCUCUUCCCCCUGCACUUAUCUGUUAAGGGUGUUGUUUUUGUACAGUUGCUAUGGUGGUAUUUUUGUCUCUUAACAAGGCCUUUUGACCUCCUUGUCUUAACUGUACAGGUUCCUUUUAAUCAAUGAAGUGAUGCCUUCCCAAAAGAAAAUUACGGUAUGAGUUUGGACACAGUGCCGCGUAUGCCUAGCACUAGCUGUUUGCCACCUCUACUUUGAAUAUGAGUUCCAGGAUAGCUUGACAAAUUGACUUUGACUUUUCAAAGGAUGACUUGGAUUAAUUAACUGCCAUAAAAAAGAAAUAUGUUUCAGUGCUUCUAUAUUUCCUUGAUUAGACAUGGGAACUUGCUAGCAUCGUGCCUCCAUCCUCGUUCUGCUUCUUCCCCACCCAAAUUCUUUAGCAUGCCAAAGCCAAAAGCACGACUUCCGCUGUUAGGCCUAAUGGCCCUUGCUUUAUUUCUACUCCCUGAAACUUGCAGUGCCAGAAGUAGAAACAAGGAUUGCGGAACUUCUCUAUGUGGAAACGUUCCCAUCAGAUACCCUUUCCGAUUAAAAAGCCAACCUCGCAGGUGUGGUGACCAAAAGCUUGAACUGCAGUGUGAGAAUAAUAACCUGACCACUUUGGUCCUGGAGAAGGGGAAAUUCUUUGUGCAAGACAUCUCUUAUGAAAAUUAUCAAAUACGAGUUGUCGAUGCGAGUUUGGGCUGGGAUAAUUGCUCCCUUCCUCUUAGUUCUGUGUCUGUUCGAUUUUCCGAGUGUGGGGCGACAUCGUAUCAACCUGGAUUUUUUGUUUCUGAAUUUAGCACUAUGUUUCUUGUAAAUUGCACAAGACCGAUUAAAUCUUCCAUCUACGUUGAUGCGUCCCGUUGCUCCCCAAUUAAUAGCUCUUCCCAUCCACCUUCCUACUUUUAUUUUUUAGAUCAAGAAACCAAAUCACCAGAUUUCAAUGAAUCUUGCACAGUCAUAGCUCAGGUUCCAAUUAUGCUUAAGAAUAUCAGAGGCUUGUCUACUUCGGAUAUCUACCGAAAGCUUUUACCGGGCUUCGAGAUGUCAUGGAAAGACUACAAUAACACCUGCUACAAAGUUUCAUUUCACGAUAUGUAAGUAUUUUCGAGCAUUAUGAGAUCUCUUAUCAUGUUGAGAUUGGUUUGGGUUAUUAAAUCAUGAUUUGGAAAACUUAUAGUAAUUAAAUUCUUCUUUUUACUUAAUUUCUGUUAAUAUAAAAAAAUUUUGAGCUUAUUUUACAUUUUAUAUUAUAUAUAGCACUCUUUCUCAACAUUAAUCGUCAAAGUUUCUUUUAUAUAGCCGUUUAUUUUGACUUGAUGUGUUGAAUAUUCUAGAUUGGCGGGGUUGGGAUAUGCGUUGAGAACCUAUGUGGACAGCUUUGUAUAUUAUCUUUUCAAUGGCCCCCACGUAUCCUACAAUUCUAUGGAUCCACCUACAAGUAUGCUUUCCGAAAUUCAUUAGUUACAAUUAUUGUUAUCGCCUUUCUUCAUUUGUAGGAAUAAUUAUUUUUGGUUUAAUCUCGGUAUCUUUUCUCAGGUACAUAUAUCAUCUGCCUUGAAGCAACAGGUGAGUUUUAGCUUUGUAAUUGCAUUAUACACCAGACUAUGACCUUUUCUUGUCUUAUGGAAAGAAUUACUAAUGCUUAUACGUUAGAAACUAUAUGCUAGAAAUUAGAAAAAUAUCCACAUGUAUAUUCCCAAAUUUCUUAUUAAGAAUUUUAUCUAUAAACAAACAUAUAGUUAAGCAUAUAAAAGUUUAGAAACUCUUCCAUUAUAUAUGUUUAGAAGAAAUAAUAUUGUUGAGGCUUGAUUAACUACAUUUAAGUUUGAGUAAGCGGAUAAGAAUCUUAAAAAGAAGUUGAUAACUAAACACUCAAUUAAUUUAGGCAACUCGUGAAGAUGGUGUUGACACGAUGUUCAUAAUUAGCCCUUUUUAAAAUUUAAAUAAGAUAUAUAAAAGAGAAAGAUCAUACAAAUCACAUGAUUGACAGUUUCUACAAACUAAGCUAUAAAAGCAAACGUAAUUUCAUCAAACUAAACCAUAGAAAAAAACAUAUAAACGAUAGAAUACUUAACAUUCAUAGCUAACAAAUAAAUUUUUAAAGAAAAAAAAAUACUGAAAAGAUAAAAACAUAGCCAGUAACUCUCUCUCUCUCUCUCUCUCUCUCUCUCUCUAUAUAUAUAUAUAUAUAUAUAUAUAUUUCAAUGACUUAUUCCUAUUCUUUAAACACAAUAAUUUAUCAACCUAAAACUGACAAUACUCUUAAGCCACCCAAUUACCUUCUUUGCUACUUUUGUAGGAGAAUAAAUUCAAUCCUUUAUAAUAAAAUCAUAAAUUAUGACAUAUUAUGAAUAUUUAAUUUUGUAAUCAACACAUACACGAAUAGAAUCACUAACAACCAUACCUAGCAAAUUAAUCAAUUAAAAUAAAAGGUUGAACGAAAAUAGAAAAAGAAAUAUGAAUCAUAGGUAGGUAAAUAUUAAUAGGAAAAAAGAAAAGAAAGAAAAUUAUAAAUAUGCUUCAAUGAUUUAUGAUUAUAUUUUAAUGAUUUUUCUAACAUAAAUUAAACUCAAGAAAAAUAUAAAUAUGCUUCAAUGACUUUUUUUUUUUGAAAGCAUAUGAUAUUUUAUUAAUAAUUAAAGAGAAUAAUCUCUAAAGAGUUGUUUAAGAUGUUACACAAUCAAUAAAAUAAAUAAAUAAAAAAAAUCGAGCACACCUACAAGAACACAAAAAUUUACGUGGUUCGGUCUUUAGAUUAUUUACAUCUAUAGGCACAACAAUAGAGAAAGAUCCAAUAAGAAAAAUCAAGAUAUUAUAAGAACAAUUUUAAACUCACAACUUUUAUCCCUCAUAUAACUAAAUCACUUUCUCUAGAUCUAGGCUUAUAAUAUGCUUUAACUCCAUAUGAUCAUUUAUAGGACCAAGUACAAUAAUCUUAUCCUAGUCUUAUUAGGAUAUAUUACCUUAGUUUAGCUAUAAUUAAAGACUUGCUCAAUAAGAUAUAUUAGUUUAACUAGAAUUAAUCUAUCCUUAUCAAACUACAAUUCAAGACUUUCAUAACAAAUCUACACCUUAGGCUUGAAUUCACCAAGCUCCACUUACAAACCAAUCUCUCUCGUCACCACCAAUGCCCCAAAGGGCCUCAAACGCUAUGAACACCAAUCAAGUCCAAGCAAUUCAUGGACUUUACCCAUAAAUUGACUUAGUCAACAGAUUUGUCAUAUUUUUAAUUGUAUUUACUUUCUUCACUACAAUCUCACGUCUGGAAAAAAUCUCUCGAAUGAAGUUACACUUGGCUUGGAUAUGUUUAAUCUUUUCUUGAAACAUCUUAUUUUUGGCCAAGUGUAUGAUACUUUGACUAUCUCAAAACACAAUUGUAUGUGUUUGAUCAAAACCAAGAUCACUAACUAAGCCUUAAAGCCAUAAAGCCUCCUUCAUUGUCUCGAUCACUGCCAUAUAUUCAGCUUUAGUUGUAGACAAAGCAACUGUAACUUGAAGAACUACUUUCCAACCAAUCGUAAAUCUUAAGAGAGUGAAUACAUAUCUCGUUUGAGACCUUCUACUAUUUAGAUCACCAGCAAAAUCUAAAUUGGAGAAGCCAACCACAUUAUAACUAGUGUUUGAAUCUCCUUCAUACAUUAAAUGAAAAUCUAUAAUGCCUUUAGGUGGUUAAACAAGCUCCCAUGUUUGAUUUUGGUGUAGAGACUCAAUCUCUUCAUUCAUGGCAAUAAGCCACCAAGAAGACUUGGUACAUGUAAUUGCUUCACAAUGAAAGUAAGGCUCAUUAGUCUCUACUUCUUCAACCAUAAAUAAAACAUAAAAAUCAAAAUCACCAAUGACACAAGUAAUGAAAUCAUCAUACUUUUGAAGUGUUCUUGAAUUCUUUAUAUUCUUGGUUUGUGUAUAGAAAUGCUUUGUUGUUGUAUAUGAGAUACCGAUUCAUUUACCUCUUGUGAUUCAAUCUAGAUUUCACUACUACCUUGCACUAUCCCAAGAGCAUUAGUUUAAAGCUCCACAUGGUCACUAACUUCUUGGUCUUAUAAGAUUUUCAUUCUAGACUUUAUCCUAUGAGGUAAUGCAAACUCAUUAAAGUAACAACUCAACUCACCAUAAACUUGGGAGACGUCAGAUUAAUACACCACAAUCAAUAUCCCUUCACCCUAAAUGCAUAACCUAGGAAUAUGUACUUUUUACCCUCGAGUCAAGCUUACCAUCAUUUGCACAAGCAUAAGCAAGAUAACCAAACACUCUUGAUAUAGAGUAAUUAAUGCGUUUACCUAACCCAAGUUCCUUAGGAAUUUUAGAUUCAAUUGUAGUUAAUGGAGACAAAUUUACCAAGUAGCAAGCUAUGUUGGUAGCUUUUUCCUAGAAUACUUUAGAUAAACCAAUAUUAAAGAGCAUGCUUCAUGCUUUUUCAAAAAGUGUUCCAUUCAUUCGCUCUACAACACCAUUUUGUUAUGGUGUUUUGAUGAUAGUGCGAUGUCUAAUGAUUCUGUAAUUCUUAUAGUACAAAUCAAACUCAUUUUUGCGAAAUGCCAAAUCAUCGUCUAUUCAAAAGCACUUGGGCUUUUUCCCAGUCUACUUCUUAAUCAAUGCCUUCCAUUGGAAAAAGGUGGUAAAAACUUCAAUUUUUGUCGUUAGAAAAUAUGUUCAAACUUUCCCUGAGAAAUCAUCAAUGAAAGUCACAUGUAUAAUUAUCCCCCUUUUUAUGCCAUUGGAGAAAGACCUCACAAAUUUGAAUGGAAGUAGUCUACUAAACUCUUUCGGUUGAUGAAUUGUAAUGCUAAAUUUCACUCGACAUUGUUUACUAUAGACACAAUGCUCACAAAAAUCUAGCUUCCCAAUUUUUUGAUUACACAAUAAACCACACUUACUCAAUUCUAUUAUUCCUUUCUUGCUCAUAUGACUCAAUCUCAUAUGUCAUAAAUGUGUAACAUCAUCGUUAGGAUCAUUAGAUGAGACAAUGGAAUUAAUUCCUCUAAUCGUGCUUCCCACUAGAUGAUAAAUGGCCACUGCAUAACUUGCCUUUCAUGAUAGGUAAAGCUCCUUUAGAUACCUUAAAGACACUAUCUUGGCCAUUAUAUUUAUAGCCUUUCUUAUCAACAAACUCAAGGAUAUCACACUUUUUUCAUGUUAAGGACAUGUUUCACCUUAAGUGUCCUUAUCAUAAUAUCAAACAUCUUGAUCUAAAUGGUGCCAAUCCCAAAAAUUAAGAGAAAGAAAUCAUCUUUUAUUGUACAAUGCUUAUAUCAACAAAAUAAUAAAUUGUAAACUAACUACACUUAGGACAUAUGUGGAAGUAACAACCCAAAUCCAAGAUUCACAUAUCCAUCAUGUCACGACCCGGAACUCCUAUCGAGCCCGUGACAAUCGUCACGAAGUCUCGUCAGACAUUCUUUACCCCGAAUGCUGUCUGAAACCUUGUAAGGCUUUCGUAUCGAUUUUCUUACCUCCCCUGUGAUCGACAGUAACUAAAAUCGUGUUUUGAAACGAUAUGGACCAUCUUCCCAUCCAAAAACAAUGAAAAUUAAUUUAUGCCUCACAGGGGUAUUUUAGUCAUUAUUUUUUUCUCUUUUUUUUCGAAAAUUUCGAUAUCCGUAAAAAUGAAAUAUGUAAGUGGAAACACAUAUUUCAUUAUUUAAAUUAAAUUUUGAAGUCUAAAACAUUCGUUUAAAGUAAAAUUAUAACUAUUUGAAUAUAAUAAAAAUNNNNNNNNNNNNNUUGUUUAAAGUAAAAUUAUAGCUAUUUGAAUAUAAUAAAAAUAUUAAAUAAAAUAUUCUAUUUUCUUAAAACACAAUAUUUUCAAAGUCUUCCUAAAAUAACUUUUGUAGCGUAAGAGUAAAAUAAAUUUAUUCAUAUAGUAAUAAAGAUAACUAAAGUAUGAAAUUUUGUUUAUAGUGAUACGUGAGCCCUCAACUGACCAAAAAGGUGUAGGGCUGCGAACCCUUACGUUCUAGGAUGCAACUCCGAGAUUAAUUCUCGUUUUAAUCAACUAUCAACAAACUGUCCUGAGCUUGAAAAAUAGAUAGGAAGAGGGGUGAGAUUACAUAAUCCUAGUGAGUAAACAAUUACCAUCAAAAGCAUCUAAAGUCGAGUAAACGAAGACAAUAUAAAAACGUUAUAUCUCAAUAAUGUUCAUAACGCAAAAUUUGUUUCAAUCUAUACCAAACAAUUUCUUUUCAUCAAAAUUUCCCCGGCUUAUGAGUUUCUUAAACUUGGCCCUUGCCAGAAUCAUUCUCGCGGGUACCUUCGUCAAGGUAUCCCACUAAGACCGCCAAGGCUAUUAAAUGCCCUAUACCCAUAAAAAUGUUUUCGCAUCUGACACACAGCAAUUCUUUGGCAUUGGCUGAGUCUCACUCUCACGUGGUGUGUCGAACGUGAGGUGCACUCAAAUCUGACCUCAGGAGAUACUUUAUCCAACAUCUCCCCUUGGAGGUAAGUAUAUAAUUGGGUUACCGUGUCCCUCUCAUAGGCAGUCCACGGAAACCCCCACCACUGUAGUGACCGUUUAAUAUACCACCAGACCCAUAAAAUUUUCAGUAGCAUAAUAUGGCGAAUAAAAUUUAAUCCAGUCUACCGAGACCAAUCCAAAACUGUUCAUAUAUUUCAUGCCAACCCCAAAAAUUUAGCCAUCAUACUAUCAUAGUGUCAUAAGCCACAAUUUCACUAACAUAUAAAAUCAUAAAUUCAACACAGUCUCCAUAUACUCAAUUUUCUCAAAACAAUAUUUGAUUUCAAAACCAGUAUAAAUCUCAUUUUUAUUAAAAAAUAUUUUAAAUGGAAAACAUAAUAUUUUAUAAUUUAAACUCACCAUUCAAUAAAAACAUCAAACAAGUAUAAUUACUCUAAAUAUUUAAAACGAUAAAUUAUUCACUCACAGUAUUAGGAGUAGAAAUACUCCUAUUUUCAGUCCGAGGGUACAGUCCUUUACCUGUAUCCAAUGGCUCACCACCUAGCCAUAAUCCAUGACACAUAUUCCAAUUAAAUUGUGUCUAACAGUCAGAAGCUAUUUCAGGCUCGAUAUAUAUGCGUGAUAUGAAAUGAAAAAUGCUUGAUAUAUAUGCGUGUUCUUGAAUUCUUUAAUUUCUUGGUUUGUGUAUAGAAAUGCUUUGUUGUUGUAUAUGAGAUACCGAUUCAUUUACCUCGUGAUUCAAUCUAGAUUUCACUACUAUCUUGCGCUAUCCCAAGAGCAUUAGUUUAAAGCUCCACAUGGUCACCAACUUCUUGGUCUUAUAUGAUUUUAAUUCUAGACUUUAUCCUAUGAGGUAAUACAAACUCAUUAAAAGUAACAACUCAACUCACCAUAAACUUGGGAGACGUCAGAUUAAUACACCACAAUCAAUAUCCUUUUACCCUAAAUGCAAAACCUAAGAAUAUGUACUUUUUGCCCUCGAGUCAAGCUUACCAUCAUUUGCACAUGAGCAUAAGCAGGAUAACCAAACACUCUUAAUAUAAAGUAAUUAGUGCGUUUACCUAACCAAAGUUCCUUAGGAAUUUUAAAUUCAAUUGUAGUUAAUGGAGACAAAUUUACCAAGUAGCAAGCCAUGUUGGUAGCUUUUUCCUAGAAUACUUUAGAUAGACCAAUAUUAAAGAGCAUGCGUCAUGCUUUUUCCAAAAGUGUUCCAUUCAUUCGCUCUACAACACCAUUUUGUUGUGGUGUUUUAAUGAUAGUGUGAUGUCUAAUAAUUCUGUAAUUCUUAUAGUAUAGAUCAAACUCACUUUUGCAAAAUUCCAAAGCAUCAUCUAUUCAAAAGCACUUGGUCUUUUUCUCAGUCUACUUCUUAAUCAAUGCCUUCCAUUGGAAAAAGGUGGUAAAAACUUCAAUUUUUGUCGUUAGAAAAUAUGUUCAAACUUUCCUUGAAAAAUCAUCAAUGAAAGUCACAUGUAUAAUUAUCCCCCUUUUUAUGCCAUUGGAGAAAGACCUCACAAAUUUGAAUGGAAGUAGUCUACUAAACUCUUUGGGUUGAUGAAUUGUAGUGCUAAAUUUCACUCGACAUUGUUUGUUAUAGACACAAUGCUCACGAAAAUCUAGCUUUCCAAUUUUUUAAUUACACAAUAAACCACACUUACUCAAUUAUAUUAUUCCUUUCUCGCUCAUAUGGCUCAAUCUCAUAUGCCAUAAAUGUGUAACAUCAUCGUUAGGAUCAUUAGAUGAGACAAUGGAAUUAAUUCCACUAAUCGUGCUUCCCACUAGAUGAUAAAAGGCCACUGCAUAACUUGCCUUUCAUGAUAGGUAAGGCUCCUUUAUAUACCUUAAAGACACUAUCUUGACCAUUAUAUUUAUAGCCUUUCUUAUCUAACAAACUCAAGGAUAUCACACUUUUUUCAUGUUAAGGACAUGUUUCACCUUAAGUGUCCUUAUCAUACUAUCAAACAUCUUGAUCUAAAUGGUGCCAAUCCUAAAAAUUAAGAGAAAGAAAUCAUCUUUUAUUGUACAAUGCUUAUAUCAACAAAAUAAUAAAUUGUAAACUAACUACACUUGGGACAUAUGUGGAAGUAACAACCCAAAUCCAAGAUCCACAUAUCCAUCAGGUCACCAUUGGUAAUUGUAAGAACAUUAUAGGCUUCCUCAAAAGUAUCAAGGUCAUCUUCUACUACAUUUUGCAGCAUUCUUAGGCUUCUUGAUAUUUUCAUCACCCUCAAAUUUGAUACAAUCUUAAUGGAAGUCCCUUUUUUACCACAAUUCUAGCGAGCUUUCCCUCUUGCUCUAAAUUUACCGUUUUUGUCUAGGCCUUUCUCUUUACCUCUUUCUUUAUUCACAAUUAGGCUUUUGCUUGAUUUUAACUCUAAGUACCAUUAACUUUAUUCUUCAAUUCUUUGAGGUUUAAAUACGCUCUUUUAUCUCAAAAAUGUGUCUCACCCAUAUAACAUAGUAUCCACGAAGUUUUCAUAUGAUAAAGGUAAAAAAUACAGAAGAAUUAGUGCUUCGUCUUUAUCAUCAAUUUUAAAGUCAAUAUUCUUUAAAUCAAGAAUUACUCUGUUAAAUUCAUCGAUGAUGGUGUCAAUGGACUUAUCUUUAAGCAUUUUGAGAGUAUACAAUCAUUACUUCAUAUAAAGUCAUUUCUUCACUAAUUUGGUCAUAUAAAUAUUCUUGAGUUUAAGCCACACUACACUAGUAGAUUCGUCAUAUGUGACUUCUCUUGGCACUUCAUUAGAUAAAGCUAGGAGAAUAACACUAUGUGUUUUCUCCAUAAAGUUAUCUUUCUCACCAUCAAAUAGGUUUAAGGGAAAAUCGUGUUUUCCUUUUAAUGCCUUUAAUAGUGUUUGUUGCACUAACAAUGCGCACAUUUUAACAUGCCAUGGGCUGAAAUCAUUUUAUAGGGUCAAGUACAAUAAUCUUUUAGUAGUCUAAUUAGGAUAUGUUAUCUUAGUCUAGUUAGAAUUAAAAACUUGCUCAACAAGGUAUAUUAGUUUAACUAGAAUUAAACUAUGCUAGUCAAAUUACAAUUCAAGACUAUCAUAACACUAUAUCUAGAGAAAUUGUAACCAACACAUAGCUGCCAUAUUCCAACCAUAACCGCACCCCUUGGCUAAAGGAAUCUUAAGCAAUAAAUAGCAAAUCACAAAACAACAUCACAUAACAUCAAGCAACAACGAAGAUUUAAGGGCAACGCGCGUUAAAACAUGUUCAUUAUAAUUACUUGACGCAUGCAACUAAAGUCUACUAUGAGUGACAUUUAGGAUUUAAGUGCAUUAUCAACAACAAGUUCCUUAUGCGUUAUGUUGCUUUGUAGUUGAUUCAUAACAGCAAUUUUAAACUAUUCACCAUAGCCUGCAUACAUCUAAUCACUGACUUUAAGCUACUUCAAUGAUAGCUAAUCACCACCAACGUAUGUCAUUGUCUAUAUAAACCAACCUUAGUGAACCUAUCUUGCAUAUCAUUUGCUCUUGUGAUAUAUGUCAGAUUUGUCAUCUAUCCAUCUUCGCUUUUAUACUUUCAAUGGACAAUUUGACAUUUCUCACUGUCCACCAUGAGGAUUAGGGAUCUUCUCCCAGUUUACCGUGUUUGUGGAUUUGCUCUUGAUUAUAAGAUUUUGAGAUUCGGCCCAUGUGGAUGUGGCAAAGACCACAAAAGCUUCUUUGAUGGCCAUGAGUACUACAAAUUUAAGCCCCCAAUGCCAAUUGCUGUAAAGAAUAAAAGUAUUACCAUCCCUACCUCAUCCCUCAAGAACCCCCAAUACCAACCUCUUCUGAAUUACCUCCCGCUGAACCAUCAACAUUAAAUAUUAAACAUAAGAGAACCACUAAGAAGACAUUUCCACACAGUAUCAAUCUUUCGACAUUUUGUUUUUCUCAUCACCAUUGUGACAUUGGGAAAGAAGAAGAAAUUUGAAGCUGAAUUUUUAUCCUUCGUCCACUUUACUUUUAACACCGUGCAACUCUCAAUUUAAUCACCUUGAAUAAUUGCAUCAAGUCUUAUGUUUUUCCAUUAAAUAACAAGUAGUUCAUACAUAGCCUUGUGGAUCAAAUAAUCCCAAAGAAUGCCAUUCGCCAUAGCAAGGUGCCAUCUGGAUUCGAGCCGAUAGAAUUCCAAGCCAUAAGGAACUGAGAAGCCUUACAUCGGAACAUCCAACUUGAACCCCAUUUAUUACACCACAUGGACCAUAUCUUCCAUGCUUCAUGGCAUGUGAAUAAUAAAUGGGCCACGGAUUCAUUCACUUCAUUGCAAAGCAAGCAUACUACGCUAUUAUCAAGCAAUCCUCAUUUUACAAGUUCCUCUUUCAUAGCCUGCUAUUUUUCCGCUCAAGACUUUCCACGCAUAUAUCUCAACUUUCGAAAGGGCCAAUCCCUCCCACACUCGCUUCUACCUGUCAGCAUUAGGUCAAUUUCUACCUAGACCGUAGAACGUUCUUGCAAAAGGAUUUGUCAAAAUAUUUACCACUUUGGGAUUAUUUCCAUAUCAUGUGGUCUUGUAAUUCCUUUUGUAGGAACACUCUUUGAGAAUUUUUUACAUUGGUUCCCAUUGUUUCACCUCCUAGUCAAACAAUCUACAUCUUAAUUCUAUAUUCCACUGCAAUGUGUUAUUCACCCUAUCUCCAAAAUCUUCGAUCAAACCUGGUAUCUUUACCACUAGUGCAAAGAUCUUAGGAAAACAGAUUUAAGGAUUAUCCCUUGGAUCCACUCAUCGUUCCAAAAUAGGAUUUUAUUUCCAUCCCUAACAACAAACCCAAAACCAGAGUGUCCCAAGGAAAUAAGCUGUUAGAGGGGCAAAUGGACCUUAUGAUGUUAGCCCAUGUAGUUGAGAUCCCUCUUCUAAACCAUUGCAUUCAAAUUCCAUCCCUUUCUCAGAAAUGGCCAUUCCCCACAAACUCAGCAAAUACUCUGUUUUUUAGCUUGAGCUCCACCAUGCAUAGUCCUCCACAAUCAUUAUAAUUGCAUAUUGUACCCCAAUCGACCAGGUGCAUUUUUCUCUCUUUUGCUGCCUUACGCAUAGGAACCUUCUUUGAGUGACGUUGCCAAAAAAUAAACAAACUUGCUUCAAUGACCUAUGAUUAUAUUUUAAUGAUUUCGCCAACGUAAAUGAAACAUGGCAUUGCUCUUACAACAACCAAAUAAAGAAACAAACUACAUGUUUUUUUUUUUUUUUUGCUAAAUCAUCAAGAGUUUCAUUAAAAGAAAGAGACAACACAACUCCAUGGUCCUACAAAAAUAUUGAACCAUGGAUUAUAAUGAGAAGUAUUUUGAUGACAGGGGAAUAUCACCUAAACGGAUCAAAUAUAUCAAAAAAUCAUACAACCCAAAGAGGGGCACCAAUAAGAUAUUCGUAAGUUCCAGCAACAAAGCACAACAUCAAGCACACAAAUGGCCUAGAUCUGAAACUGCAGUAGAAAAGACAUGAAAACAAGGCAACCAAUUAUUGCGGAGGAAAACACAACCUUACCACCAUGCAUGUAAUCGCCUCACCUUGGAAGACAUAAAUGGCAAAAUGGCGCAGGGAGUAAGAUAAAUGGAUAAAAUAAAAACUCAUUCAAGAUUGUUUGACUGGUGAUCAGAAGCUUACGUCUAAAACAAUUUAUUAACAAUUUGUUUGACUGGUGAUAAGCUUGUAAGUGAGAUGACAUACAAAUAAUGGUAGAAAAUUUAAUGGUUGAAAUUCAAAAAAGUUCUAUAUUUGGUCUGAUUGUAGAUAAAAAUGGGGCUCCACUUUCUUUUAGCUGUGAUGAAAGGAAAUAUAGUCUAAUGGAAAAUACUCUAACGCACCAGGUUAGGAGCUCUAUUCCCUCAGGAUACUUUCCAAAUAAAGUGAUCUGUCCUUUUAUGGUCGCAUUCAUUGUCAAAUCAACGAAAUCAGUGUCAUAUAUAAAAUCAAAGAAAGAUACUUUAAUUGAUAAAGUAAAAGGGAUACUAGAGUCCAUGGGACUCUUAUAAAGAAAGUUAAUUUAAUUGAUAAAGUAAAAAUAAUAAAAAUAAUUGGGGAAGAUUUUAAUUUAAUUGAAAUUGAUAAUGAAAAUAAAAAUAAGUGAAAAUAUUUUAUUAUGAGUAUUUAGGUCUAUCACUUUUAUCACUUUUGGAGUUCACUUUUGAUAUAGAGAAGACAAAUUCAUUUGGACUAGAAAUUCCAAAGAAAUAGAAGAACAUUUAGUGUUGCACCAAAAUAUCUAAAUUACUUUUUUUUAAGGGGCAAUAAUGCCUUUAUUCAAAAGUACUAAUGUGUUUCAAUACUUUUCUUGACAAGGAGGAAUUAUCUUACCAAGAAUUUUGCUGGGGAUAUCUUGCUUGGUUGCACUUGUUACGUACAAAUUGCGAAGAAGACAUUUAUCCAUGGAUGAUACUAUUGAAGAGUUCAUUCAAAGUCAACAUAACUUUAUGCCUAUUAGGUACUCUUUCCGUGAAAUAAAAAGAAUGACAAGAGACUUUAGAGAUAAAUUAGGUGAGGGAGGUUAUGGCUCAGUCUUCAAAGCAAAGCUUCGCAGUGGCCAUUUUGUGGCAAUAAAAUUAUUGAAUUCAAAGGCAAAUGGGCAGGACUUCAUUAAUGAAGUUGCAUCUAUUGGUAGAAUUCAUCAUGUUAAUGUGGCAAAACUUAUUGGCUUCUGCGUGGAGGGAUCAAAACAAGCUCUUAUAUACGAAUUCAUGCCAAAUGGAUCUCUUGAUAGAAUAAUAUUUGCAAAAGACAAUAAGAUCACUUUAAGUUGGCAAAAAAUGUUUGAUAUUGCUCUUGGAGUGGCUCGAGGGAUUGAAUACUUGCAUCGAGGAUGUGACAUGCAAAUUCUACAUUUUGAUAUCAAACCACACAAUAUUCUUCUGGAUAAAAACUUUAUCCCAAAAGUUUCAGACUUUGGUCUUGCAAAAUUAUAUUCAGUAGCUGAUAGUGUUGUAUCUCUCACUGCAGCUCGAGGUACAGUAGGAUAUAUGGCUCCUGAAUUGGUCUACCAAAACAUCGGAGGUAUCUCAUAUAAAGCUGAUGUUUAUAGUUUUGGAAUGUUAUUAUUGGAAAUAGUAGGAAAGAGGAAGAAUUUGGAUACAUUUGUUGAACAAUCAAGUCAAAUUUACUUUCCAUCGUGGAUUUAUGACCAAUUUGAUCAAAGAGAUAAUAUAGAGUUCAGAGAGGUAACAGAUGAUGAAAAGAUAAUAGUAAAGAAGAUGGUGAUAACAGCCUUUUGGUGUAUACAAUUGAAGCCUAUCGAUCGUCCUUCAAUGAGUAGAGUAUUGGAGAUGCUUGAAACUGAUAUUGAGUCACUCGAAAUGCCUCCCAAACCUUUUCAAUAUCUUCUUGACACAUCAAGUGAAGGUGAUGUUACUGAGAAUCCAAUAGAUGAAUCUACUGCAUCACUUCAUGUUGCAAAUUUAAGUAUAGCUUAAAUAUAGUGUAAGCUAGUGAACGUUCGUAUUAUUAUAUAUGUUACCUAUGUUGUUUGUAGCCAGAAAAAGGAAGAAAAGUUAAAAAAAUUCUUAUCCGUGAGUUGGCUAAUUCGUUAAAUUCUUCUCCCACUUUGGCAUCAGUUGACUUUUUUUUCUCCUUUCUUUUUGACUAAUGCAUCAAGGACUUCGAUUUCUAAAGUACUUGCUUUCAUCAAAAUGGUUGUUGGAAUAUUGAAGAUAAAAACGAUCCCAUGCUUCUUUGUUUCCUUGACUUAAUCGUUAAAACUUGUUAUAGCUGAUUCUCGCUCUUUCUCAUCCAAAUUUUAGCAUGUCGAAGUCAAUAGCAGAACUGCCGUUGUUUAGCCUCAUGACCCUUUCCUUUAUUUCUAUUCCCUAAUGCUUGCCUCGCUAGAUGUGAAAAAAAGGACUUCAGUGUCUCUUCUUUGUGUGGAAACCUUGCCAUCAUUUACCCUUUCCGAUUAAAACGUCAACCUAAGUGCAAUGACACAGAUUAUAGGGUUGAAUUGGAGCGUGAGAAUGAUAAUCGCAGCAUUUGGGUCAGGAAAUAUGGGAAAUUCUAUGUCAAGGAAAUCUUUAUUCUAAUUUUACGAUCCGAUUGGUUGAUGGUAGUCUGGAUGCUGAUAAUUGCUCUCUUCCUCGUACUUCAAUGCUUUUGAUUAUGAUUCUCCGUGUGAGGCCAUGUGUUUUUUUACAUCCAAACCAUCCUAAUGAAAUAUUUUAUUUACCUGAUAGCAAAAUGUAUCUUGUCAAUUGCACAAGACCACAGCAUUAUUCUCUCCACGUUGAUGCCUCUCUUUCCAUCCACCUUCCUACAUUAACUUCGUAGAUCGAAAAAAACCGCCAAGCGAUUACAAUCAGUGUUGCAUUGUCAUAUCCGAGCACCUUCCAGUUAUGAUUCAGAAUGUCACAGGCCUGUCUGGUUUGGAUAUGUACGAAAGUAAUUAAUUGGCUUUGAUUACUCAUGGGAAGACCAUGGUUGGAUUUUCUGGGAGGACAAACCUUCAAUAUUUCGUACGAUGUAAGCAUUUCGAACAUUUCAAUUCUCUUUUCUUAGGUUGGGACUUAACAUUCUAAUUUGGAAAAUUGUAGUCUAAUAAUUAUUUUAUAAUGAAAAGUUUCUUUUUUUUCUCCAAUUUAGAUAAUGAAAAUUUUGAAUUCUUGUCAUUGUAAGUUUGCUGAUUCAAACGACAGUUAAUAUCAAAUUAAAUUCAGCCUUAUUAUCUCUCACUUUUAAAUAAUAUUAGAUGUGCUAACAUAAUGUUCUUUGCUUUUGCAUGGUAUAUUAUCUGCCUUGGAAAUAAGUUACUUGAUGUGUUGGAUAUUGUAGAUUGGCAUCGGUGAAAAGUAUGCCUUGACAAACCAUAUUUCGUUUAUGUCAUGGUAUCUUUCUACAGGUACGUAUAUUAUCGUCUUGGAAUUACAAGUAAUUUUAGCUUUGCAAUUCUAUAUACAGGGAAUGGAGAAAUAUCAGUGUUCUCGCUUGUUUACAACUAGGGGAGCAUUAAAAUGUUACACGAAUAUUACUUUUUGAGGAUCCAAUAAUCAUUUGUCAUUAUAAACCAUGGUCAUUCAAAUAUGCUAAUAUAUGUUCCAAUAAUUUUCUUGGAAAGGAGGUUUUGUUAUAUCGGGAACUUUGCUGGGUAUCUCUUGCUUGAUUGCACUUGUUAGAUACAGAUUAUGAAAGAGAUAAUUAUCUGUAGAUGAUACAAUUGAAGAGAUCCUUGUAUGUCAGAAUAACUUAGUACCUAUUAGGUAUUCUUAUUAUGAAAUAAAAAGAAUAACUAAUGGCUUUAGAAAUAAAUUAAGUGAAGAGGAUUAUGGUUCAAUGUUUAUGAAAACUUUGUAGCAACCAUAUCGUGGCAGUAAAGUUGUUGGGCAACUCAAAAAUUAAUGGGAAAGAUUUCAUUAAUAAAGUUGUAACAAUUUAGAGGAUUCAUCACAUUAAUGUCGCAAAAAGUUAUUGGAUUUUGUGUAGUAGAAUUAAAAUAAACUCUUGUACAGGACUUCAUGCUGAAUGGAUCUCUAGAUUAAAUCCUAUUUUCAGGAGAAAUAAGAUCACUUUAAAUUUUCGAAAAAUACUUGAUAUUGCGUUUGAGGUGGCUCGAGCAAUUAAAUAUUUACUUUGGGGGAGUGGCAUGUAAAUUUCAAACUUUGAUCUUGCAAAAAUAUAUUCAAUAGAGAAUAACAUUGUGUCUCCCAUUACAGCACAAGAUACACAAUGAUAUAUUGCUCCUCAGUUGGUACAAAAUCAUUUAAGAUAUCUCAUACUAGGUUGCUGUUUAUAGUUUUGAGAUGUUAUUAAUGAAAACUGUAAGAAGGUGAAAAUUUUUUAAUACAUUCAUUAAACUAUCAAGCCAGAUAUCCUUUCCAUCAUGAAUAUACUCCUCAGACUUUUCCAACUUUCUUUUGAAGCAUCAAUUGAGAAUCAUGGUGGUGAUAAUCCAAUUGAUGAGCCAACUAAAUCUGCAUGCUCUGAUCUUUAAUUAAUCUCACCUCUAUAAGAGUAAUUCUUCACAUGUAGCAUAUUAAAAGUAAUAACGAAACUAAAUUACCUUAUCAUGGGUAUAUCAUAAAUUGUUUUAGUGAUUAUCAAUGCAAAAUGCAAUUAUCAUCGAUCAUGACAUAUGACACACAUAUAAUUGAGUCCAUAAUAUUUGAAAUCACAACCAAAAUCAAGUAGAGGAAAUUGUGAGAAAAGGACUUCGUGAUAAGGUGAUUUUAAAAAUAACCACCUAUAUAAAGUUAUCUAUUUCUAGCCAAAAAGAAGCAUGAGUAGAUCAAAAUGUCCUUAAAAACAUCAUUUCAAAUAAAUGCUUAGCUAUUUGAACUAUCUCCCUCAUGCCAGAGAGAAAUAAAAAUAAAUGCUCAGCUGUUUAAGCUCGAUCAUCUUUCUCUCUCAACUCUGCCAAGUCUCUGUUGAGCACCAUCGUCGUCAGCUCUUUUAGAUCUCUGAACUAUACGAGCUUUGUCAACUCUCUAUUGAGCACCAUCGUCAUCGGGCUGUGGUCUAUCUCUCGGCAUCCGGCCAUAUUGUUGUAGAUUAACAGACCUUAUAGCAGAGAUGACAUCAAGGUAUUUGUUAUUGGGUUUAUUGCUGCAACACACUUAAAUUUCUGAAACAUUUGGUGUAAAUUAGAACAUGGAUUAAAAACAUUGCCCAAAGUUGUUACAUGAUAUGCAUCUAUAACAUGUGUUACCAUUAUUUUAGCGUGUCACGACAUUGGUUAUAUGCAUGGCGUGUUAUAACAUUUUACGUUAUAUGCAUGGCGUGUUACCACAUUUUCUAUUAUAUGCAUGGCGUGUUACCACAUUUUACGUUAUAUGCAUGGUGCGUUACAACAUUUUAUGUUAUUUGCAUGGUGUUUUAACACAUUUUACGUUAUAUGCUUGACGUGUUACAACAUUUUAUGUUAUUUAAAUGGCAUGUUAGCACAUUUUACGUUAUAUGCAUAGCGUGUAACAACAUGACUGAUAAAAUUUUGAACAUGGCAUGUAUUGUGUAAAAUGAUUAACAAAUUUUUUUUUUUUCAAAAUUUCAGUGGGGUUCCAAUUGUGCGACUUGUGAUAAGACACGGUGGUCAGUGGGUGAAUGGCAUUUACAAAGGUGGCGAGUCAAGAAUGCAGGGGGUUAGGAGUGAUUUGUCGUUUGUCGGCUUGAUGAAGUUGGUUGAAGAUGUUGUUGGGGUAAACUUAGAAUUUAACGAGAUUGAGUUACAUGCAUUGAUCAGUACACCCGGAUAGCUAACACGACCAAUUAUCAAGGAAAAUGAGGAUGUUGCAUUAAUUCUGCUAGAACAGAGGAAUGUUCCAGUUGUGUAUGUCAGCAUUAGGGGACGCAGAACAAAUGAACAACAUGGUAAUCAGCUCAAUCAAAAUGAGAUUUACAAUGCUUCACAAUUACCACAACAUUCACAGGAGUUUGUGCAGCCUGGUAGACAAACAACAUUCACAGAAUAGUCAGCUGCAUAAUUCCAAUCAGGAUGUGCAUCAAACCAAUUACUUGCUCUUGUCUAACAAAUGCAACGAUCGGGUGGAAUUGUAAAGUGUGUAAUGCCAUUGUCAAAUGAGAAUAGGACAGUUGAGGAUAACAAUGUGAGGUUGGAGGGUGACACUGCGACGCUGAAGGAUAAUACUACAUUUGAUAAGGGAAAUGAGGAUUUGUUCGCUGCCGGUGAAGAUAGAUUUGAUCACAAUUCAGAUGAUCGGCUUAAAGAAUGGCAUGAUGACAGUUCAGACGAUGACUGACUUUAUGACAGUGACAUUCCAAUUCCAAAUAAUGUUGAAGGUGAAACGGAACCUGUUGGAGGUGUUGAUGUAGGAGAUGUUCAGUGUGAUGACGCCAUAUACAAUAACCCCAUCACUGGUGAGAACGGAAUUCGUUCCCUUGAUACAUUAGUCGAUGACAGUUAUUAGCAAAAGGGAAAUGCAGGGACAUCUCGUACGUGGUAAAUUGCAGGUGCAGAAAGGUUCUCCUUCCAAACAAUUACCAUUGAGGAGUCGACAUGUGCCGAUGAUCGCUUCUACAAAAGAAGGAUGUUUAUGAUAAGAGUAAAAAGGUCAUGUCAAGGUCGUUAUGAGGUUGGUUGCAAGGACAAAGCAUGCAAGUCCAAUGUCCGUGGAACAAAGUUACCUGACAAAGGAGAAUAUUGGCAAGUGCGGACGUUCCAUAAAGUACACACCUGUAUUGUUGAUGAUUUGCAAGGGCGAUUUCCAACUACGAGUGUGAAGAUAAUUGGUGAACUUAUGUCACACAAGCUUCGGGCUAAUGGAGUCGCAUUAAGACCUAAGGACAUAAUGCGUGAGAUGAGGGUUCAGUGGGGAUUGGAAUGCUUGUAUGGUAAGGCUUGGCAAGCGAAGGAGUAUACGGAAAGGCUUGUUUUCGGUUCACCAGAGGAGUCAUUUCAACCACGACCAUUGUAUUUUUAUAUGUUGGAACAAGAAAAUCCUGGGACAGUGACUACAGUGGCUACUAAUGAGGUAGAAAGAUUCAAGUAUUGUUUCUAGUCAUACGGGGCUUGUAUUCGGGGGUUUAGGGAUGUAAUGCAUCCUACGGUUGCAAUUGACGUGACAAAUCUCAAAGGCAAGUUCAAGGGUGUUCUGUUUGUCGCUGUAUGCAAAGAUGCGAACGAGUGCGUAUAUCCAGUUGCGUUUGGCAUCGACCAUGUUGAGGACAAAGACUUGUGGACGUGGUUCUUAGCAAGCUGCGUGAUGCGGUUGGUUUUCCUGAAAACAUUAUGUUCAUUUCUGAUCAACAUCUCAGCAUUAAGAAAGCAAUCCAAAAUGCAUACCCAGAAACGCACCAUGGUUUAUGCGGUUACCACUUGAAAAAAAAACUUUAAAAACAAGUUCAAGUGCGAUGAUAUUUGUAUGUUUUUCACCCUUACUUGAUAUUGCUAUAAGGUGACCGAUUUCAACAGACAUAUGAACCAGCUACAGUAAAUUCACUCGGGAGCCCACGCUGGCCUUAUAAGAAUAGGGCCUGAGAGAUGGACACGUGUAUGUUCACCAGCAAGGCGAUACCAAAUGAUGACAUCCAACAUUGCGGAAUGUGUUAACUCAUGCUUGAAGCAUGCAAGACAAAUGUCGAUCAGUGUUUUGAUCGAGUUCAUCAGAGACAUGUUCCAACGUUGGUUCCAUGACCGGUACGAGGAGGCUGUCAAGGUGACCACACCCCUCAGACCUUGGGUUGCCAGGCACUUGAGCCUACGGUUCAAUGAUGCACAUCACUUUGUAGUUAAGCCUAUCAAUAGAGUGAGUUCGAAGUUAAAGACGGGAAGAUGGACGGACUUGUAAACUUGUCCACGAAGACCUGUUCAUGUUGUGAGUUCCAAAUAGAUUUACUACCAUGCAGCCAUGUCAUUGCAGCAAUAAGGUCAGAAUAUCUUUAUUUCUUAUUUGAACCCUAAUUGACAUAGCAUUUACAUUGUGCUUAAAGAUUGAGUUUAUUACAUUUUUCAAUAAAUGCAAACGUGAAGCCAUUGAAUUCUGUGCUGAUUACUACAGGACAACCGUUUUGGUGAAGGGUUAUUUAGGAUCCACUUGGCCGGUAGGGCAUCUUAGUGAGUGGGACAUCCCCCCUCAUGUGAAACAAAUUGUCGUCUUACCACCAACUCGGCGAGGCCAAGCGGGAAGACCUAAGAGGAGAAGGAUUCCAUCGGCUGGUGAAGGCAGUCGAGCACAGAGAUGUUUGCAAUGCAAGAGGUACGGGCAUAACAGACAAAAUUGUCUAUCCCUAUUUGCAGUUCCAUCCACAAAUCUGGCACAAUCUCCAAGUGAAUCGGCACCUCCACGAAUUCGUCGACCCAAAGCAUGUUCAAGUUGUAGACAACCAGGCCACACACACAACAACUAUCCAAUACGAAGGACAAUGUCUGAAAAUGUAGGGUGUGUUGUGGAUGAAGACAGCUUGUCCACCUAACUAAAUGUGUAACCCAUGUGCAAUACCUUUCUCACAAUUUCCCUUUGCAGUAUCUUACAUUCAUUCAUAUUUUUUAGUGUUUGUUAGUUUCCUCUUGUAGAUGAGUUUUUAUUUUUUUUUCUUAAUUUUGCAGAUAGAUUAUUUAAGUAUUCAUUUCAUUUUGUCCGUAGUUUUGAACACUGAAUAGACUUGUGAAGUCCCUAUACUGUUACCUCAUUUCUCACAUUUUAUUACCACUUGUAUUAAACAAUUAAUGAUUUGAUUUAAUUCCUUUCUAUUUCAUUUGAUUCAACCGUUUAUGUUCUUACAAUGAAAUUCCUUUCUAUUUCAUGAGUAAUUAAAUUUUGCCAAUAUCAAUUAGUCGACUAAGAGUAUUCUACCUGCAAGUCUUGUGGUGACAUGAUACAAAAUUAAUAAAAUUAAGGAAAGUUUUAAAAAAGUCAUACCUGUUAUAAGAAAAAUAAACUAACCUGAUAUUUUAAUUGUUAUUUGGGGGAUUUCGGCUCUCAGAUGCUUAUCCAUACUCAAUAUUAAAACCCACUAUAAGUGGUCGCAGCUGCAUUACAUCACAAUGACUCUCCAAGAGAUGGGGGAGUACAAUGCAGUGAAACGUACGUGCUUCGAAAUGCUAUUGGAGGUCUAUCCACAAGCUUCUUCUAUCAAACUUUGACCUUGCUUGCAUGGUUGAGUUGAUUGUAGCCUGAUACAGUUUUCCUAGUACCCCAAGGGAAGCAUACAUGGGUUUGUCAACCUUCUGCAUGAAGUUUGGAAACUCCCUUGGUUUCAAAGAUCGAGGCAUCUCAGUUGGUGCUCCUGUCUAUGCAAAAUCAACAGCCAUAUAAUGAAGAGUUGCCAAUUCUAGGUCCAUGAUUCGAGGUCUAGAUCCAGCAUAGAAUUGGCAACUCUUCACUCUAUGGCUGUUAAUUUUACAAAGACAGGAGCACCAGCUGAGAUGCCUCGAUCCCUGAAACCAAGGGAGUUUCAAGACUUCAUGCAGAGGGUUGACAAACCCAUGUAUGCUUCCCUUGGGGUACUAGGAAAAUUGUACCGGGCUACAAUUAACUCAACCGUGCAAGCAAGGUUAAAGUUUGAUAGACGAAGCUUGUAGAUAGACCUCCAGGAGCAUUCCAAAGUUUGUAUGCUUCACUGCAUCAUAAACCCCCAUAUCUGGGAUCAGUAAACUGUCAAGAUCCUCAUACUAUCUGCGUUGGAUUUGCAAAACAUGGCACACAUGCACCAGUGAGUUAAGCCAUAAUGUGCAACAAGGUAAACCCAACAAAUAAAUAAGGAAUAAAUGUUGUGACAUGCCAUGCAUAACAAGCAAAAUGUUGUGACACUCCAUGCAUAACAAGCAAAAUGUUGUGACACGCCAUGCAUAACAAGUAAAUCAGUUGUGACACGCCAUGUAUAACAAGUAAAAUGUUGUGACACGCUGCGCAUAUCAAGUAAAAUGUUGUGACACGCCAUGCAUAUCAAGUAAAAUUUUGUGACACGCCGUGCAUAACAAGUAAAAUGUUCUGACACGUCAUGCAUAACAAGUCAAAUGUUGUCACACGACAUGCAUAUCAAGUAAAAUAUUGUCACACUGGCACGCCAAUAACUAACUAUAAUAACAAUGUCGUGACACGGUAAACACAAAAAACCAGUAAAACCACUACGACUUAACCCCAAAAACCAUUCAUCCAACCAGCGAGAAAACCCAGUCUAAACAUUUGCAAAACAAAACAUACAAAAAACACGAACAUAUCAAACAAACCCAAUAAAAAAGCAAAAACAUUAACAAAUACAAGUGUAACUUUUUUUGUUUUUCCAUAGACUCGAGCUCAGUAAUUGUCAACUAAAAGAACUCAUGACAUUUUAAUUUAUGUUCACAAUCUAUUUCUUUGUCAUGCAUGUGAAGUAGAUCCGUGCUCAUGCAAAGUACAUGGGAAUUCCUUUAUUGGGUGAUGAGGUGUAUGGAAGGACAAAGAGCAUGGACUUAUCAUUUAAACAAACCCAGGACUCCCCCUAACUAUAAUGACUAACUUUCAUGCCAUUCUUCUAUGAUCUGAUCAAUGUUGGUUGGAUUGAGACUGAACGAAUCAUGGGAACUAGUUUCCCACUUUAAACAGGGUCAGAAAAGGGAAAAAAGUUUUGUUUAUUAAGAAUUUCGGGACGUAGAUUUCAAGUGGUCCAAAGAAUGUUUUAAUUUGAGACUCACUUACCUCUUCACUCAUAGCCAAUAUUUUUUAUGUUGCUGUGAUGUCGUUACGCUUGCAAAGAGCCUUGUCGAACAUUCCAGUACCAGCAGGAAUGAGAAAUGAAUCACACAAACGUUAGAAAUUUUGACAAAUAACUGUUUAAAAUAAAAAAUGACUUUAUAAUAUUCUCAUUUAUUCGUUUCAUUUAUAAAUUAAUUCAGUGGAAGUCCAAACGGUUACCAUGUUAACUGCCGACUUUUUUUUUUUAAAUUCAGUUGAAGUCCAAAUGGUUACCAUGGUGUGUCAGCUGUUCAAGCAAUGGCAUGUCACAGUCGUGUCACAAUCGUGUCACAUAUUCUAACCGUGGCGUGUCAUAAAUUCUAAACCCUGUCGUGUCACAGUCGUGACACGUUGAGUGCAAGCAGAUUUAUGGCGUGACAAGGCAGCAUCAUGGGGUGACACGCGAUAGCCCAAUUGUUAUGAAACGUCGAGUGGAAGCAGAUUUAUGGCAUCACACGUUGAGUAUCUGCAAAUUUAUGGUGUGACACAGCACGACCCAAUUGUUCUGACACGCUGAAUGGAAGCAGAUUUAUGGGCUGACACGCUGAGUGUUAAUGGAUUUACGACGUGACACGUUGACUUCUUAUAAAUUUAUGAGGUGACACGCUCAGUGCAAGCAGAUGUAUGUGGGGACACGCUGACUGGUAGCAAAUUUAUGAUGUCACAUGCUGACUUCUUGCAACUGUGUAUCAAAUUAAAUAUAUUGUGUAUACAAAAGAAAAAAAAAUUUUGGUAUCAAAUUAAUUGUGUAUAGGCAAAAAAAUUAAUUGUGUAUAAAAAUAAUUGUAUAAAAUAUAUUGUGUAUACAAAAAGAAUUAAUUUUGUAUACAAUGAAUUGUAUAAAAUAAAUUGAGUAUACAAAAAAAUUGUAUAUAAAAAUAAUUCUCUAUACAAAAAAAAUGUAUAGACAAGGGCCGAUAUGUUCAGGGUUUGCUCUCACAACUGUUGGAAAAAAUUUCUAAAGUAUAUUGCCAACGUAUUUUUGCAAUCAUAUUCUACUUAACUCUGAUCUGUUCUGAUUGCAAAAUAUGGUCCAUGUACCCUAUCAUGAACAUACCGCAGCUGACACUAUCAUUUUGCCGAUGCACUUUAUGUUUGGCAAAUGAAUAUCUAAUGGCAUCGAGGUCAAAUCCCGUCUCUUUCGACAUCUGUUGUUGAAAUAACUGGCUUGGUGGCAGAUGAUUGGCAUCAUUGUCGUCAAGGGUGUCAUCUGACCCGCACGAACUCCGUUAUCCUUAGCAUCCGCAGUUCUUACGAAGUCCAACACCUUGAUCGUCUACCUCACUAAGUCGAUCUUCUAACCACUCAAUGCCCACCAACGUUGCAAAGUGCGAGGAUGAAAUCCACAUCUUCCCAUUUUUUGUCGUAUGUCGGCCUUUCACCCUUCACGUAUCCCCGCAACUCAUUUGGAAUUUGCAUUGUGGCCCGAGCAUCUUCUAUUGGAAAUUUUGUGUGUAGCAUAUGGAUGGUGUCCUGUGAAACAUGUAAACAUUAGCUUACACUUCAUGCAAUCAAAAACUUAGUAUUUAUAGAAUUGAACAAUUUUUAAAUAAACUUUCGAAGAAUGUAGUAAACCACUCAUGCACGGGUAGUGUACAGCUUCGACUUCGGCCUUGUCAUCCGCUUACAGAGUACGCUGAGGCAUGCGUCAAUAAGUUCACUUGUCAUUUCCUGAUUGGGAUCCUCUAAGGUUAUGAAAAAGUCAGCCCCUUGAUCCCCUAAGAUACCGACGUUACGCCUGCAUAUGUAACAUAAUGAAUUUCAUAAGUCAUUAAUGUUAUUUGCAAUAUUUGCAAUGUUAUUUAAUGUUUCAUUAAAAAACAAUAUUUGCAAUGUUAUUUAUGAGCUUACCUCGCGGACUCGUCUUUCUUGAAAGCUUCAUAGGCUUCUACGAUUGUAUCCUUCACAUCUUGACGGCUCACUAAGGGGUCGACAUACGGGUUUGCCAUGUAUUUGCUUGCCAUUUUUAGCCGUGCUCGCUCAGUUGGGUUUGAAAUUUCUACUGCACCAUGAUGGACAACAGAUGACUCUGGUGACGACGACCGUGUCUCAACUACAUCAGGAGUGCUCUGAUGAUAAAGAACGAUAGCUUCUGCUGCUACCUCGAUGAAUGCAUCGACCGGAGGAAGAUGCUCUUCUUCAGCCACGACUAAGUCAAGGUCCCCUCCCAUCCAGCAGAUGCGUCGAUAAUGGACUCGGGCAGAGGAACAUGCUCUCCUUCAGCAUCAUCUGAUUGAAGGGUGACAUCCACUGUCACAACUUCAUCGACAACGUCAUCGACAUGAGUUACGUGCUCUCCGUCGCACCAAGAAUGUCAUCGUCAAUGUGAACACUAAGUUCAUGAUGCUGCUCAUCAUCAGCAUCAUCGUGCUCCAGACCAGCACAUUGAGAUGGACCACCUUACAAAAUGGAAAAAACCAUUAGUUAGCUCAUAAAAGACCAUAAACCAUAACCAGUAAAAUGUUAUGACACGCCGUACUAAUCAAGUAAAAUGUUGCGACACACCAUGGAUAACAAGUUAAACGUUGUGACACGCCAUGCAUAACAAGCAAAAUGUUGUGACAUGCUAAGGAUAAAAAGCAAAAUGUUCUGACACACCAUGCAUAACAAGUUAAACAUUGUGACACGCCAUGCAUAAUAAGUAAAAUGUUCUAACACGCUAUGCAUAUCAAGUCAAAUGUUGUCACACGCUAACGCUGACACGCCAAUAACUAACUAUAAUACAAAUGUCUUGACCUGCUAAUCACUAAAAACCAGUUAAACCACAACCACUUAACCCCAAAAACCAUCAAACCUGCAAGAAAACAUAGUUUAAACAAUUGCUAAACGUAAACCACCAAAAUACAAGCGAAGAUAUAAUAAUGUACUUGUGAUUUAAGGUCGUCAAGAAUCCGAGCAACAAUACGGUCCUCAAGCGUCUGUAUUGCUAGAGUCAAUGACUGAAUUGAAGCCUUCAUCUCCAACAUCUCUUUUUCAUACUUGCGCAUGAUUCGUCAGAGCUGGCGGGUAGUGACUACUCCAUCAUUGACUUUUCUUGACUGGGUCAACUGUAAUAACAUAUAAAACUGUGCUAUUCAAUAAUCAUAUAUGGAAUUGUUGAACAUUAAUCGUUACAACUUUAAUAUCCUUACCGACGGCUCGUUAGCAGUCUACGGUGGAGCCAGAUCGAUCGGUGCUUAAGGACCUAUCGUCGCUUCCGUAAAUUGCAAUAACAAAAAUUAUUGUGUUACUCAAUAAACAUAUGUGGAAAUGUAGAACACAAAUCGUUAGAACUGAUCUUACCAAUGGGUCGUUUCCACUGUGCAUCUGCGGAGGACAGAUGGGUGGUUAUGGAGCUACCGGCACAUGGUUCAACUGCAAACACAAAUAUGUUAUUCGAUAAUCACAUAUGGAAUUGGAGAACACAAAAUCGUUAGAACUGUCCUUACCGAUUGUUCACUGCCUUGACCAUGGUCGUCCCCUUCGUCCAUCAACUCAGGGCCCGACAGCUCAUCAACUAAAGCUGCGGUGGUGCGCGUCUGCUUCGUGCCACCAGAGGCUCUUUUCUCCUUUUUUGCAUCGCACCUAAGCCUCAAUCUGACUGAUCCUCCAUGUGCCCUAUUGGCACGUACUCGUGGCCCUCCGAUAAUGGGACAUCAAGGUCCACAAAAUACUUCUGGCUGGCCUCAUCCACGGUGGGUUCCAACAUCUUCAGUGCCCACAACUACAAAUAAACAAAUAAAAUGUUGUGAUUAUCGAAUAGGGAGAAUUAUUAUACAAAUAUAAAGCAAAAAUUAGCAACGGUUCACUCACAUGCUUAGAUGACUCUAACCUCUGAAAUGCCUUAUAAAAGUCUUUUGGCUUCUUAUUGCAAUCCCAUCUGAACAUUCGUGGGUUGACGUUGUCCUUCGGACCAGAAGGGGCAAUUAUUUUUCAGAGGGCUGGAAUUACCUCCAUUGCUCAGAACUGCAAGUUAAAUGUAACCAUUAUUAGACCGUAAAUCAUAAACAAGUGCAGCCAUAAAUUAUUUUUUCAAAAAAAAAUUGAAAAAUGUUACGUGAUAGUGCCUGUAUCACCCAUGCGAAUCCAUAAAUGUUGUAGCGUAACCGAGUUUCCUUUGUCACGCUUGAGUCAGGCACUCGGAACCCCUUCGAAAGGUAGUCCAAGGUCAGCUUCCAAACAUAGUGCCCCCAUGGGAAAACAUUCCAAACGUCGAUGUCCUCCACCAAUGACAGCAACCAAGGCGUCACCCGUCUACGGUAGUCUUGACCAAAUAAAAUGUUAUUCGUGAUCAAGACGAGUGCCAUCUUGGUCGCGUCUCUUGGUCGCUGGAAGUUGCCCCACGAAACUUAUCAAGCCAAGCCUGCAACUUAAUGCUCUCCUACCCAUUCCAGUAUCUGGCAUGAAUUCUGUCUGCAGCAACCUCGUACGGUCGUCUGAACACAUCUGGCAUUGGACCAAACUUUAGCCUGAUGAUGAGGCAGAACUCCUGCUUUGAUAGCCGCGCUUUGCUCUUGCCAAUGGCAAACCAUAACUCGUGGUCCAUUGACUGGCUCUCAAUGAUCCGGUGAACCAUGAUGCUGUGCAGGAGAUCGACGUAAAAGUACCCUUGUGGAUAGAAGUCCAGGAGCAUUUCAAAGCACGUACGUUUCACUGCAUCGUACUCCCCCUUUUGUUGGAGAGUCUUUGUGAUGUAAUGCAACUGCAACCACUUACAUUGGGUGUUAAUUGCAACGUUGAACGCCCACUUCUCCCUUGGCACGAUCAGCAAACUAUCAAGAUCCUCAUACUGUCUGCGCUGGAUCUACAAAACAUGGCACACAUGCACCAGUGAGUUAAGCCGUAAUGUGCAAUAAGUUGUACUAAAGACAUAAAUAAGGAAUAAAUGUUGUGAAAUGCCAUGCAUAACAAGCAAAAUGUUGUGACACGCAAUGCAUAGCAAGCAAAAUGUUGUAACACGCCAUCCAUAACAAGUAAAAAAUUGUGACACGCCAUGCAUAACAAGUAAAAUGUUGUGACACGCCAUGCAUAACAAGUAAAAUCUUGUGACAUGCCAUGCAUAUCAAGCAAAAUGCUGUGACACGCCAUGUAUAUCAUGUAAAAUGUUGUCACACGCCAUGCAUAUCAAGUAAAAUGUUGUGACACGCCAUGCAUAUCAAGUCAAAUGUUGUCACAUGCCAUGCAUAUCGAGUCAAAUGUUGUCAAACGUUAACGCUGACACGCCAAUAACUGACUAUAAUAACAAUGGCGUCACAUGGUAAACACCCAAAAUCCCUAAAACCACUACGACUUAACCCCAAAAACCAUCAAACCAGCAAGAAAACACAGUCUAAAUAUUUGCAAAACAAAACAAAAAACAAGAACAUAUCAAACAAACCCAGCAAAAAAAUAAAAACUUAACGAACACAAGAAUGUUUUAAUUUGAGACUCACUGACCUCUUCACUCAUAGCCGACAUUGUUGCCAUUGUUGUGGUGUUGUUAUGCUUGCAAAAAGCCUUCUCGAACACUUUGGUACUAGCGGGAAUGAGAAAUGAAUCACACAGACGUUAGGAAUUUUGAAAAAUAACUGUUUAAAAUGAAAAAUGGCCUUAUAAUAUUCUUAUUUAUUCAUUUUAAGGGGAAUUAAUUCAGUAGAAGUCUAAAUGAUUACCGCGUAAAUUGCUCGUUUUUUUUUCCUCUCUCUAUUUUAAUCAUGACGUGUCAGUUGUUCAAGCAAUGCUAUGUCACACACUCUAAACGAGACCAUGGCGUGUGUAGACACUAAAUUAAAAAUAUAUAAAAUAUAUAUAUAUAUAUAUAUANNNNNNNNNNNNNNNNNNNNNNNNNNNNNNNNNNNNNNNNNNNNNNNNNNNNNNNNNNNNNNNNNNNNNNNNNNNNNNNNNNNNNNNNNNNNNNNNNNNNNNNNNNNNNNNNNNNNNNNNNNNNNNNNNNNNNNNNNNNNNNNNNNNNNNNNNNNNNNNNNNNNNNNNNNNNNNNNNNNNNNNNNNNNNNNNNNNNNNNNNNNNNNNNNNNNNNNNNNNNNNNNNNNNNNNNNNNNNNNNNNNNNNNNNNNNNNNNNNNNNNNNNNNNNNNNNNNNNNNNNNNNNNNNNNNNNNNNNNNNNNNNNNNNNNNNNNNNNNNNNNNNNNNNNNNNNNNNNNNNNNNNNNNNNNNNNNNNNNNNNNNNNNNNNNNNNNNNNNNNNNNNNNNNNNNNNNNNNNNNNNNNNNNNNNNNNNNNNNNNNNNNNNNNNNNNNNNNNNNNNNNNNNNNNNNNNNNNNNNNNNNNNNNNNNNNNNNNNNNNNNNNNNNNNNNNNNNNNNNNNNNNNNNNNNNNNNNNNNNNNNNNNNNNNNNNNNNNNNNNNNNNNNNNNNNNNNNNNNNNNNNNNNNNNNNNNNNNNNNNNNNNNNNNNNNNNNNNNNNNNNNNNNNNNNNNNNNNNNNNNNNNNNNNNNNNNNNNNNNNNNNNNNNNNNNNNNNNNNNNNNNNNNNNNNNNNNNNNNNNNNNNNNNNNNNNNNNNNNNNNNNNNNNNNNNNNNNNNNNNNNNNNNNNNNNNNNNNNNNNNNNNNNNNNNNNNNNNNNNNNNNNNNNNNNNNNNNNNNNNNNNNNNNNNNNNNNNNNNNNNNNNNNNNNNNNNNNNNNNNNNNNNNNNNNNNNNNNNNNNNNNNNNNNNNNNNNNNNNNNNNNNNNNNNNNNNNNNNNNNNNNNNNNNNNNNNNNNNNNNNNNNNNNNNNNNNNNNNNNNNNNNNNNNNNNNNNNNNNNNNNNNNNNNNNNNNNNNNNNNNNNNNNNNNNNNNNNNNNNNNNNNNNNNNNNNNNNNNNNNNNNNNNNNNNNNNNNNNNNNNNNNNNNNNNNNNNNNNNNNNNNNNNNNNNNNNNNNNNNNNNNNNNNNNNNNNNNNNNNNNNNNNNNNNNNNNNNNNNNNNNNNNNNNNNNNNNNNNNNNNNNNNNNNNNNNNNNNNNNNNNNNNNNNNNNNNNNNNNNNNNNNNNNNNNNNNNNNNNNNNNNNNNNNNNNNNNNNNNNNNNNNNNNNNNNNNNNNNNNNNNNNNNNNNNNNNNNNNNNNNNNNNNNNNNNNNNNNNNNNNNNNNNNNNNNNNNNNNNNNNNNNNNNNNNNNNNNNNNNNNNNNNNNNNNNNNNNNNNNNNNNNNNNNNNNNNNNNNNNNNNNNNNNNNNNNNNNNNNNNNNNNNNNNNNNNNNNNNNNNNNNNNNNNNNNNNNNNNNNNNNNNNNNNNNNNNNNNNNNNNNNNNNNNNNNNNNNNNNNNNNNNNNNNNNNNNNNNNNNNNNNNNNNNNNNNNNNNNNNNNNNNNNNNNNNNNNNNNNNNNNNNNNNNNNNNNNNNNNNNNNNNNNNNNNNNNNNNNNNNNNNNNNNNNNNNNNNNNNNNNNNNNNNNNNNNNNNNNNNNNNNNNNNNNNNNNNNNNNNNNNNNNNNNNNNNNNNNNNNNNNNNNNNNNNNNNNNNNNNNNNNNNNNNNNNNNNNNNNNNNNNNNNNNNNNNNNNNNNNNNNNNNNNNNNNNNNNNNNNNNNNNNNNNNNNNNNNNNNNNAUGAUAAUAAAAAAUAAAUAAUUGUAUUAGCAUAGCAUAUACAUAUCGCAUCAUACAUAUCAUUGCAUAUUAAUAUUUUUGUUUUCGAGUUUAAGCCCCGAUGAUGGGAUCUUUCGGGGAUCCUGCGAAGGCGGGUAUUUCUCGAAAAGUUCCUUAGGUGAAAAGAUGUCCUCGGGUCCCACCAGUAUGAUGGGAGGGCUCGAGAACCAUCUUUAAUAAAAGGCUUUUACCCGAAUUAGGUCCAUUAUGCACAAAAUAUUAUUUUAAAAAGAAAAUGUACGAUGACCCCGAAGACGGGAAUUAUUCGUCGAAUUUGCGAAGGCGAGUUUCUCGGAUAAUUCCCUAGGUGAGAGAAUAUCCCGAGUCCCACCAGUAUGAUGGGCGGAUUCGGAAAAUAUCCUCGAUAAAAGGUUAUUUGUCCGGCAUUUUUAUCUCACGCCAUGCAUUUCAUCUCGCCACUCAUUUGCAUUCCAUUUUAGGUUAAAUAGGAGAUAAAAUAAAAAUAAUAAUUAAGGAAAUCUAGUGAAAUUAAAAUUAAAGCCCAAUAGGAUAAUCUAAAAAUGGUACUGUUCAUGGAACGGGCGUUCGAGGGGUGCUAAUCCUUCCCCGAGCGUAACCGUACUCCCGAACCUAGAUCCAGAAAAUUGUAGACCGGUUUAAGGUUCUUUUCGGUGGACUUAAAAUUAAUUUAAGUUUGCAUCGAUUAAAAUCGAGUCAAUAGGUGGCCAAUCGCACCUAGUAAAAAAAAAAAAGAUUGGUGGUGACUCCUGGUUUAAUUUUUUAGUGAGUUUUCACAUUCACGUCUGGCGGUCGGGUUCCUGGACCCGCACGUUACGACAGCGUGCCAGCUUUUCAAGCAAUGCUGUGUCACACACUCUAAACAUGGCGUGUCACCAACUCUAAACUCUGGCUUGUCACAGCUUCCCUCCAUGGCGUGUCACCAACUCUGAACUCUGGCGUGUUACAAAUUCCCUCUAUGAGGUCUCACAAACUCUGAACGCUGGCAUGUCACAGAUUCCCUCCAUGCCGUGUCACCAACUCUGAACUCUGGCAUGUCACAAAUUCCCUCAAUGGCAUCUCACCAACUCUGAACGCUGGAGUGUCACAGAUUCCCAUCAUGGCGUGUCACCAACUCUUAACUCUGGCAUGACACAAAUUCCCUUAAUGGUUUCUCACCAACUCUGAAUGCUGGCGUGUCACAGCCGUGUCACACAUUCUCAACAUGACGUUUCACAAACUCUAAACCCUGCCUUGCCACAACUGUGUCACACAUUCUCAACAUGACGUUUCACAAACUCUAAACCCUUCCUUGCUACAAUCGUCUCACAUAUGGCCUACUAUAGCAGAACCAUUUCCUGCUUUGGACUCACAUCUUUCUCUUUUCAACUCACCACCGUAUCAAAGAUUUCUGGUUUCACAUCAUUAGCCAAGCUUUCCAUUCAUCACGACCGGUUUCUCGUUUGGUUUAAUAUCACUCUUCUCAUAUUAUUUGAAUGUCAUGUCCCAAAUUUCUGAAAAAUCAUCUCAUGCAAUAUUAUUUUGUUUUGCACAACCUUCGCAAAAAAAAAAAAAUGGAUGUUUUGCACAAAAUUUCAUAUUCGUAAAAUUCUUUGCAUAUUUAUUUUUUCUCAUUUUUUACCUAUUUGAGAGUGCACGUUAACGAAGAUAGCUCAUUAAGGGUAUUUUUGUCUCAAAAUUUAUUAUGGUGGUUAAAAACAGUUAAAAUUAUUUCGAAAGUUAUUUACAAAAACACGUUAUUUUCAAGAGCUAAAAUAAAAUUCCCUCAAUCAAGUAUAUAGCUAAAAUAUGUCAUGAAGUAAAAAUUAAAAUCUCUCUAUUUGACAACAAUAUAUUUAGAGCAACCGGGUUUUGUAGUACAUUCAAUAAACACUUGCAUGUGAAAUUUAAAAAUAAUUUUAAUAUUAGUAACAAAUUUGAAAACCUUCAGUAAAGAUCUUCAGUCAAGCACCCGACGUGAGCGAGUCGUACAGUGCCAGCAUGACGAGCCUCGAAGCUAAGGCGCCAGACGUUGCUUCCGGAGUUCCAGUAGCCAUUGACGUGUAGGCUAGGCUGAGAUGUGCCUUCCUUGACUAAUUGUUGGUCUUCAGAAAAAAAGACAAAAGAAGUUCUGAAAAUCUUAUCCAAAUGCUUGACUGACUACUUAAAUUGUCACCCACGAAUAUUUUGUCGUCGUUGCAUGUCCAUUCCUUCUUAUUUUUUACAAAAAAAAACUAAAUCAAUUUAUUUUAUUUAUUUAAAUUCAACUCAAAUUAAAAAUUAAAUCAAACAAAAUUUAAAUUUUUUUUACUAUUAUAAAUAAAAGAAAAAAAUUUAUUUAGUCUUUUUAUAUUAUUUUAUUCCAACAUAAUGUAAGUUAUUCAUCUAAAUUUGACUUUAGGUAUAAAUUUUUUUUUAUAGAAAGAGAAUUUAAACUUAACUUUUACAAAGAAGAUAAAUUAAUGUACAUAUUCUACAAUCAAAUAAUCAAGUAAGAAAAUAUUUAUAUAUUUUUUUACUUCAUAAAUUUUUUUACACUUAAAUAUUUGACUUAUUAAUAAAUAUAUCUAUCAUCUACUUAAAUAUAUGUAUUUUUCAAAUAUGUUUUUUAAUUUAGUCCCUCAAUUUCUCAAAUUUGUUAAAUUUAGUUCCUGUAUUAUAUAUUUUUAUUUAAUUUAGUCCAUAUGACGUNUACAUUUAAAUAUUUAAUUUAUUAAUAAGUAUAUCUAUCAUCUACUUAAAGAUUUAUAUUUUUUAAAUUUAGUUCUUUAACAUCUCAAUUUUAUUUAAUUUAAUUUUUAUAUUAUAUAUUUUUAUUCAAUUUAAUCCCUAUAACGUAACACACAAAAAAAAAUUAAUUUUUUUAUCUGUCACGUGGCACUAAUACGUCAACAUGUUAGUACUACAUCAGCAUUGCUAUGUCAUCAUAUUAAGGUCAUGUGACACUGUCACAUUAUCAAAUUGGUAUCACGUGACAUGCCACAUUAGCACUGAAAUUGUCUUUUUAACAGCAAAAUUAUAUGUCGUUAGUGGAAAAAAUUAAAUUGAAAUAAUUCUCAAAAUUAAAAAAUUAAAUUACUUUAAUUUUUAGUAUAGAGAUUAAAUUAAAUAAAAUACAUGAGUAUAUAAACUUGAUGAGUAUUUUGAUAUUUUAGUAUUUUGUCUAUGGAAAAUUACAUGUAAUUUUUGUUUAAAGGGACAAGUUUAAGUUUUUGUUUCUCAAAAAUCGUUCUUAUUAAAAAAAAAAGAAAAAAGUUAAGAGUUUUUGUAAUUUUUUUGUAAAAUAAAAAUUAAAAAAAAUUGGAUUUAGUAUUAAAAUUAAGUGAAAUAAUUAAUUAAUGAAUAAUAUUAUUUUAACUUGACUUGAAGUCUUCAAUCCACUUGACACAGGGCCCACAAAAAUUCAAUUAUUGCAUGAGUUUGGAUCUAGCCCAUCUGCUACUUGCAGAAACUGCUCUCCACAUUGACUUUGAUUUUCAAAGAUGAAGACUUGCUUUCAUUUACGGCCGAAAGAACAAUGUUUGUGCGUCCAUAUUUUCUCUUCGAUUAACAACCCUUAACACGUUAAUUUUGUUUAAUUUAAUUUUUAUAUUAUAUAUUUUUAUUUAAUUUAAUCUCCAUUACAUGUUAUAAAUUUUUUAAAAAAAUUUUGUGAUUUAUCACAUAACACUAUCACGUCAUUCCAUUAGUAUAAUGUGAUAUGUCACGUUAUCAAAAUGUAUCUUAUCAACAUAACAUCAACACUAACAUUAUCUCUUUUAAUAAAAAAUUAAAUAUUAUUAAAAAGAAAAAUUAAAUUAAAAUAAUUUUUAAAAUUAAAAAUUAAAUUACUUUAAUCUUAAAUAUAAAAGUUAAAUUAAAUAAAAUACAUAAAUACAAAGAUUUAAUGAAUAUUUUGAUCAAUAUAAAAUACUUCUCUGCGCUAUUUCCCAGAGACCACAUACAGAACAUGAAAAAGGGGAGCUUAGCACAAAAAUUCCUCUAUCACUCCCGGGAAGCAGAACUCCUUAACAAAAUCAUGGAUUCGUCUUUUUAGAAUUCCUGCAUUGCCAAAGCAUGAAGUCCUCCUUCCACUUCAGCCAAAGUAGAAUCUCCCAAGCUCCAGACAAAUGUACCAUUUGAAAAUCAAAUUUUUGGGUGAGAUAAUACGCGGAAACCAUCAAUUCCCACGGACUGCAUUGUAGAGCAGUUCCCACGGACAGCAUUGAAGAGCAGAUUUUGAUGUCCAAGCUUGGACAUAUUGACUGUCCUAGUUUGGUCAAUAGGCUCCACGCAUUUAGAUUAUGCCUCGGAUAGCUUUUGGGCUGCAGUAGGCAAUUUUAUCACAUUUGGUGGACACGUUAUGCUGGAUAGAAGCAUUUGGACAGCUUUAAAGGAGUUGGUGUAAAAGAUCGUCUUGGUUUCACAUUAAAUGUGGCUCUCUGGUAGCAAUGUUUGGGCUAGGAUAUUCAUUGUCUUACACACCAAACCGUGGGGUCCAACUGAAAUAAUAACUUGAUGGGCUGUUUAUUGGAUUUUUAUGUACCCGGGGACAGUUGUAACUUCGUCUUUGUGAAGUCUAGCUGGGAACAGACCUCCAAUCUCUUCAAAUUGGAUGUUUUUAGAAUUGGAAUUGUUUUUAAUUUUCUUUAUUUUAUUUUUAUUUUUAUAUAAUUAUAAAAUUCAAGUCGAUUUGACAUUGACAAUUAACAAAUAAAAUUUUUUUUUUGCAACUAAUAAAUCAAAACCAUAAAUACUCCCUCCACGCCCUUUUAGUUUUGUACCAACUCAGCCUCUCAUACUAUUAUUACGACAUUUCCUAGUCCACCACGCAUGAAAAAAAAAAAUUAAAAUCCAAGUUGAAGUUUUAAUAUUUUAUCCAUUGACAAAAUUUCAUGUAAUUUCAUGUAAUCGCCGAUCGGCGGCAAGAGAGGAAAAGGUAGCCUGCGGUGCGGCUGGUCUUGGGUGGUGGCCGGUGAAGAAGGAUUUGUUUAGAGAGGGUGGAGGCUUUUAGAGAGAAGUUAGAGAGUUUGGUUGGUAGAGAGAGAAAAUGGUGAAGUGAAAUGAAAGAAGAAAGGAAAAAAAGGGGUUUUAUAGCUAGGCUUGGUGAGCUCAAAACUACGUAGUUUUGAAGCUCACAAACAAAUCCUCUCUAACCUCCCUAAACGGCGCCGUUUUGCUGGUGGAGUAUUGGAACAAUAGGUCUUGGGGCAGAUCCACGGGGUUCUAGUGACGGGCUGGCUGAAGUGGGUUGGUCAUUUGGGCCGCUUUUAGCCCAUCAAGGUAAAUCCUUAACAUUGAUCCAUUUUGUAUGAUUUUUAUUUUGAGAAAUAUUAGGUAGAAUUAAUUUUAAAUUAUUAUAGUAUAAAAUUUUAUUUUAUUAUUUUAUGAUAUUUUAAGACUUAGGAGAUUUAUGUAAAUGAAAGAAUAUAGAAACAAUGGAGCAUAAAAAAAAAAUUAGUAAUAGAAAAUAAAAUAAAAAAUACAAAAUUCUAUGAUAUUAAUCACAACAUAAUAUACUGAUGAUGGGAUGAUCGGUCGGGACGUGAGAAAUAGUAAUCUCGGAUUAAUUUUUUUUAGGUUCGAAAUUCGAAUUAAAGCUCCACCACUAAUAUGAUGGGAAGAUCUUAAUUUUGAGGUUUCCAGAUUUUUAGAUAUCAAUUAUUUCAACUUCAUUUUCUAACUUAAAAUAGCAGGCACCGCCCUAAUAUUUAAGUAAGAAAGAAAAGUUCUUAACUUAUUGCAGAGCUUUGACUUAUUCCUAACAGGGAGUGUUACAGCCAUCGCGCGUUCAUUUAUUAGAUAUUUGAGUGCUUCGUCUGUACAUAUAUAUUUUCCUAAGACUUUUUAGCUUCAUCCUCAUUAAUCAACACGCAGUGAAAGAAAAUAUCAGGCACCGCCCUAUGGAAAACCAUUGCUUCAUUUUAAGUCUGACUCGUCUCCAAUAAAUAAGAAAGAAACGUUAUUAAUUUAUUGCGCGUUCACUGAUUGCCACAAAAAUGAUUGUUAGGACCUUGGCACGACAGAAGAUAUUUAAAUGCUUCGUCUGUACAUAUUUUCCUAAGACUUGUUAGCUUCAUCCUCCUAGUCUCACAGGUCACAGCCCAGCUUUCCAGAAUGCCAAAAGCACAACUUCCAUUGUUUGGCCUUAUGGUCGUCCUUGCUCUGUUUCUAUCCCCUGAAUCUUGCAUCGCUAGAGGCGGAAACAACGACUGCGGCUUUACUCUGUGUGGAGACGUUAACAUCAGUUACCCUUUACGAUUAAAAGGCCAGCGACGGGCGUGUGGUGAGAUUGAACUGGAGUGCGAGCAUGAUAACCGCACGACCUUGGUCGGGAAGUACGAUAAAUAUUAUGUUCAAGAGAUCUUUUACGAAAAUUCUACACUCCGAGUUGUGGGUGCAAAUCUGGGCAGGGAUAAUUGCUCCCUUCCACUCAAUCGGUUCUAUGAAGAUUUUCCCUUUUGUGGAAUUCCGUUCUUUGAUUUCAGUGGGUUCCCUGACCAUUAUAGCUUUAUGCAUCUAGUAAAUUGCACAACACCAGCAGAAUCUUCUCUCUAUGUCAAUGCCUCUCAUUGCCCCAGUAGCUCUUUAUCUCCACUCUCCUACUUUUAUUUUUUAGAUCAAGAAACCCAUCCACGAGAUUUCAAGCAAUCUUGCACGGUCGUAGCUGAGGUUCCAAUCAAGGUUGAGAAUAUCACAGGCCUGGAUUCUUUGAAAAUCUACGAAAAACUAUUAUUGGGCUUUGAAUUGUCAUGGUCCACGCGGGAAAGAUACUGCUCAAAUAAGCUUUCGUUCAAUCAAAUGUAAGAAUUUCCAAGCAUUUUAGAUUCAUUUUCUAAUUAGGCUGAGUUUGGUUGGUUCAUAAAUUUUUCAUUUGAAAAAUUGGGGUAAAAAGCUUAUGUUUUGCAAAAAUUAUAUUCUAAAUUUAGUUUUCAAGAUUUUGUUUUUAUGUUUUGACAUUAAAAACUUUAAUGUAUAAAAUUUACUAAAACUAUUUUUUUCUUAAAUUUUGUAAUAGAAAAAUAAAAUGAGAUGGCGAUAAUAUAUAAUUGCUUUGACUCUGCACUAACACUUUUACUUGGAUGUCUUAAACAUUCCAGAUUGGCGAAAAUUCGGGAUGCCUUGACAGACUACCUGAACAGCUUUCUAUAUUUUAUUAUCCAUCGACCCCUUAUAUCAGCUUUCAAUGGUUUUCCAGCCGAAACUAAUAGUAUGCUUUCUGGAGUUCAUUAUUAUGAUUUGCCUCUUCUUUUCCUUGUGUUGAAACUUAUACAUUUGUGGUCUUGGUUUUUUUUUUUUUGCAGGAACAUAUAUUAUGUGUAUUGGAAUAACAGGUAUGUUUUAGCUCUAUACUUGUGCAUAUGAAAAUUGACUUCUAAAAAUUAAAAGAGCUUAUGUUCCUUUUUAAUGUAAAAUUCAAAAAUCUAUAAAAGCUCUUUAAGGAUUUUGAAGGUGAAUGGGUAUACUAGAAUAAACUUGUUUCAGAUAUAGAAAAAGAAACAGCAGCCUUCAAUAAUAUGAUCAAAUAAUUAAAUUUCUAUUUCAAAAUUCAUUGCAGAAAUUAGUAAUUAAUUAUAAUGUUCUAAUACUAAAGCAAAGGGAGAUCUUACUAAGAAAUUAUCAAAUGCAGUAGAGAUUUCAAAUACUAGUAUUUAAUAAGGGAGCAUGAAACAGUUACAUGUAGAGUGUUUAGGGUUUAGUUAUAAUUACACUUUCAUUAGGUUAUAAUUAGUUAUAAAGUUCACUUAGACAAAUGAUAGCAACACAUAUAUUGCACAAUUUACGUAUAAUUUUUUGGGGCAAUAGCCCUCAUUCAAAAUAUAUAUGCUAAUUCAUUUUAAUGUAUUUUUCUUCAAAAGGAGGAAUAAUCUUGUCAAGAAUGUUGUUGGGGAUAUCUAUCUUGAUUGCACUUGUUACAUACAAAUUGCGAAGGAGACAUUUAUCUGUAGAUGAUACAAUUGAAGAGUUUCUUCAAAGUCAAAAUGAUUUAAUGCCAAUAAGAUAUUCUUACUAUGAAGUAAAAAGAAUGACUAGAAAUUUUCAAGAAAAAUUAGGUGAAGGUGGUUAUGGCUCAGUAUUUAAAGGAAAGCUUCGAAGCGGUCAUCUUGUAGCAAUAAAAUUAUUGGGCAAGUCAGAAGCUAACGGGCAAGAUUUCAUUAAUGAAGUUGCUACAAUCGGGAGGAUUCAUCAUGUUAAUGUGGCGAAACUUAUUGGAUUUUGUGUGGAGGGAUCAAAACAAGCCCUUGUAUAUGACUUUAUGUCAAAUGGAUCUCUAGAUAGGAUCAUAUUUGCAGAAGAGAACAAAAUCAGCUUAAGUUGGCAAAAACUGUUUGAUAUUGCUCUGGGGGUGGCUCGAGGAAUUGAAUAUUUACAUCAAGGAUGUGACAUGCAAAUUCUACAUUUUGAUAUCAAGCCCCACAAUAUUCUUCUAGACGAGUACUUUAUCCCAAAAGUUUCAGAUUUUGGUCUUGCUAAACUUUAUUCGGUAGAUGAUAGCAUUGUAUCUCUCACUGCAGCACGGGGUACAAUAGGAUACAUUGCUCCUGAAUUGGUCUACAAAAACAUUGGAGGCAUCUCGAAUAAGGCUGAUGUUUAUAGUUUUGGAAUGUUAUUAAUGGAAAUGGUGGGAAGAAGGAAGAAUUUGAAUGCGUUUGCUGAACACUUGAGUCAAAUAUACUUUCCUUCAUGGAUUUAUGGCCAAUUUCAUCAAGGAGAGGACAUUGAGUUGGGAGAGGUUACAGAUGGUGAAAAGGUAAUUGUUAGGAAGAUAAUAAUAACAGCUUGUUGGUGUAUACAAGUGCCACCUAACGACCGUCCUUCAAUGAGCAAAGUCUUGGAGAUGCUUGAAACUGAUGUUGAGCUCCUUCAAAUGGCCCCCAAACCUUUUCAACUCCCUUUUGAAAUAUCAACCAAGGAUCAUGCUGAUGAGAAUCCAAACGAGGAUCCAACUUCAUCACUUCUUUUUUCGAAUGAAAUUAGCUUAAAUAUAGCAUAAGCUAUGGAACUUUUCAUUUUAUUAUGUUAUUUUUGU